GUAAACUGUUUUUAACCCCAAAAACUUUCACACUCAAAUAUUUCUUCCUCUUGCCUCUAGACAUUUUCAAGUUUGCCUUCAUCAACUUCCCUGUGGCUGAAAUAUCUGGUUUUAUUAAAAUGCAGGCGUUUUCUUGAUAUUGUUUAUUAGGUCCAUGCAAAGGGUGAAAAAGCUAGAUAAAUUUGAGAAGAUGAUAUGAUUUUCAAUCCUGGAACUCAUGGACAGUCUGUCUUAGUUGUAAAAUAAUUUAACCUUCGAUUCUUGGUAAUAUAAUUGUCCCAAAAUUUUCAGACUUGCAUACAGGAGCUCUAUACACUACACGAAGGAAAUGAUUCAAGAUGAAAAAAAUCUAUGCAACUGAAAUCCAGAUCUGUAUGAUUCUAUACAGUGUAUAUCAUAAACAGAACUUGAGAUCAAUGGAAUAAAUGCGCAACUUUGUUUUCUUUUUUCAUUAUUAUUGUAUUCUCCAUUUUUUUUAUUUUUAUUUAUUUUUUAUUUUUUAAGGUUUUGGACAAGGCAAUUAACAACCCUGAUUCAAAACAAACAGUUUCAGAGAAAACUUAAAAGGCGCUGUUGGAAACUUGUGUCAUGGUCAAGAACAGCCCAGAGAUCUAUACAUGAUGUUCAAAGGAAUGGAUGACCAUCUUUUGAGCUUGUGUCAUGACCAAGGGGAGCCUAGAGAUCUAUACAUGACAAACAAAGCAGUGUAUCUGACCUAAUUUGUCAGUUUCUCAAAGGAUUUCUCUGAAUAUAACAGCAAAGCCUUCUGCUACCUUCCAUGAGUCGGAAGCUUGAAUUGGCCUCAAAAUGGCCACGAGGAUUCUCGUCUUUUGGGUGCCAGCAACUGGGGAGUUUAUUGGUCCAUUCAAACCUGUAAAAUAUAAUUAUAUUGGUUUUAAGCCAAUGGUUUGCACAGGCAACAAUUAUCAAAAGAAAUUUUUUAUGGGAAAAUCGGAAUUGGUUAUCUUACCCUUCCAACCCUUCAAUUUUCCAUUCCUUGGUUGUAAGCAUCCACCAUUAUGGAAACAGAAAAUUUUGAAACAGCUGUUUGGUGGGAAAUAGAGUAGUGGCAUCAAUUACAACCAGCUAACUUCAUUGUUGGGGGUUGUUCUUCAUGCAUUUGCUUGUCAGGGAGGUUAAAUGAUCUGAUAUGAAGCAGCAGAUAGAGAUCAAUCAAAGAUAUCAAUUAAAUGAAUUAAAAACCCUAACAAUCCUGUAAUGACCCUCUCACAACCCGUGUAAAUAUUGUUGGGUCAAUCCAAUGGACUCCCACGUUUUUAAAACAUGUCUAUAGUACCAGGAUUUUUUUUCUUCUAUCAGUUGUGGGAAACACAUCCCUCCUCAUAUUCAACCUUUUUUUUUUUUUUGAGUUUACACAUUCAUUUAAUACACCAUCUCAUGAGUAUCCUUCUUUGGGAUUACCAAUUGAUUAAAAGUAAUAAAUACAUACAAUAAAGCCCAAACUUGUGACAUUAUUGACCCAAAAGCUUAUUUUUUAAAUAGUGAACCAACAAUAUAUAUAAAGAUGAGGAUCCAAUACAACUCAACUAAUAUUGACCAUAUCAGUUUAAUUUUCAAUAAUUAUAAAACUCAUUUCUAUUUGAGGAUUAUAAAAACUGACCUAAUUGAUUUGAUUUUCACUUCCUUAGUAUACUAACUAAUAAAAACUGAACCAAACCAAUAUUCUAGUUUUAUAUCAUUGGGUAUGUGAAAGCCUUUUUGAUACCACUUGUUGAGCCAAUAAAAGCAUUGAAACCAUUCGUUGGGUCAACGAAAGCUCUAUCUAUGCAAAUAUAUUAAUGAAAUAACAUAAAAAAUAAAGUUAAUCACACACAAAGAUAAACAAGGUUUUAACAUGAUUCAAUUGUCUACCCCCACAUAUAAGAGAUAACAUUUUAUAAUAAAAAUAUUAUGGACAAAAAAAAUUCACUAUUGCUUACCCCCAGAUGAUAAAUAACAUUAUAUAAUAGAAAAUAUUAUGCACAUAAACAAAUUCAACUAUUUGGUCUCGAAACAUUUCACAUUUCUUCACUUUUUAUAUCUCCAUCAUGAACCACAAGCUCUUUUGCUUUGUUAAGUAUCUCUCUCUUUCUUGAAUCUCAAUCUUGAAAUGUGAACCCUCUUACUCCACCAGUUGUCACUCACGCUUCCUCACAUCUCUAUCAAUCUAUAAUCUUCACAAACUCAUAUCUCUCUCAUGAUUUUUCUCCUCAUGACAUAGAUUAUUUAUAGAGGUAUUGCUAUUAAAGAAUGAUUGAAUUGAAUUGGAUCGUUUAAAAGAGAGCGAUAAAAAAAAUCAGAAUCACCAUUACUAUGUUCACGUUCCAUCACCGUUACUCUUUUAUCGCUCUCUUUUAAACUAUUCAUCUACUUCAUUGAGAUCACUAUGUGAUCAAGUUUUUCACUGAUUGCCGAAUUUCACUUCGGGUUCUGGGUGUUGGCUUCUAAGUGCUACCUGCUGUUCAUCGAAGUUGUUUUGGUGGUUCAAUGGAGUCUACAAAAGUCAUCAAGGUUAAAUAUGGGAACACACUAAGGCGUUUUAAUGCAUGCGUUGACGAAAAUGGACAACUGGAUCUUGAUAUCAAAGGAUUAAGAGCAAAAGUCAUCGCUCUCUUUAAUCUUGUGCCUGAUGCUGAAUCUUACACUAACGUAUAUUGAUGAAGAUGGUGAUGUGCAGUCAUCUUAUGGUGUAUUCACGGGCACUAUUCCUCGGACUUCCCAAGAAGAGGCUGCCCAGCAGUAUGCAGUGCCAACCCAGUACCAGGUUAAACCGGACACCUUAGUGAAUAAACCAAUUAAUAGUGAUGUCCCUCUAUUUGGAGGUGUGCCUUUACAAACAUCAGAACGCCUGGUUCAGGAAUCCCCAAGAGACUAUUCUGGUAAACUUCCUGGUGUUGUUCCUAAGGAAGAUACUGCAGAGUCUUGCAUUUCAUUUGAUCAUAUGCGUCCAAUUGAUGAGAGGAUGGAAAAUCUAAGGGUAGGCCCUGCUGAAAAUUUUGUUAAUAGUGAGCAGAGUAAAUCAUCUACUAAUAAACCUAGAAAGGAGGACGAUCAUACAGGGGAUUUGCCUUCUACUCUUCAAGCCAGUUCUGCAACCAUCCCUGGUGACAAGUGUAGCUCAUCUUAGAAUUCCAAUCCAUGCCAUGGUCCAACUAACUGUUUGGUUCCUGAGGGUGAUGAUCUGCCUGCAACAGAAGUGAAGCAACUCCUAAUAUUUGCUGGUUCUGAUGCAGCAAGAAACUUCUCAUGGAGUCAUCCUUGUGACACUACUGAUGAGGAGCUCACAUCAGUUGUAAUGGAAAACUGUCAACAUUCAGAGUUUCAGCAUGGUUCUGAAAGGCUAUUUUCUACCAGAAAAGUAAUUUCUCCAACUUCUCAGGAAAGGCUAUGUCGGGCUAUGAAUUCCACCGACUUGUGUGAUAACCUGGAACCAUACAAAUGUAAAAUUAAGUUACGCUUUGCAAAACGGACUGAGGGCAGGACUUCAUCAGCAGAACCAAAUUUUGUGAGAGAUGAAGUAGAUAUUGGUCCGAGAGGGUGUGAACAAAGCAAUAGAAAUGAAGGCACUGUUAUUUCCAAGCAGAGCAUUAGGAGAAGAAAGAAUGAUAUGAAAUGUUCCCAUCCUAAAGGCAUUCUCAAGAUUCCCCAGCUUUCUCGUGGGCUACCACAUCUUAGCAAUACAUGUACCUCCAGCCAAAGUUAUUCAGAGUGUCGUUGCAUUCUCACAGAGACGGAUGCAUGACAUUGAAUGUCUUGCAACAAAGCUCACGAGAGAGUUGAAAUCCACACACAGGACACAAAAUCAAAACAACAACUCCAUAGCUGCUUGGGCAGCAAACAGAACAAAACGCGAGUCACCUUCGAGCUAUAUAUCCAUGACAUAACUGUCCUGCCCAAAUAGUGCAAAGACAGCUAUCGAAAUUGUGAAUCUCCUUGCUUGCCCCGCCUUUGAUGUGAUGUAGGCAAUGAGACCCAUUAAGAGCCAAUUUGUGUUGAUGAUUAUGAGGAAGAGGCUUUCCUUUUUGACAUGUCAUGAUCAUUAUUAGCAAAUGCUACAUUUGUGUCUACAUUCCCGAAGAUUCUUAGAAGCAAUCUUAUCUUGGGUUAUUCAACUGUGUCAAUUUUCAGUCAGGCUCAGGAAAUUAUGAAUUAAAAAGCUUAGGGUUCGGUCAAGAUUUUGUUUUUGAAGGGUGGUUUGCCAUUGUAGUUGAAAUGGAAGACAUCAAGAAAAAAAAAAAAAGAGUUUGAAAUUAUCCAAAUCAGGGUUUAAACGGACUGAAUUGACAUUUGGCUCAAGUAUUAAAGAAAGAUCAGUGAAUCUCUAGAUUUGCGGCUGAGAUGGCUAAAAGACUUAAAAUUGUGAAAGGCAAAGUAACAGAGUUUCGAAUUAAAGCAUGCCUCAGGUUCCAUGAAAAGGAGUUCAGGUUCCUUCAGCUGGACCUAGAAGCAUUACUCCAGGUUAUGCAGAGUCUUAAACAAGGAACUAGACAAGCAAUUUUUAUGAUAAGAAACAACAGGCAUAAAUGAAAAAUUCAGAGAGAGUGAGCAAUAGUACAUGGAACCUGAUCUGAAACUGAGCCUUAUGUCUCCACUAGAAGCUUCUGUUGAUAAUUCGGGUUGUGAUCCUGAGAAACUAGAAUUGAAUUGAAGCCUCUUUUCAGAUGAAGUGGCACACUGAAACCCAAUGAACAUGGGCUCUGAAACGAAUACAUUCAGUUUCUUUCUAGACAAUCAGCGAUCUGCAGAGUUCUCCCCAUGCAAUUCGUAUCAGUAAUGUAGUCUCAAGUACAUCCCCGGACCUCACUUCAGCAUCGACUAUCUUGCAUGAACAAACUUCAUGAUUCCAAACAAUGGAAUUCAUAAAAUCAACUCAUACAAGAUUAAUUAGGGCUUUGGAAGGGGUCCCGACAUUCACGAUAUUCUCUUCAAUGUUGUUUGCUUGAUAGCUGAUUGAUUGUGCUUCCUCUUUGUGGUACGUGAGAUUAUUUUGCACUUAUUAUUAAGCAACCUUGUUUCCCAUAGAGGUGCUUUAGCUUGCUAUCCAGGUACGCUCCUUCUCACCUAUUUUCAAGAAUUCUAUGGACACGUAUGUUAUUGAUGACUAUAUUCAUACUUGAUGUGAUUCUUAGGUGCUUAGUUGUAUGCUUGAUUUGUUUGAAUAAAACAAAUGUUGUGUGUUAUAUUUCUAUACUAACUUUGAUGUUUUAUAAUAGCGUUUGAGAAACAGUUCAGGUACACACUUUGACUUUCUUUUAUAAUCAUGAUUUGACUUUUUGGCUUGACAUGAUAAUUCUGAAAUCACUUUAAACUAUCUAGGUACCUUCAAUCAAUUAAUCAAUUGUCACAUUCUCCUCGACUUAGCUAGUAGAGAUCUCUUUAAGGCUCAGAGGGGUGCUACCUCUUAUAGGUACCUUCCCAAUAGGUAACCUGAUCCCCGAACCUAGACUCGUGUUUUUUUAAAGACGCGUUUUUCCAAAAACUAUGGAGUCACUUCUUUAGGGUUUUCUUUUUUAUUUUAUUUUCCUUUUAAAAUAAAAUAAAAUAAGUGGCGACUUCGACUUUUCCAAAACUAAUUUUUCACAAAUAAAAAAACGAGUCUUGUCAACGAGUGAGGAUGGAUGUGAAAAAUGAGGGUCCACAACUACCUUAGACCCAAACGAACUAUCCACUUAGUUUUAUGUCCUUCUUUUAAACGGCGAUGAACAUAGACGAUUAUAGGGGAUGAAACGACAAUGAGGGGCCCACACAUUUCCCUUCCAUUUCCUUGUUUGGCUACCUGGAAAAAGGCCAAAAAAAUGUCUAGACUCUAGACCAUGGAUUAGAUCCAAAACCAUUGAUUGGUUUCGUCUAGACCAUGAAUUGGUAUAUUUUUUCCAUUUGGCUUUCCUUGAAAACCCUUUUUUAUUUUAAUUAAUAAUAUUUAAUGAUGAAUAUCUUAGUUUUGUAAAAAUGAUAACAUAUGUUGAUAAGAAUUACGUUUACGAGUAUUUUAAAAAUAUAUUUAUUAAAAAAAAAAAUAUAUAGCUACAUAAAAUUUAAUUCAUGCAUUUUAGUUGAGAAAAAAAAACUUAGAUUUCUUAGUUGUUUAAAAAUCCAAACAAAUCUUGAUUGUAAGUAUCAAAGUCAUAUUUGAAAGUUUUAUCAAAACAUUUUUAAAAAUUGCUUUUACUUUAAAAACUACUUUGAAUAGGUCAUAUAUGAAAAUUGUUACUAAAUGUAACUUUCUAUUCUAAACAAUACAAAAAAAAAAAAAAAAAAAAAAUGAAGUGUUUGGUAAACUUUAAAUAGAAAAUUGUAUUUUGAGAAUUUAUUUUAAAAAUAAAUUUGAGAUGUCUAUUUUUAGUAAUGUUGUUAUUAACAAUUCAAAAUAUCAAUAAUACUUUGAAAUCUUUUUUAUUAUACAUAAGUGUAUGAUACUUUCCUCAAUAAGCCAAAAAAAAUUGUUUUUUCCGUAUAAAAACAAUUGAAAGUUGUUUUUAAAUUCUUGUUUGAAUGGAUGUUUAAGAAACUAAGAAAUCUUUUUUAAGUUCAAUUAAGACCUUUAUGCCCCUUUGACUUAUUUUGUUGAAAUGGUUUAAAUUUUAAAAAAUAAAAAAAUAAAAAAUAAAAAUUCGACUAAAUAUAUUUAACUCUAUAGGUUUGAAAUUUCAUUUAAUACAUCUUCUAUCAUUUUCAUUCCUUAUUUUCCCUCACCUCCAUUUUCAUUCAAAAUAAGAGAGGUGUAUAAUAAAAUUUCAAAUUUAUAAGAGCUAAAUGUAUUUAGCCAAAACUUCAAGGAAGAUAAAUGAAAUUAAACCUAAAAAACAACUUAAUAUAGAAACCAUUAAAAUAUUUCUUAUCAUACAAAUUCUAUUUUAUUUUAUGUAAGAAAAUUUUUCAAGUUUGAGCUAAAGUAAAGAAUAGUAAGUUAUUCCAAACAAGGUUUAUGAAUUAUUCUUAUUAACUAGUUUAUGAAUUAUUCAAAAAAUAACAUAUUCAUAAAAAGUUUUAUAAGUCUACUCUUAUCGUUAUUUAUCUUAAAAGAGUAGGAGUAGGAAUUAUCUAUUAUUAAUCCAUUAUUUUGCAAAACUUAUGUUCAAACUAUCCCCUUUAUUACCACAUAGGAGUCAUGUCAUAAAAAAAAUAUGUUUUCUUGCUAAAUAAAUUAAAAUCUCAAUUGCCAAUCUAGACUUCAUUUUUUAAUUAAAGCCGCAAUUGACAAUUGAGGCUUCAUUUUUAAAUUGAAAUCGCAAUUAGCAAUUGAGACUUCAUUUUUGAAUCGAAACCUCAAUUGCCAAUUAAGGUUUUAGUUAAUUUUUUUUCCUUUAAAAUUUAAUUAAAAAUAUUAAAUUACAAAUUAUUGUUGAAAUUAAAAAUACAUACUUUAAUAAUAAAAAAUUUAUAUAUUUAAACUUAAAGAUCUAGUAUUACUUCAAUAAAAAUAAAUUGAUAUAUAAUCUUAAAACAAUAAAGUUAUAUGACACAUAAAUAAUAUAUAAAAUUAUAAAAUUUAUUAAUUUAAUAUAUUUAAUUUAUUAUAUUUUUAAGAAAUUAAUUUAUUUGUAUUUUGAAAAAUUCAUCUUUAUUGAAAUAAUAGUAUACUAGAUGUUUAAGUUUAAAUAUAUAAUUUUUUUUUAUCUUUAAAGUAUAUAUUAUUAAUUUCAACAAUAAUUUGUAAUUUAAUAUUUUUUAAUUAAAUUUUAAAAUAAAAAAUAACUAAAUCUUUAAUUGAUAAUUAAGGUUUCAGUUCAAAAAUCAAAUCUCAAUUGAGAAUUAAGGUUUCAACUUAAUUUUUUUUUUAAAAUAUAAAUUUUUUAAAUGAGAUGGCUCUAAGCGGCAAUAAAGGUACUAGUUUAAAGUGACUAUUAACGGUUGGUUGCUGUCAUUUCAAAGAUGUGAAAAGAGCUCAAACAAACAAUUUUCCAAAUUAGUUGUAACAAUAAACAACCCAACAUUUUCAAGAAAGGCAUGGAUGCCUCUCUUAUAAGUCAUGUCAUACUUCCAUUGAUAGGAAAAUCUCAAUUACCAAAGUAAGAACCAUAAAAUCAGUUGGAUUGUCUUGAAGAAGAAAGAGUGACCCAAUCCUAUGCAUGAACUAGACAAGGUAGUCCCUUCCUCAAAAUCUUCACUAUCAUCCUCAAGAAUGGUUAUGGUCUUCUCCUUGAAACAUUUGAAGAACGCCAUGCUACACAAAAAAUGAAGGUAGAAAGAGAGAAAUAAAAUAUGGGUCUAAGUUUUUAGAUGCCACUGUGCAUUUAAGUCAGAUCAAUUCGCAUGGGUGAAGACCUUAGCACUCAAGUCGUAUUAAGUGCUGAAAGUACAACACCGUGUAGCAUCAGGGCCAUAACUUAUUUGCAUAGAUACUAAGUAUUCUUCUGGUUUUAAUUAAAUGUUAAAACUUAAAACAUCACUACGCAUUCAAGUCAAGUCAAUUUGCAUAGGUGAAGACUUUAGCACAUAAGUGCCGAAAAUACAACACCACAUAGCAUUAGGGCUAUAACUUGUUUGUAUAGAUACCAAGUAUUAUUCUGGUUUUAAUUAAAUAUUAAAACAUGAAUACCACUAUACGUUCAAAUCAAGCCAAUUUGCAUCGGUGAAGACUUUAACACAUUAGUGCCGAAAAUACGACACUGCUUCGCGUCAAGGCUACGACUUGAUUACACGAGGAUCAAAUUUUAAAUAUUCAUAUUUUUUAUGGAUUUUUAAUUUUAUUAAAAAAUUUCCCUCAAAUAUUCAGGUAAUUUAAAAUUAAUUAAUUAAUUAAUUAAAUUACCUAAAAUCAAAUUCAUUUAUGCAAAUUAUGAAGGUUGACACGUGUUUAAAAAAGUAGUUCUUUUCUUUCUUGAUAAAAAAAAAAGGUUAGCAAAAAAAGAAAUCACGUGUCAUUCAUAUAUAUAUAUAUCCUCUUUGGGUUCACGUGUCAUUCAUUCAUAUAUUUAGAUAUAUAUAUUCAAGAGAUCACGUGAAUGGAUUUCAUAUGUAUAUAUUAAAUCCUCAUCCUUACUUCAAUAUAUAGACAUAUAGCCCAGUGAUGACGUCUCCGAAGGCAACCAACGUUGAGGCUUGUCCCCAUUGACUUCGCCAUACACCCAACAAGCUCCAAUAUCAAUAUAUAUAUAUUAAAAAAAAAAACACUUACAAGUAUGAAGAGGUUCUCAUGGUGAAUUCAAGUUGGGUUUAUCAAGUUGGGUUGAAGAACACCUAAAGAUCGAAAGAGCUCUUUGAAAAAAUUCAAGUCUAGUUUCUCAAUUAUUGUCUCAUUUAUAUAUAAAAAAAAUAUAUAGGAUGACUAAUUGGAAGAUGACAAAAAGUGUAAAGUAAGAAGGAAAACGAAUUAGAAGAGGAUUUCAAAGUGUAAAGUAAGUAAGAAAAUGAAGUGGAGUUUGGAAAAAAGUGGGAAAUAAAUAUUUUUUUUUUUGGAAAAAAUAGGAAACUUCCUAUUAAAAUAUUUCUUUGAAAAAAAAAUUACUUCAAGACUCACCCCAUGCAUAUGACGAUGCAUGUAUGUGAUAUGUCUUGAAGUUGGGCCAUUUGUAAACAUAAAAAAUUAGUGGAUUAAAUUACCACUAAUUUGGUUUUCAAAAUGAAUAAUAAAAAAAGAAGAUAUCCUCUUAUGGAUAAGUUUCCUAAUUUCGAACUAUAAAAAGAAUAAUAAUAAUAAUAAUAAUAAGAAAAUUAUUAUUAUUAUUAUUAUUAUUAUUAUCUUGUUGGUAAAACCUCCCGGAGGAAAAAAUUUGCUAAAAUCAAUGAACUAAAUUCCUUGAAUUAAGCAACUAAAAUUUGGGAAUUUGAAAAUCAAAUUCCCUAUCUUUACCUAUAAAUAGAUGUGUCUUCUAUCAAUAAAAGGGGGAGAAAUUUAGAAAUCAGAAAAAAUCCAGAAAGGAAAAUCUUAAGGAGAAAAUCAAAAAAUCCAAAGGCGAUUUUGUGCAGGAAAAGACAACAAAAGAAAAAGUUUCAUCAAAUCUCCCUAAUUUCCCUACAAGUUCAGUAAACGGCAAAAGAAUUGUGUGGACCUCGUAUUUCACCUUAUGCUUUUCCCCUCGAUGACGAGCUCGAUUUUUAUUUUUGAGAAAAUGAUUUAUUGGUUAAGAAAAUGAUUUGGAGUCGCCACUUAUUUUUGUUUUAUUUUUAAAGGGUAAACAAAAUAAGAAAGAAAAACCCUAAGUGUGACUUCUUAUUUUUGGAAAAGGUAGCCUGUGAAAAACCGGAUUGGGUUCGAGGGUCAGGUUACUUAUCGGGAAGGUAUGGUAAAGACCGUAGCACCCCUCUAAGUCCCUAAAGUCGGGUCUCUACUAAUAAAAUAAAGCAAUCAUGACAAUUGAUGAGGGAAUCAAUGAAUACUCAGAGUGAUCAUGCACAUGUGAGAAUCUAAACAUGCAUAUAGAAAGACCAAAAAGGGAGUGGAUGCGUACUUGGGUGACAAGCCACAAAUGUGCUAUCAAGAAAUAGGGUUAGCGCAUAGUAAUGAACAUGAAAUAUGUCACUCAUAUCACCAAACAAGAUGAGGAACCACCAAUAGCACAUAUGACACUUCAUUCAAAAUUCAUUCUUAUUUUAAAGAAAAUUUUAUUUCAUGUUGGACCCCUACCAAAGCCCGGUUUAUCUUGCAUGAAUUAAUCCCACAAAUUCCAUUUUUUUGGAAUUAUGAAAAUUCAUUCUUGCUUAUGUAAAAUCAAGAGAAACAGAAUAUCAUUUGAAAACCAAAGUGAAAUUAAAACUAUCCGAGAAAAAAUUGGUUUUUUGAAAAUUAUUUGAAAAUUGGAGUCUCGAAAAUUAUUUGAAAAUUGAAUUUUUUUAAAUAAAAUAAUAAUAAUAAUAAUAAUAAUAAUAAUGAUAAUAAAAAAUAAAUGUGAAAAUUGGAAUUUUGGAAAUUAGAAAUUGGAAAAUUGGAAUUUCAAAAAUUUGGAAUUAAAGUUGGAAAUCGGAAUUUUUGAAGAAGUAUUUAAAAAUGGAAUUUUAAAAAUAAAUACAUAAAUAAAAUAAAAUAAUAAUGAUUAAAUGAAUAAAUGUGAAGAUUGAAAUUUUGGAAAAUUAUUGGAAAAUGAGAAUUUUAAAAUUUUAAUUUGGAAAUUGGAAUCUUAAAAAAAAUAUCUUGAAAAUGGAAUUUCGAAAAAUUAAAUUUUGAAAGUUAUUUGGAGAUGGAAGUUUGUUUCGGAAAAUUAAAAUUGAUACAAAAAAUAAAUAAAAUAAUAAUGAUAAUAAUAAUAAUAAAAUGAAGAAUUAAACGUGAAUGAAAGUGGAUUGGAAGAGUGGAGAAAAUAGUGGGAGAGAGAAAGAAUGAAUAAAUAACUAAAAAGUUGGUUUGAUGGUGAAAUGGGUGGAAGCUAUCAAACCCAUUAUUUUCUUUCUUUAAUAAGUUAGCAACUGGCAUAGUUAACUCAUAGAUAAAGCCUUUUUUUUUUUUUUUAUUAUAGCAUGUGCUUUCGUCCUCAAAAUAAGGGAACUGCAAUACACCUAAACAAAAGCUGCUAGUGUUGAAACCCUCAUUGGAAGACGAAGACGAAGACCUUUCUCGUGUGAUACUUUCAUCUGGCAAAAUCCUGGGAAACCAUGCCGGAGGCGGGGACAGAGCGUCAGUCAUCUACCGACGUAAAGGGUGCUAACAUGCGCCGGAGGGGGGCAUGCUAAAGAGAAGAGAACAAGGGUGGUGAUGACUGAUGAGGGGACGGUGUGGGUUUAAGGAGAAAUGAUAGGAUAGAGACAUUCAGACACCACGCAAUAAAACUGGACCAGAUUCAUAUUAUUUCUCCCAACCGAAACCCAGAAACAAUAAAUGGAUAUAUAGUCAUAGCAAAUCCAGUGGAUGCUCAAAAAUCAACAAAAAUACCCAUAUGAUAUCCACACAGAAAUAGCUAAAUAACAGCUAAAUAACGCUCAACAAUGAAUAGAGGAGAACAAAUAGCAAGAGAAAUAAUAGGGAUGGAUAAGAAACAUACCUGGAAAUUUCUCUCUCCAGUAGCAGCUUCUCCUCAAGCUCCAAGAAAAAAGGAAUCUCCUCAUAAAACCUCUUUUUUCAUAAAAACUCUUUCUCCGGUAGCUUUCUACCCAAGCCAAGGAAUCCCUCCUAAGUUAGAGAACCUUCCCCCCUAAAAUAUCUCCAAAAACCUCGCCCCCAAAAAGCACACUCUGCUUAGAAUAUCCUUUCCUACAGCUCACUAACGACCUCAAUGUAAAACGAACGUUGCCCUCAAUAUUCUCUCCAGGUGCCUCCAUAUUAUUUGCUCUUCAAUUCCACUAUCUGAUAUUCACUGGCAGCCAACCAUGGGUCGACACGUGGUCUCCCAAGGUUCCUCCACAUGGCAAGCUAGACAGCUGCAAGAAUGACCCAAAAUGGGGUCUACAAAUAUGCCCAUCUUUGGUAGAGCUCACGAGUGUAAGGAAUAUGAACACUGAAGUGAAAAGCAAGUGUGAAUAGUGAGUGGAAUGAAGUGAACUCUACCGAAGAACUAAGGAGACCCCCUUAGGGACACUAGUGAAAUGCAAAAUCACUCAGGCUAGUAGAUGAACACAAAGGCUCUAAUCCUAAAAGAAAAGGAUGUCUCAAAAUGCCUCUGAAACCACACUAAGGACCCAAGCUCCCUUUAAGACGUCUCCAAAAGUGACUCGAGGAUCAAUAUCAAAGAUGAGUAACGGUUAAACCACUCUGAAGUACAAGAAUAAAUGCGUCCAAAUGAGACUCCUAUACAUGUACUGCAUGAGAAUGCUAGGCAUAGGGUGCCCAACAACAUGACCGAAAUAUGUGCCGUGAACUCAAAGGAUUGCGUCAUGUGUAGUGGAAGGGGAAAUCUGGAAGAACAAUGAUGAAUAAGCAUAAGCACAGGGUAACGAGGUGAGGAGAAUGAGAACAAGUGCAAAACCAUGAAUGUCAGAUGUGCAAUGCCAGUGAAUAUGAAUACCAAGAACUGUGACUUUGAAUGAUACAACUGAGGAGAAAUGACUCUGAACGUCAAAAACACGUAAAGAUGGUGACUUAAAAUCAAACAAGACUCAACUCAAUCUGACAAAACAAUGACUGAUCGAUAUAGGUGCAGCCCCAACUCAAAUUGACACAACGAAUAACCGAUCGAUAUAGGUACGGUCCCAACUCAAAAACUCAAACCCAAAUUGAUAGGAAGACGACCGAUCAAUAUAAGUGCGGCCUGAUUCAAACUGAACACAAACUGACAAGGAAAUGAUAGGAAGAUGGCUGAUCGAUAUGGGUGUGGCCUUGAAAACUCAAACUAACACAGAAAAUGAUCGAUCGAUAUAGGUGUGGUCUUGAAAACUCAAACUGACACGGAAAAUGAUAGGAAGACGGCCGAUCGACAUAGGUACGGCCUCGAAAACUUAAACUAACACAGAAAAUGACCGAUCGAUAUAAGUGCGGUCCCGACUCAAACUAAACACAAACUGACAAGGAAAUGAUAGGAAGAUGGUCGAUCGAUAUGGGUGUGGCCCCAAAACGCAAACUCAAAUUGACAAGAUGAUGACCGAUCGAUAUAGGUGCAGUCCAAAAAAAAAAAACUCAAACUCAAACUGAUAUGAAGAUGACCAAUCGAUAUAGGUGCGGUCCCAAAAACUCAAACUAACACAGAAAAUGAUAAGAAUAUGGCAGAUCGAUAUGGGUGCGGUCCCACAACACAAACUCAAAUUGAUAAGAUGAUGACCGAUCGAUAUAGGUGCGGUCCAAAAAAAAAAAAAACUCAAACUCAAACUGAUAUGAAGAUGACCGAUCGAUAUAGGUGCGGUCCUAAAAACUCAAACUAACACAAAAAUGAUAGGAAUAUGGCCGAUUGAUAUGAGUGUGGCCCCACAACACAAACUGACAAGAUGAUGAUCGAUCGAUAUAGGUGCGGUCCCGACUCAAACCCAAACACGAACUGAUAGAAAUAUGGCUGAUCAAUAUAUGUGCGGCCCCAAAACGCAAACUCAAAUUGACAAAAUGAUGACUAAUCGAUAUAGGUGCGAUCCCGAUUCAAACUCAAACUCAAACACAAACUGACAAGAUGAUGACUGAUCGAUAUAGGUGCGGUCUUGACUUAGACUCAAACAGACAAGAUGAUGGCCAAUCGAUAUAGGUGCGGCCUAGACUCAAACUCAAACAGACAAAACGAUGAAUGAGUGAUCGAUAUAGGUGCGACCCUGACUUAAACUCAAACAGACAAAACGAUGAGUGACCGAUCGAUAUAGGUGCUGUCCCAUAAACUAAACUGACAUGACAAGGAGAUGACCGAUCGAUAUAGGUGCAACCCCAAAUUUUAAUUGAUAAGACAAUGACCAAUCGAUAUAGGUGUGGUCCCAAGAAACUAAAUUGACAAGACAAUGAGAUGGCCGAUCGAUAUAGGUGUGGCCCCAAACUUUGACUGAUAAGACAAUGACUAAUUGAUAUAGGUGCGGUCCCAUAAACUAAAUUGAACACGAAAAGUGAUAGCAAGAUGACCGAUCGAUAUAGGUGCGACCCCGACUCAAACUAAACUGAAACUGACAAGAUGAAUGAAUGACCUGAUCAAAUGGUCCAAAGCCAAAUGAUAACCCAGAUAACGAUGCAAGCAAACUCGGUCGAAGGGGAUAUGCCCCAGUAUGACAACUCAUGAGGAUCGACAACUAGGUCAAAAGAUAAUGAAGCCUGUGAAAGGUCCGAUGAUCCUAGGGAAGGAAGGUAUGCCCCGGUAUGCAACUCGAGGGAGUCAACAACUAGAUCGAAAAGUAAAUGAAGCAUGUGGAAGGUCCGAUGCUCUCGGAGAAGGGGGUAUGCCCCAGUAUGACCACUCGGAGGGGUAAAAAACUAGAUCAAGAAGUGAAUGAAACCUAGGGAAGGUCUGAUGAUCCUAGGGAAGGGGGGUGUGCCCAGUAUAUGACAAUGAACAAAUUGGGAUACACAAUGUCUCAAAACUACUGUGCUAUAAAAUAUGCUCAAUCAUCAUGUAAUGAAAAUGUCCAACCUUAUAUAAGUAAUGCCAAAUAGGACCAUGUAUCGUGAUACCAUGUCUACAAAACAAAACUAACUAAUGGAUAAGGACAAUGAUGACCAGUGCUCAAAACCCAAGGAGUAAGCAAAUCAACACUCAACAUGCUAACUGUCAAAAUGAAAACAUCAUCACUAAUAAAUCAACAAUCUGUCAGGUCCUGCCAUCAUGGAAGAUGUUGAACCUAAAGUCCGAAAGAUGCAUGAAAGCACAACCAAGGCGAUCGAAGACGGAUCUACAUCUCUUCCUAAUCGAGAUAGGGGUGAGGUCAUGUGUCAUGAUGGGAUGUGUAGGAUAAAAAAAGGUGAUGAUCAAGCUCUGGUAUGAUAGAAGGCAUGAGAGUAUCUAGAGUGAAAUGUCUGAUUACGAGAUGAAAUGUAUGUAAGUAUCCGAGAUCAUCCAAGUAUGCCGAGAAGACUAGACCCAAGGCGCCAAUAGCUACAUAAUCCAUUGAAACCUUCAACCACAAACAGAAAAUCAAGUCUCGAUGUCAAAACCUCCAACAAAGUGGCUAUGCCCCAGUAUGCAAUGAGGACAACAUGAAAUAAUCUAAUGAUCUCCAUACCACUCGUCAGAUACUCCAACAUCAAGAAUCAAUAUGAUCUCUCUCCAAAAGAUGGAUAUGCCCCAGUGUACAGGAUCCAAUAGGGUGACUAUGCUCCAAUGAAAAAUACUCUCCAUCUCGUCUAAACCCCAGUGUAAAGCAGUGCAUCCAAGUCAACAACUGCUAAAAAGGACCACGCGUAGUGCACAUCAAUAAAUCAAUCGAUCUCUACUCCUGAUGCCAAAAAUGGAAACAUCUCAUCAUAGUCCAUAUGAAUCAAAAUCCUCGAGCUUUAUGAGUACAAAUGAACUGGCUAUGCCCUAGUAUAAACCAUCUGAAGUGACUAUGCUCCAAGAUAAAUCAAAGUCCAUCACCGAUGAGAGGGCUAUGCCUCAAAAUAAAUCGUCAUCUCAAAAAUCAACCAUCAAUGAGUAGAGUGUGUCCCAAUGCAGGGUAUUGAGUAGAGUGAUUGUAUAUCCAAUAAAAGGGCUCUCUGAAGUGGCUAUGCCCAAGUGUAGGGUCACCCCACAACUCCUAAUCCAUCAUAAUCCAAGUGAAGAAGCAAACUAGCUAUGCCACAAUGCAAGGUAUCAUCUCGAAAGAAAACGUCAUCGAUGAGUGGUGUAUGCCCCAGUGUAGAUAACGUCGCAUUUGAAAAUCCAUCACUGAUAAGGGGAGUAUGCUCCAGUGUAAUCCAUAUCAUAGCUCCUCAUCUAUCAUGCUCUAAGAAAUGAUCCCUAACCAAACUUGAGUAUUGCCCACGUGUGAACUAUCAAACACAAUGUGAAGUAAUGGCCUCAGGAUGGUCUUCAGACACGGGACAUAACGUAGGCCAAGGUAAUAGGGUGGAAGAAAUAAAAGGAAACUAGGCUCAAAGAUCCCAAUGAUAUAAUCCACAUAUCCCUCAUGCAUGAGAUGCAAUGCGUAGAAAACGUCAUGAGUCCCGGACCUAGGGGUCCCCACGCGAAAAAUAAUGAUAAAUGAAUGGUCACAUCGAAUAAGCAAGAAUAAAGUGUGGAUGCUGAACCCAUGUCAAACAUCAAGCAGGAUGAGAAAAUGAUGAAAUCAGAUGAGGUAGAGUGAAAUGGAUGAAUAAGAUAAGGAUAGGAGAAGACAAAAAGAUAGGAAAGUGAGUGAUGGUCAACCUGCAUCAAAGCAUGGAAAGUAGUCACAUCCGAAAUAGAUGAGAUGAUGGAUAGAGUCAGGAUCUAGAGAUACUGAAGAAAGGUCGCUCGCCUCUCUCACAAAAAAUCGAAUGGGCGACUCAUACUCUCACAAAAAAUAUACAUCAAUAUGAAUCUCAGAAAGAAGCUCUCAUAUGAACUCUUUCUAACACAUGAACUCAAUGAAGCAAACUGGCACGUCCAUACACAUGCUUAAUGGAGAAUGAUAAAAUGAACAAUGCACUAUCUUUUUUUUUUUUUUUUUUGCGCAUACUCCAAUCAAUAAUGAAUGAUCUCCCAUGAAAUACAUAGCCAAAUGAAUAAACUCUCCCCAUGUACUGAUGUAACAUGAAUCCUCACUAACAAGACAACCUCUCAAAAUAAGAUCUCUGAACCACUGCUCAUAAGGCGAACAAGGGAGGAACGUGACAAUCCUCCAUGCAGUGACGUGUGAGAAACUACCACUCAAGGCGAAACAAGGAUAAUGUCGAGUAAGCAAUGAUGAAAGAAAAGACAAAUAACAAAUAUCACAAGUGGUGAUAUGUGAUAUUGGAAAAUAGUGAUGAAAUGAUGUCCAAGUGGAAAAUAUCACAAUGAAGAGUGAGGAAUGAGGCUUGAAUAUACAUGUCAGGUCUGGAACUCAUGACGUAUCCAAUCAUAGCAUGCAAGCACUAUAGGGUUCCCAACCCGGUGUAAUAGGUAAAUGAGGUGAUGAAAGAAAAGGCUAUAUGCUCGUGUGAGGCUCAAAGGGCUAGCAACGAGUAACUCUAUAUGUGAGGAUGAUAGGGUAAAUGAGCUCAUGAAAUGAUGGCCACCCAUCCUAUGACCACAACCUCGAACAUCGUGCUUUCAAGAUCUCACAUGGCCAAUACUAAAGAUUGACAUUCGUCCAACAAAGUCAUGUUAACUCAUCUGAAAUCAUGUGAAAGCUCUCACUGAUGAUCUGUGAUAACCAUCAAUGUUCUCCGACAAUCAUCUCACUCUAUCAUCAUAAUCCACUCACCAUCGUCUCAUAAAAUCACCAUCUCUAAUCAUCCUAACCCUCUGAAGUCAUGUGCAAUGGCUCAAAUCUAGACGCUCCAUGAUAACCCCUCUGUCUCAACAAUAUCAUUAAGCAGUCAAGCCAAUCUCUCAUCGUGAUCCAUCUAUCAUCAUGCGAAGCUCAUCUUUGGUCAAACCAACUCAGACACUACCUGGUCAGAUCAAGGAAAUGAUGGAAAGGAAAGACAAUGGUACUGUAGCAUGGUAAGGCGAACAAGGAUAGUAAAGUCAUACGGUGGUACCAAAGGGCGGUGUCAUGUCAAGCUCAAAAUGGGUAGGUCAUCAAGUCCACAGAGUCAGGGUAUGGAUAUGGAUAUGGUACUGCUCUGAUCAGAAGGUGAAAUGAGUCACAGUCUCGAACUCCCUAGGUCGAUCUCCUGAUCCUAGGUUAAAAGGCUCAAUAUCCUCCAUGAUAGGUCAAGCCAGAGUGAUCAUGAUGUAUAAGUGAAAAGAUGUCUCAUAUCGAAAGCAUAAGACACAUCAACACAAGAUAUGUAAAGCACACUCACGAGAAAAAUGCCACAUACUCCGAUAAAAGAUCAUAUCACUAAAUGAACCAAUGAGUACAUCAUGUAUGAAACGAAAAAUGACUACCAAUGACUGGACUCUCAACAUGAACUAAAAACAACGACUCUAAACCAAACUAGACUAAACAAAAACAACUUUGAUGAACCCAAAACUAGACUCGACAAAAUGGAAAUGACUCUGAUGAUGACCAUAAUAAAAAAUGAAAAGCACUAUGAGCUGAACUACUACCAAAUGAUGUACCCAAUGUCGACUGAUCCAAGUCCUCAACCCGGGAUGUCCUAAAAUACCAUGUGACAAUCAAUACCAUCAACAUCCUAAUCAAUCUACUGAAGACUAAGAGGAGGAGGAACUGCAUGUGUAGAAUGCGUAGGUAGAGGAUUGGUGGUCACACUUAACCCAGCCAAGUUGACCAACCCUGAAUCGAUCGAGUCUUGUAUCGCAUGAUGGGGUGCCGAACAACGCUCAGUAUCGUGCCCCUGCAUCUGAUGAUAUAAGCAAUGCUCAUGGGAGCAAAAAUGUGGAGGAAUAGGAUGUGGCAAAGGGCGUGGCUCCAAAGGAACGAUCAAACCACCAUCUCUGAGCUUUUCAAAAGCUCUAGUUAAGGUCAUGCCCCAGGGAGUGAACUGUCUCAUGGGCCUCUGUGCAUAUGGUCUAGGUGGCGGGUGAGUAGUGGCUCUCAGAUGUGAUGGUUGUGGCUGCAUGUUGGCUUAUGCAAUGUAAGGCUCCUGAACAUACAUUAGUUGAUACUGAUACUGCGGAUGAGAUAAAUGAGCUCUGAUUAGAGGAGGUCUGUAAGGUGAGUGGUGGUGCGGGCCUCUGAUACUGAUAACUAAUAGCGCCAACCUCUCCAGAUCUACUAAAUGAUCCAAUCGGCUUCUUCCCCUUACUGUCAGGGGAAGGAGUAGUAUCUGUCCAUAAUCCUUGAGCGAUGACCUCCUCAACACUAAAAGCUGCAUGAACUAGACUCUUAAGAUCCUAAAAUGGGAUGCCCACAAGACAUCUCGCGAACCUCGGUUGUAGGUUCCGAAGAACCAUGUCAAUCUGAUCUUGCUCCUUAGGCCGGUCUAUCAUACCAGCCACCUUUGCCCUCCAAUGAGUGACAAAGGAAGAAAUAGACUCAUCUGGCCUUUGCCUGGUGGCCUACAACUCUCGUCAAGAUACAUCAAUAUCGGCACUAAAAGCGAACUGAGUCAGGAACUCAUGAGCCACAUCCUCCCAGGUGCGAAGUCUCGAAGGCUCAACUGAAGCAAACCAUUUUUGAGCUACUCCACUAAGUGACAUGGGAAAGAGGGCCACCAACUGUGCAUCAUCUAUCCCAUGUGCUCUCAUGACUGUGCUGUAUAAUCUCAAAUGGAUCUUGGGACAACCAAUCCCACUAUAACGCUCAAUGUCUGGCAUGCGAAACUUGGUGGGCAAGCUAGCCGCCGAUAUACCAUCCCUAUCAUCCCAAGUCAAACCUCCAUCUUGUAAUCUGAUUUGUCUCAUCCUAGACUCAAGCCUCUCAACCCUGGUCUCCUGCUUAGCCAAUCUAGUAUCCUUAAUAGUAGGAACCAUGGGAGGCGGCACCGUGACAGUAGGUGGUGGAAUGGUCUCAUAAUGAUCUGCCAGAUGGAAUGGAGUACCAAGUGAAACCCUAGGUGGAAGAGCAUGUGCUGUCUGAGAUGCAUGAGGAACCGUCUCAUUAGUGACCAUGCCAACUGGAUGGGGAUCCUGAUGAGAACUCUCUAUCUGAUCCAACCGUCUACUGACUCCGACCAUGAACUCCUAAAUAGAAGCAAGUGUGGAAGCUAACUCGUCCGACAUCUCAACUGAACUGUCUGAACUCUGAUGUGAAUCUGAUCAGAUCAAUCGUCCUCCAACUCUCCUCCAAGAAUGUGACUCCAGCUCAAUCGACUCCUAAACUGACUCCCUACAAUGCAAACAAAAUGGAUGAAGGACACGAGAUAGAAUUCUAAAAGACGACAAUACAACAUGCAAGCACAUGGUCCUAAGAUAGCAAUCUAAAAUCUGGAUGUAUGACGAGAACUCUAGAGUCAUAAAGGUGUCCACUGCGAGACGACAACAAAUGUGACUAGAUAAUUCCUAUCAAUAAUCCAAGAUGAAAGAGGUGUGAAAAACACGCUAUCAUGAGAUCAAUACUCUAUCUAUAACCACAUAUCAUUGACUCAACCUUCAACUCAAGUUCCAUAAGAGAAAAAUAAUAAGGUGAUCAAGGUAACUCUCUCGAAAAAAGUGUGAAUGCGAAAAUGUGCCUUUCACUUUUCUGUAAUGAAAAUAUGAGCGUCGAGUCGAAAAUUAAAUCAAGAAUCAAACAAAGAAUGGUGUUGAGGUCGUGACAGGUGUACAGUGUAAAAAGAUGAUCAAUGAAUAUAUCUCGAAGCAUCCAGCAACUGACAACAAAGUGAAAGGGUGUGUUGAGCCAAGAAAUGAGAACGAAAGCCCUGGGAAGAAAACAUGACAAACUCAUCGAGUGAAAAGCAUAAUCCAAAGUGACAUGACGAAAAGUGAUCCAACCGAUACUCAACUCAUACCAAUCUCUGAGCACUCUCAAAUGGAAACCCGAAAGAGAAAACACUAAAUCUAGGUGGUGACUAAAGUGGCUUUGAAGGCUCUCAGAUGCACCCACGUGUGAGGAAGGAAUCCUAAUCAAAGGAUCUAAGCUCAUCCUAUAAGGUCAAGGUGGCCCUAAAAGAAAAUGGGUAGACUUUAAAAGGUCCCUAGCAGAAGCGAUCGUACCCUCUGGCGGUACGCAACCCUCUGCACGCCUCCAAAGAGAUGGAGCGCUUCCAUGCAAGGUGGUCAUCCUCCACACAUGCACUACCUUGCAUCCUUGGGGGCUCCUAUGGUGAAACCUCUCCUAAUGGUUGGCGUAUCUCACAACUCUGACCACUCAUCAACGAUCUAAGGUGCAUAGUGAGUGGUGCGGGUGCAUCCGAAAAAUCCUAUGAAACUAAAAGAGAACACACUGACCACACAAAUAUCCUGAAAUCUAGCUCUGGGCUAUACAAAUCUUCAAAGUUUGGACUCCAAUCAGCAUCAAUAUGUCGACCACCUCCAGAAUGCUUCCAAACAUAGAUAUAGCCCAUCGCUAGACCCUCUAAUCACUAGCUCAGUCGAAGAGCAAAGAAAACAACAAGUCUCAUAUCAAAUAUGAGACCCUAGAAAACAAGGUCGACUGAGACUAGGGACUUGGAGACAAGGGGAUAGGUGUGUGUCCCACAUAGACAAGUAACUCAUGCAAUCACACAGAAUGAGAGGAGUCAUGCAACAAACAUCAUGCAAAAUAGGUAUAUAUCAUCCAAAUCUACACACAAACUAAUCGAGAAGAAUAUCUGGCAAAUGAUAGUAUGCUCCUUGAUAAUCAAGAUAAUAUAUAACUGAGAGAAUCAAUCAUGUCAAAUCAAAUGAUAUACAAUGGUGAGUCUAUACAUGUGAGGUAAUAAAAACAAACAUGGCAAAAUCAGAGUCACUAUGCUAAGCAAGGUAAGAUGAUCAAUCAACAUAAUCAACAUAACAAUGUCUCAAACAAAUAUAGCAAUAAAGCACGGGAAAAAUCGCCACAAUCGGAAUCCUCAAUCAAGAUAAUCAAUCAUCAUAAUUAGCAUGUCCAUGUCCCAAAUGAAUACAAUAACCAAACAUGCAUCCAAUGAUAUCAAGAACUCUCAAUGUGCAAUCAAGAGAUAGGUAUCCACUGAUCGACCAAUCAAACGCCACAUUUGCUUCAUCUUAAGUUCAAGCUUGACCCUCUAGUGAUCCCUAGUGGAGUCGCCAUUUUGUGGACCCCGCAUUUUGGCUCAUGUGUUUUCCCUCGAUGGUGAGCUCGAUUUUUAUUUUUGAGAAAAUGAUUUAUUGGUUAAGAAAAUGACUUGGAGUCGCCAAUUAUUUUUGUUUUAUUUUUAAAGGGUAAACAAAAUAAGAAAGAAAAACCCUAAGUGUGACUCCUUAUUUUUGAAAAAGGUGGUCUGUGAAAAAUCGGAUCGGGUUUGGGGGUCAAGUUACUUAUCGGGAAGGUACGGUAAAGAUCGUAGCACCCCUUUAAGUCCCUAAAGUCGGGUCUUUACUAAUAAAAUGAAGCAAUCAUGACAAUUGAUGAGGGAAUCAAUGAAUACUCAAAGUGAUCAUGCACAUGUGAGAAUCUAAACUUGCAUAUAGAAAGACCAGAAAGGGAGUGGAUGCGUACCUGGGUGACAAGCCACAAAUGUGCUAUCAAGAAAUAGGGUUAGCGCAUAGUAAUGAACAUGAAAUAUGUCACUCAUAUCACCAAACAAGAUGAGGAACCACCAAUAACACAUAUGACACUUCAUUCAAAAUUCAUUCUUAUUUUAAAGAAAAUUUUAUUUCAUGUUGGGCCCCCACCAAAGCCCAGUUUAUCUUGCAUGAAUUAAUCCCACAAAUUCUAUUGUUUUGGAAUUAUGAAAAUUCAUUAUUUCUUAUGUAAAAUCAAGUGAAACAGAAUAUCAUUUGAAAACCAAAGUGGAAUUAAAACUGUGCGAGAGAAAAUUGGUUUUUUGAAAAUUAUUUGAAAAUUGGAGUCUCGAAAAUUAUUUGAAAAUUGGUUUUUUUUUAAAAUAAAAUAAUAAUAAUAAUAAUAAUAAUAAUAAUAAUAAUAAUAAUAAUAAUAAUAAUAAUAAUAAUGAUAACAAAAAAUAAAUGUGAAAAUUGGAAUUUCGGAAAUUGGAAAAUUGGAAUUUUGAAAAUUUGGAAUUAAAUUUGGAAAUCGGAAUUUUUGAAGAAGUAUUUAAAAAUGGAAUUUUAAAAAUAAAUACAUAAAUAAAAUAAAAUAAUAAUGAUUAAAUGAAUAAAUGUGAAGAUUGGAAUUUUGGAAAAUUAUUGGAAAAUGGAAAUUUUAAAAUUUUAAUUUGGAAAUUGGAAUCUUAAAAAAAAAUAUAUUGAGAAUGGAAUUUUGAAAAAGUAAAUUUUGAAAGUUAUUUGGAUAUGGAAGUUUGUUUCGGAAAAUUAAACUUUGAUACAACAAAAAAUAAUAAUAAUAAUGAUAAUAAUAAUAAUAAUAAUAGUAUUAAUAAUAAUAAUAAUAAUAAUAAUAAUAAUAAUAAUAAUAAUAAUAAUAAUAAUAAUAAUAAUAAUAAUAAAAUGAAGAAUUAAACGUGAAUGAAAGUGGAUUGGAAGAGUGGAGAAAAUAGUGGGAAAGAGAAAGAAUGAAUAAAUAAAUAAAAAGUUGGUUUGAUGGUGAAAUGGGUGGAAGCUAUCAAACCCAUUAUUUUCUUUCUUUAAUAGGUUAGCAACUGGCAUAGUCAACUCAUAGAUAAAGCCUUUUUUUUAUUAUAGCCUGUGCUUUCGUCCUCAAAAUAAGGGAACUGCAAUAUACCUAAACAAAAGCUGCUAGCGUUGAAACCCUCAUUGGAAGACGAAGACGAAGAGCUUUCUCGUGUGAUGCUUUCAUCUAGCAAAAUCUUGGGAAACCAUGCCGGAGACGGGAAUAGAGCGUCAGUCAUUGUCCGGCGUAAAGGGUGCUAACAUGCGCAAUAGGGGGGCAUGCUAAAGAAAAGAGAACAAAGGUGGUGAUGACUGAUGAGGGGGCGGUGUGGGUUUAAGGAGAAAUGAUAGGAGAGAGGCAUUCAAACACCACGCAAUAAAACUGGACUAGAUUCAUAUUAUUUUUUCCAACCGAAACCCAAAAACAAUAGAUGGAUAUAUAGUCAUGGCAAAUCCAGUGGAUGCUCAUAAAUCAACAAAAGUAGCCAUAUGAUAUCCACACACAAAUAGCUAAAUAACAGCUAAAUAACGCUCAACAAUGAACAAAGGAGAGCAAAUAGCAAGAGAAAUAAUAGAGAUGGAUAAGAAACAUACCUGGAAAUUUCUCUCUCCAGUAGCAACUUCUCCUCAAGCUCCAAGCAAAAAGGAAUCUCCUUAGAAAACCUCUUUUUUCAUAAAAACUCUCCCUCCGAUAGCUUUCUGCCCAAGCCAAGGAAUCCCCCCCAAGUUAGAGAACCUUCUCCCCCAAAAUAUCUCCAAAAACCUUGCCCCCAAAAAACACCCUCUACCUAGAAUAUCCUUUCCUGCAGCUCACUAACGGCCUCAAUGCCAAACGAACGCUGCCCUCAAUAUUCUCUCCAGGUGCCUCCAUAUUAUUCGCUUUUCAAUUCCACUAUUUGAUAUUGACUGGCAGCUAACCAUGGGUCGACACGUGGUCUCCCAAGGUUCCUCCACGUGGCAAGCUAGGCAGCUGCAAGAAUGACCCAAAAUGGGGUCUAUAAAUUGCUACAUGCGUUUUUUUGCCACUCAACGAGCUCAUUCGGGAAUAAGCCACUUGUAGCCCUCGAUUGAUCUUUGAAAUCAAGAAAACACCAUCGUCAUCUUCCAAAGUGUGAUCAAGAUAGAAGAAUUAGAGAAAAAAAAUAUUUUUUUUGGAAAUAAUAUUAUUUUUGAGAUUUUACACACAAUAUUUUUAAUUUCAAUAAAUAUUUUGUUCGUAUUAUUUUCCUAUUUGUUUUGCUAAUUUUGUAGGACCAAUUUACGAAAUUUGUGCGUACAAUGACAUAUAAAUAAGAUAUAAAAUUACAUAAUUUAUUAAUUUGUUAUAUUUUUAAGAAAUUAAUUUAUUUGUAUUUUGACAAAUUUAUCUUCAUUGAAAUAGUAGUAUACCAAAUCCUUAAGUUUAAAUAUAUAAUUUUUAUAUUAUUAAAGUACAUAUUUUUAAUUUCAACAAUAAUUUAUAAUUUAAUAUUUUUUAAUUAAAUAUUAAAAUAAAAAUAACUAAAUCUUUAAUUGGCAAUUGAGGUUUUAGUUCAAAAAUCAAAUCUUAAUUAAGAACUAAGGUUUCAACUUAAUUUUUUUUUUAAUGAGAUGGCUCUAAGUGGCUAUAAAGGUACUAGUUUAAAGUGACUCUAAGGGUUGGUUGCUUGUCAUUUCAAAGAUGUGAAAAAAGCUAAAACCAACUAUUUUCCAAAUUACUUGUAAAAAUAAACAAUCCAACAUUUUCAAGAAAGGCAUGGAUGCCUCUCUUAUAGUCUUUAUACAACAAAGCUAUUCAAGUUUGGUACACUACUAAUUAUAUAAAUUAUAUUAAUGAAAGAGCAUAAAAAAUAAAAUUAAUCACACAAAGAUAAACAAGGUUUUAACAUGAUUCAAUUGUCUACCCCCACAUAUGAGAGAACAUUUUAUAAUAAAAAAUAUUAUGGACAAAACAAAUUCAACUAUUGCUUACCCCCACAGAUGAUAAAUAACAUUAUAUAAUAGAAAAUGUUAUGCACAUAAACAAAUUCAACUAUUGGGUCUCGAAACAUUUCACAUUUCUUCACUUUUUAUAUCUCCAUCCUGAACCAUAAGCUCUUUUGCUCUUUUAAGUAUCUCUCACUCUUUCUCGAAUCUCAAUCUUGAACUAUGAUCCCUCUUACUCCACCAAGUGUCACUCACACUUCCUCACAUCUUUAUCAAUCAUCUAUAAUCUUCACAAACUCAUGUCUCUCUCAUAAUUUUUCUCCUCAUGACAUAGAUUAUUUAAAAAUUUGAGACACUUCACGACUUAUAUUUCUUGUGAUCGGUUAUUAUCAAAUUACGCAUAUUGUGUACUUGUAAGCAAAUGGGUCUCAAAUAAGAAAUAAUUCUAACAAUCAAUUGGAAUGAAGGGAAAGAUUAACUUUCAUCCAACCCAUCAUUUAAAAAACUCACAUCCAUUUUGAUUCAAGAAUAAAUAGAAAAUAUUGGUUUGGUCAGGUUCGAAUCAAUUAUUUUUACACCCAGGUACUUAUAGAAAUAAAGAUAGCAUGAGAGAAACUAAAGGAUGAGAGAAUACCUUUGGAGGGGGAGAGAGUGGUCUUUGCCUUAUGAGCUGGUAGGUGUGAAAUAGUAGAAGAAGGCAUACGACUUUAGUUACAGUAAGGUACGGGUAGAGACUUCUGCUUCCAAAACGGUUCAUGUGUUUUCUAGCCAAUGUUUUAAAGUAAGAAAGUCAAAUAUGUUUUAAAGCCAUGGGAUCUCAUUGAGAGUACUAAAGCAUAUAAUAUCUAUAUGAAGGAAGUAGAACAUUAUAAAAUGAUUUCAAAACCACUUCUCAACCUUAGUGUACAAUCCUAUAAGACAUUACGAAGACAUUGUGUUUGCAUAUGGGUAACUGUGAUAUCACACAUUGGUUAAGAAAAAAAAUCUUAAUAUUAUAUAUGUGACACCUCGCUAGAAGGAUAAGGACACCACAAUCCUUUCACAUGUCAAACCUAAGAGCCUAACAUAUAAAUGACCUCAACUAACAAAUCCAUCAUCUACCUAACGAAUAGCUACCUCAAAUUCAUUUAAAACAAUAAUAAAAUCAUUCAAAAGGUUAUGAAUCUCUAAUCCAAAACUAAUUAAAAUAUCUAAACAAUAAAUUCAAUGUGUGAGCAUUUUUGUGUGUUGGCAAUUUCGAUUCAAAAUUCCAAUUGUGUUUCUCCUAGCUCAAUUUCUUCAAAUACUCCAUUAGAUUCUUAUCAUUUCCAAACUAUUAAUGAUUGAAGAUUGCUAAAAGAGAUGAUAAGUAUUUUUUAGGUGAUGGAUGAUAUCAAAUAUUGGUCAACCAAGUUUAAAUAUUUCAUCAUUUUUAUUGAAAAAUGGAAUUGAAGCUUAAGGGUGUUAAAUUUUUUAUUUAUAUCAAUUAGAUCCAUUUUUAAUCAAUUAAUCCAAAGGGUAACAAUUUUUUCUAUACCCAAAUUUUUUUCGAUCAUAUCUGAUCAAUCAAAGUUCAAUCAUAUCUACGAAUCUUCAUUAUUUUCCAAACAAAUCUCAACUAUUUGAUGGGUUUUAAAAUCCUAAUAUUUAAGCCACAUUUCCAAAUUAGGGGAAAACGAUUGUGAGAGAUAAGUGACCUCCCUUGAACUUAAAGUUCUUUACUCAUUUUAGGAGAAUUUGGUUUGAAAGAAAAUUUUAUAGAUGUUCAGUGUAAAAUAAUAUUUUGAAUGAGAAAAUUUCUUUCAAAAUGUAUUGAUUCAAUGUGAGUUUUAUCCUUACUAUCAUAUUUGAGGUAAAACUCAAUUUUUUUCUUAUUUGGAUUUACGAAGUGGAAGAUCAAGUUUGGUGUGGACUCCAAUUAUGCUCCAGAUGAAAAAAAAAAAAGGUAGUUGAAGUUUGAAUGUUCUAAACAAGUGGUCCAGGAGAUGAUUAAAGGCUUAGACUAGAUAAAUCUUUGUACUUUGUUAAUUUUCUUCACAAUAGAUGUUUUUGAUUGCCAGUAGACUCAUAGAUACCAAGACGAGAGUAACUCCAGAUAGAUACCAAAAUGGAUACAGCUGUUUAUCUUGCACAAAGGAAUGUUCAGAUGGGUUUCUAUAUGUGCCCCUUUGAUGAUUAAGUCAAAGAGAGUUGACUUGAGCAAGAAAAUGUUGUUUUGGAAAGGUGGCAACAUACCUUUCUGUGGACAUGGGUGGCUAUUUAUUCUUGCUCAUGUGUAAUGUCUUUUUGGGCUUUUUAAUAGCACCUUAAUUGAGUUUGAUUAUGCAUUAUUGUGGCAAUGAUUGCCAACCCAUAAUGGUGUUUUUGCUUUGAUGAGCCUUAAAUAAUGGUGUCUUAUCCUUGUAACGGCUACAUCAAUCAAGGCUCAUGUCUGGUGCACAAGUAACACUUGAAGGCAAUUUAAUGCUUGGAGGCAAGUCAAACACCAUUCUCAUUGUCCAAUCAUUUGAAAUAGUCUGUCUAUUACCCUACACUCAGACGAACUAUCCAUUCAGUUUUAUGUCCUCCUUUCAAACGGCGAUGAACAUAGACAACUAUAGGGGAUGAAAUGAGAAUGAGGGCCUAAAAAUUUCCCUUCCAUUUCUUUGUUUGGCUACCUAGAAAAAGGAAAUCCAAACAAAUCUUGACUGUAAGUAUCAAAGUCAUAUUUGAAAGUUUUAUCAAAACAUUUUUUUAAAUUGUUUUUACUUUAAAAACUACUUUGAAUAGGUCAAAUAUGAAAAGUGUUGCUAAAUGUAACUUCCUAUUGUAAAAAAUACAAAAAAAUAAAUAAAUAAAUAAAUAAAAAUUGAAGUGUUUGGUUAACUUUAAAUAGAAAAUUGUAUUUUGAGAAUUUAUUUUAAAAAUAAAUUUGAGAUGUCUAUUUUUAGUAAUGUUGUUAUUAACAAUUCAAAAUAUCAAUAAUACUUUGAAAUGUUUUUUUAUUAUACAUAAGUGUGUGAUACUUUCGUCAAUAAGCCAAAAAUAUUUUUUUUCAUGUUUAAAACCAAUUGAAAGUUGUUUUUAAAUUCUUGUUUGGAUGGAUGUUUGAGAAAUUAAGAAAUCUUUCUUAAGUUCAAUUAAGACAUGUAUGCCUCUUUAACUUAUUUUGUUGAAAGAGUUCAAAUAUAAAAAUAAAAAUUUGACUAAAUAUAUUUAACUCUAUAGGUUUGAAAUUUCAUUUAAUACAUUUUCUAUCCUUUUCAUUCCUUAUUUUCACUCACCCCCAUUUUCAUUCAAAAUAAGAGAGGAUGUCAUAAUCCUUAUUAGGAUUAAGGAACAAAACUGAAAUAGGGACAAUGUUGAGAAAGCUAAGGAAUUGUCUUCUAAGGCUAAUGUAGUAGAAGAAAAACCUAAACCCAAAAACAAUAGGUCCAAGAAACAAAACUCUAAGACCAAGCCCAAUGCAUCAAACAAGGUCCAAAACUCAACUAUUAAAAAACAGUGUAAUUGCUUUGUCUGUGGCAAGUUUGGACCCAUGCAACUCAAUGUCGCCACAGGAAGAAAAUUGAGAAGUCCAAUUCAAAGGCAAAUCUGGAAGAGGCAGAUGUGAUCACAACAGUAAUCUCCUCUGAGGUGAGCAUGGUCACCAAUAUAAAGGACUGGGUGGUAGACUCUGGGGCUACCAUGCACAUCUGUGGGAAUAAAAGUGCAUUUACUUCCUAUACCACUGUAAAGGAAGGAGAUGAACAAGUGUUCAUGGGUGAUUCUAGAUCUACUCUAGUGAUUGGCAAAGGGAAAGUUCUCCUCAAGCAAAUAGUUUUAACCAAGAAUGAUGCAUUUGUGGGAAAGGGCUAUUGUCAUCAAGUUUUAUUUAUGUUGAAUGUUUAUGAUAUUAUCAAUAAUAAUGCAUCUUCUUCUUUUUCUUCUUACAUAGUUGAUUCUUGUGAUAUUUCGCAUGGUAGACUAGGACAUGAACUUUUCAUAUAUGAAGAAAAUGGUUAAAUUGAGUUUAAUCCCUAAAUUGUCCUUAGAGAAACCAUAAAAAUGUGAAUCUUGUGUAGAAUCUAAAACCACAAAGAAAUCUUGCAAAUCAGUUGAAAGAGAAUCAGAUCUACUAAGUUUAAUACACAGUGACUUAAGAGACCUAAAAAAUACAAUGACUAGAGAUGGUAAACAAUUCUACAUAACUUUCAUAGAUGACUACUCAAGGUAUACAAGGGUAUAUCUUUUGAGAAACAAAGAUAAAGCAAGAGAUGUUUUCAUCAAGUACAAAAAUGAAGUAGAAAGUCAACAAAGUAAGAAAAUUAAAAGGCUUAGAACUGAUAGAGGAGGAGAGUAUGAGUCCAACCCCUUUAAUUCUUUUUGUGAAGAUCAUAGGAUCAUUCACGAAACUAUUCCUCCUUAUUCCCCUGAGUCUAAUGGAGUAACAGAAAUGAAAAAUAGUACCUUAAAAGAAAUGAUGAAUGCAAUGUUGGUAAGUUCAGGAACACCCUUGAACUUGUAGGGGAAAGCUAUCGUAUCUGCUUAUCUUAUUCAAAAUAGAAUGCCUUACAAGAAAACUAGUAAAACUCCUUAUGAGUUGUGGAAGGGUUAUGCACCUAAUAUAGUAUACCUGAAAGUGUGAGGGUGUUUAGCUAAAGUUCUUAUCCUUGAACCUAAAAAAUGAAAACUAGGUCCUAAAACCUUUGGCAAUGCUGAGAAUAGUGCGGCAUAUAGGUUUCUUGUUACUAAGUAAGAAAAUAGUCUUGUAGAUGUCAAUACUAUAAUAGAAACAAAGAAUGCAUAUUUCUUUGAAACAUAUUUCCUAUGAAACUAAAUGGUGAAAUACAAGUUGAGAAAAUAAGUAGAGACAAGUUUAUUGAACCUUUUGAAUUUGAACUUAGAAGGAGUAAAAGAGAUAGGAAAUAAACAAACCUUGGAGAUGGUUUAUACACCUUCCUAAUAGAUGAUGACCUUAGAUCCUACAAAGAAGCUAUAACUUCUCUUGAUGCACCAUUCUAGAAGGAGGCCAUUAACAAUGAAAUCGAAUCAAUCAUGUAUAACCAUACAUGGAAGUUAGUAUAUUUACCUCUUGGUGCAAAGACUAUUGGUUGUAAAUGGAUCUUUAAAAGAAAGUUAAAACAAGAUGGGCUCAUAGAAGUAUAAAGAUUGUUUAGUUGCCAAAGACUUUAAACAAAGGAAGAAUGUAGAUUACUUUGACACAUUUACCCCUAUGACUAGAAUAACAUCAAUUAGAGUAUUGAUCGCUCUAGCUUCCAUUCAUAAUUUGGUGAUACACCAAAUGGAUGUCAAGACUGCAUUCUUGAAUGGGUAUUUGGAAGAAGAAUUUUAUAUGGAUCAACCUAAGGGUUGUGUAGUUCCAGAGAAGAAGAAAAAGGUGUGUAAGUUGGUUAAAUCAUUAUAUGGGUUAAAACAAGCUCCCAAACAAUGGCACAACAAGUUUGAUCAUGUGUUUGUAACUAAUGGAUAUUCCAUUAAUGAUACUGAUAAGUGUAUCUAUAGCAAGUAUGAGGAUAACACAUAUGUAGUCAUCUACCUUUAUGUUGAUGACAUGUUGAUCUUUGGAACUAGCCUAGAGGUUCUGUGUGAGACCAAGAAAUUCCUAGGUUCUAAGUUUGAUAUGAAAGACCUAGGAGAGUUAGAGGUGAUUCUAGGAAUUACAAUAACUAGAACACCUAAUGGGUUUAAAUUCUCUCAAGAGCAUUAUGUUGAAAAUAUCCUAAGGAAGUUUGAACACUUUGAUUGUAAACUAGUGUCAACUUCUUAUGAUCCUAGCUCACAGCUGAAGAAAAAUAGAGAACAUAGAUUUGCCUAAAUAGAGUAUGCUCAUAUCAUAGGGAAUCUAAUGUACUUAAUGAACUGUACCAGACCUGACAUUGCUUAUGCAAUAGGUAGAUUAAGUCAGUACACCCAAAGUCCUAAUCAGAACCAUUGGAUUAUUGUUCGUAGAGGCCUUAAGUAUUUGAGAGGCACCUUUAACUAUGGUUUGUGCUUUAGUGGAUUUCCAAGUGUCCUUAAAGGAUUUAGGAUUAGAUGAAAUCCACUAUUGGAUAUGUUUUCAUCCUUGGUGGAAGUGUAGUUUCUUGGAAGUCUGCCAAACAAACUUGCAUUACUCGAUCUACUAUGGAGGCUGAGUUUAUUGCCUUAGAAAACAAAAGUUCUGAGGCUGAGUGGCUUAGAAACUUCUUAGCAGAUAUUCCUCUAUGGAUGAAACCAAUCCCGUCUGUGUCUAUGCAUUGUGAUAGUCAAGCUACAAUUGCUAAGGCUAAGAGUAAAAUAUUUAAUGGGAAGAACAGGCAUAUACGACUAAGGCACAAUAUUGUCUGACAACUGCUUGAAAUAGAGGUUAUAUCCCUAGAAUUUGUGAGGUCAGAGUUGAAUUUGGUCGAUCCUUUGACCAAACCACUAAAUAAGAAACUAGUGGAAGAAACAUCGAGGAGGAUGAGGCUUAUGCCUAUUACAGAACUCAAGAGUGGUGGUAACCCAACCUAUUAGAAUGGAAAAGUCCAUGAAAUAGGUUCAUAUGGGUAAUAACAAAUCACUUGUUGACUUGAGGUGCUCUAUCAACUCUAAUUGUAUGAAAGUUUAUCCCUAUGGUGUAGAUAGAGUGUAUUCUGCAUUGAUUAAGGUUGAGUGUUUACUCUUAAUGAAUACCAUAUUCCUUAUGGAUGGUAUGUUUAAUGUAGAACAUACUUGAUGGAUUCACCUAUAUGAGAGUGGAGGUGGAGCCACUUCCUAUGAGAACUUAGGUAGAUUCUCUGGAGCUCUCAUGAAUAUCCAAGCAGAGCACAUGACCUAUUUGUGCUAACCCGUUCUGUUCAACUCGUAGUGAAGUUGAGAAAACCAAUGUGGAUAAAAGUCCCUUGAGUUACAUCAAGAAACACUGGCUCAUAGAAAUUUAUUUUCACUCUGUUUUGUGAUUUAAUACUUAUUUGUCCUAAGACUAGUUCAUAGCCUUUGGGCACCAGUACUGAUGCAUUGGAUUCUUUUUUCCUCAAAAAAAAAAAAAAAAAUCACAUUUACACUCUGUGGGGAACUGUAGAAAGAGUGUAAAUAAUUUUUAUUUUUAUUUUAUUUUAUUUUAUUUUAUUUUAUUCUAUUAAUCUUAUAUUUUUUAGAAGAAUCCUAUUGGGAAUUAUUUUUAUUUUAUUUUAUUCUAUUAGUCUUUUAUUUUUUGGAAGAGUCCUAUUGGGAUUGUGCUAGUGAAGUCUCAUUUCUUUUAUAAGUAGAAUCCUCUUCCACUUUGAGUCAUGUUCUAAUUACAAGUAGAGUCCCAUUGAGAUUGUUUUAGUAGCCUAUAAAAGCAGCUCACCCCUCACUCUCUAAAUACGAACACCAAUUUUUCAGAGAAUUUUUUAGAGAGUUUUUCAGAGUCUUUUCAUACAUCUACCUGGAGGAAUUUUUUUCAAUGUACACAUCUUGCUUACAAAGUGUACCCAAGGCAAGAUUUGGUUGUUGAAUCUUGGAGGUAGACCACUAGUACCCUAGUGCAUCGAGUUCUUAUUCGAGGAGGGUGGAUUUAUUUCAAGGACAAUGUUUAUCACGCCUCAGCCAAUAAGUUUUUCUUCUUAUUAAUUCUGUUCUUUGUUUGUGUCUUUUAGGCUAGUCAUUUGUUUCCAUACCCUUAACUCCAACAAUGCACACAUACAAAUACAUGCUCCCAUAGCUUCAUUUCCAAAUUGAAAGUCACCAAAUACCACUUCUCCUCAUAAUAGAUUUUGAUGCCACUUGUUCAGAAACUCCACUGUCAUCUCGGAGUUUCUCCAAUUAUGUUUAUAUAAGUGUGUGUAUAUAUGUGCGCAUGCGCAUAUGUUUAUGUUCUGUGAGUAGAUGAGCACACUCAUCCUGAUUGAAUUGCCCACUUAUGAAUGUGAAUUUUCUUAUAGGAAUUGGCUACUCACUUGAUCCAGAUUUCUCCUUUGUGAAGAUUGUUGCACCUCAUGCACAGGUUCCAUUCAUUUCCAUAAUAAUUUUAUGCAUUUUUUUUCCUCAUAUACUUCUCUAAUGCUUUUAGUUUAGCUCUACUGAUUCACACUGUAUAUAGGAGCUUUUAGAUAUACGACAGCAACGACGAACUGGACCAUAACUUGUGCAGGAGAUAAGGAAACAAGCAGACGAUGUAUUCUACUCUCUUCCCUUCUCACUUCAGUUCCUUCUGAAAAUUGAUGUUUCUUCAUUUCACAUUCUACGACACAACUAUGAUACACACUAUCAAAAGACUAAAAUUUCCCCAUAUGAACAUGUUUAGGCCAGAACCUACAUCAUGUCAUUGCCAUCCAUACAGUGUUCAGAGAAUAGAAGAAUUUGUGAAACAACUUGAAUUAAGAGACCUGAAACUUCGAGUUCGAGUACUUGAGGUAGCUCAUCCACUAAAUAUUUUAGAAGAAAUAAUUACCAUUUUUGAGACUUUGUGGGAAGUUCUGAAGAGUGACUAUUCUUGAGAGCUCAAACCCUCAUGAGAUGAACUCAACAUUAUUUUGGUUUGGGAUUGAAAAUUGUCUGAAAGACCAGCUCGGAAGGCAACCAUACUACAGAUGGCUACUAUUAGCCCCUUAGCCCCUUAACUCAAUUUUGGAGGAAUAGAGCCUAGACUGAGAGUAAGGAUGGCCUAAAGGUUUGGUGGUUCAAACCCUAGAAGCUAAGAUGAGAAGGCCAUGUGCUAGCCAGACGCGCACCACGGGCGAGCCAGACGUGCAUCGUGGGUGAGCUAGAUGCGCACCGCGAGCAAGCCAAACGUGCACCAUGGGUGAGCCAGACAGGCACUAAGCAGGCACCACUUGCGCACCAGGCAAGUACUAUGCGUACACUAGGCAUAUGUUGGUUAUGGAGCUGGUGUAGAUAAAGGGUGAGGUUCAUUUUGGAAUGUAAUUUAUAAUUAUUUAAAUAUCCCAUUAUGUCUCCUCAAACAUGGGUGAUGUCUCUUCCAAAAAUUUUGAAAAUGGCAUGUAUUGCUCUUGAAGUGGGGGAGGGGGGUAGGUGACUCGAGGGGGCACCAUGGGAAAGCCUUAACCGCGCCAAGGGAGCACCAUGACAUGACCUUGGCCGUGCCUAGGACACACGAAUGGCACUCAAGCAUUCACACAUGGGCUCCAUGACAUGUGUGGUGUGCACCCCGUGGCCGCAACGACACGGCACAGGCACGAGGGCGCCUAAGCCUUGUGCAAUGAGACAGCUAAGGAAGCCAUGGGCACAAUGCCAUGGUCUAAUGGGGUACUAGAAUGUGCAGCUGAUUCGAUGGGGCCUACGCAUGGCACAACGACACAAUGCCCUGUGCACUAAGAAUGAACAACCAUGGCCGCAAUGCCAUGGCUCGUUGCUAUGGAGUUGGACUUGAUAAUGGGAGCUAAACAUGUGCCUAGGCCAUGGGCACCUCGACAUGGCAUGGGUUAACACAUUAGUGUGGGGAAGACAUACUAAGGCACUAGGCAGCUGAGGCACCUGGUCAGCUAGGUGGUACAUGCGGCUGGUCAAGAGGGCAGCUAGCUAGUGCAACUAACUAGUGACAACUAGUUGGGGCAACAAGUGAUCAGGUCAACAGUUAGCUACAAUGGAUAGGCAGAUGGUUGAGGACUGAUGGUUGGUGCAAAGAGACACAUUGGGCUGAAGGAGUGUCUCUAGCUGGGUAGCUCCAUGAAAAGCUCACCAGUUGGGUGGUUAUGCAAGCAGUUGUGGCCGGUUGUGGCCAGUUGCAUAACCACCAAACUGGUUUCAUGGGUUUUGAACUUUGAAAUUUGAAUUGUAACUUGCAGGCAUGUCUUUUAAAAGGGGGCCUCUUGCAUCCUUGAGACAGAGAUGAUAGAUAAGGAUGGUUCUCUGAAUGCUUAGGGGUGUAAGCAUUGUACUCUGACUUAGGGAAAACGAUUUUGUAUCUUGUAGUGAGUGAAAAAAUACAAGUUGGGAAGGGUUCUCGUAAUUGUAAUUGUCUGUUACUCUAUUUUUCUAAAGACUGGGAAGGAAGGUUGGCUAAGGAAGGGUACUUAGCACCGCACACUUAGUGAAAAAAAUUUAUUAAUAUUCUAGGGUGUGACCACUACCAUGUAUACAGUUUUUGGAGGUACCCUACUAAACCUUGGCAUCACAUUAGCCAAUCAAGGCAGUCAAGUUAUUUCAAAUGGAUCGUAUGUUGGUGUAGGUAAACUGUUUUUAACCCCGAAAACUUUCACACUCAAAUAUUUCUUCCUCUUGCCUCUAGACAUUUUCAAGUUUGCCUUCAUCAACUUCCCUGUGGCUGAAAUAUCUAGUUUUGUUAAAAUGCAUGCGUUUUCUUGAUAUUGUUUAUUAGGUCCAUGAAAAGAGUGAAAAGAUAGAUAAAUUUGAGAAGAUAAUAUGAUUUUCAAUCCUAGAACUCAUGGACAGUCUGUUUUAGUUGUAAAAUAAUUUAACCUCCGAUUCUUGGUAAUAUAAUUGUCCUAAAAUUUUCAAACUUGCAUAUAAGAGCUCUAUACACUACACGUAGGAAAUGAUUCAAGAUGAAAAAAAUCUAUGCAACAGAAAUCCAGAUCUAUAUGAUUCUAUACAAUGUAUAUCAUAAUCAGAACUUGAGAUUAAUGGAAUUAAUGAGCAACUUUGUUUUCUUUUUUCUUUAUUAUUGUAUUUUUUUUUUUUUUAAGGUUUUGGACAAGGCAAUUAACAACCCUGAUUCAAGACAAACAAUUUUAGAGAAAACUUAAAAGGUGUUGUUGGAAACUUGUGUCAUGGUCAAGAACAGCCCAAAGAUCUAUACAUGACAAACAAAGCAGUGUAUCUGACCUAAUUUGUCAGUUUCUCAAAGGAUUUCUCUGAAUAUAACAGCCAAGCCUUUUGCUACCUUCCAUGAGUCAAAAGCUUGAAUAUGCCUCAAAAUGGCUAGGAGGAUACUUGUUUAUUGGGUGCAAGCAACUGGGGAGUUUAUUGGUCCAUUCAAACCUGUAAAAUAUAAUUAUAUUGGUUUUAAGCCAUUGGUUUGCACAUGCAACAAUUAUCAAAAGAAAAUUUUUAUGGAAAAAUCGGAAUUGGUCAUCUUACCUUUCGAACCCUUCAAUUUGCCAUUCCUCGGUUGUAAGCAUCCACCAUUGUCAGGGCAGAAAAUUUUGAAACAGCUGUUAGGUGGGAAAUAGAGUAGUGGCAUCAAUUACAACCUGCUAACUUCAUUGUUGGGGAUUGUUCUUCAUGCCUCGGCUUGUCAAUGAGGUUAAAUGAUCAUAUAUGAAGCAAUAGAUAGAUAUCAAUUAAAUGAAUUAAAAUCCCUAACAAUCUUGUAAUGACCCUCUCACAACUUGAGUAGAUAUUGUUUGAUCUAAAACCAAUAGACUCCCAUGUUUUAAAAACAUGUCUAUAGAAUUAGGAACUUUUUUUUCUAUCACAUGUGGGAUAUCACACAUCCCUCCACACAUUCAACCUUUUUUGAGUUUAUACAUUCAUUUAAUAUCCUUCUUUGGGAUUACCAAUUGAUUAAACAUAAUAAAUAAAUACAAUAAAGCCCAAACUUGUGACAUUUAGUUACCAAUUGACCCAAAAGCUUAUUUUUUAAAUAGUGAACCAACAAUAUAUAUAAAGAUGAGGAUCCAAUACAACUCAACUAAUAUUGACCAUAUCCAUUCAAUUUUCAAUAAUUACAAAGCUCAGUUCUAUUUGAGGAUUAUAAAAACUAACCUAAUUGAUUCAAUUUUCACUUCCUUCAUCUAUUAACUAAUAAAAACUGAACCAAACCAAUAUUUUAGUUUUAUAUCAUUAGGUAUGUGAAAGCCCUCUUGAGACCACUUGUUGAGCCACUAAAAGCAUUGAAACCAAUGGUUGGGUCAACGAAAGCUCUAUGUAUGCAAAUAUAUUAAUGAAAAAGCAUAAAAAAUAAAGUUAAUCAAACAAAGAUAAACAAGGUUUUAACAUGAUUCAAUUGUCUACCCCCACCUACGAGAGAACAUUUUAUAAUAAAAAAUAUUAUGGACAAUAAAUUCAACUAUUGCUUAUCCCCACGAAUGAUAAAUAACAUUAUAUAAUAGAAAAUAUUAUGCACAUAAACAAAUUCAACUAUUGGGUCUCGAAACUUUUUACAUUUCUUCACUUUUUAUAUCUCCAUCUUGAACCACAAGCAUUUUUGCUCUGUUAAGUAUCUCUCACUCUUUCUCGAAUCUCAAUCUUGAACUACGAGCCCUCUUAAUCCACCAGGUGUCACUCACAUUUCCUCACAUCUCUAUUAAUCAUCUAUAAUCUUCACAAACUCAUAUCUCUCUCAUAAUUUUUCUCCGCAUGACAUAGAUUAUUUAUAGAGGAAUUGCUAUUAACUUUCUUUAUUCAAUCUAAUUUUACACCUAUAAAUUUAGAAAAUAUUCUAUACAAUUUUCCUUUUACAAGAAAGAAAUAAAUUUCAAUUAGAAAUUUGAGAAACUUCACAACUUAUAUUUCCUAUGAUCGGUUAUUGUCAAAUUACCCAUAUUGUGUACUUGUAAGCAAAUGGGUCUCAAAUAUGAAAUAACUUCUAACAAUCAAUUGGAAUGAAGGGCAAAAUUAAUUUUCAUCCAAACCAUUAUUUAAAAAAAUCACAUCCAUUUUGAUUCAAGAAUAAACAGAAAAUAUCGAUUUGGUCAGGUUUGAAUCAAAUUUUUUUACACCCAGGUACUUACAGAAAUAAAGAUAGCGUGAGGGAAACUAAAGGAUGAGAGAAUACCUUUGGAAGAUGAGAGAGUGGUCUUUGCCUUAUGAGCUGGGGAUGUAAAGUAGUAGAAGAAGGUAUACAUCUUUUAGUUACAAUGAGGUACGGGUAGAGACUUCUCCUUCCAAAACGGGUCAUGUGCUUUCUAGCCAAUGUUUUAAAGUAAGAAAAUCAAAUAUGUUUUAAAGCCAUGAGAGCUCAUUAAGCGUAAAAUAGAUAAUAUCUAUAUGAAGAAAGUAGAACAUUAUAAAAUGAUAUCAAAACCACUUCUCAACCCUAGUGUACAAUCCUACAAGACAUUAUGAAAACAUUGUGUUUGCAUGAGGGUAACUGUGAUAUCACACAUUGGUUAAGAAAAAAAAUAUUAAUAUUAUAUAUGUGACACCUCGAACCAGAAAGUUAAGGACACCAUAGUCAUUUCACAUGUCAAACCCAAGAGCCUAACAUAUAAAUGACUUCGACUAACAAAUCCAUCAUGUACCUAGCUAAUAGCUACCUCAAAUUCAUUCAAAACAAUAAUAAAAUCAUUCAAAAGGUUAUGAAUCUCUAAUCCAAAACUAAUUAAAAUAUCUAAACAAUAAAUUCAAUGUGUAAGCAUUUUUGUGUGUUGGCAAUUUUGAGUCAAAAUUCCAAUUGCGUUUCUCCUAGCUCAAUCUCUUUAAAUCCUCCCUUAGAUUCUUAUCAUUUCCGAAUUGUUAAUGAUUGAAGAUUGCUAAAAGAGAUGAUAAGUAUUUUUAAGGUGAUGGAUGAUAUCAAAUAUUGGUCAUCCAAGUUUAAAUAUUUUAUCCUUUUGAUUCAAAAAUGGAAUUGAAGCUUAAGAGUGUUAAAAUUUGUAUUUAUAUCAAUUAGAUCCAUUUUUAAUCAAUCAAUCCAAAGGGUAACAGUUCGUGCUAUACCCAGAGUUUUUUCAAUCAUGUCUGAUCGAUCAAAGUUCAAUUAUAUCUGGGAAUCUUCAUUAUUUUCCAAACAAAUCUCAACUAUUUUAUGGGUUUUAAAAGCCUAAUAUUUAAGCCAUAUUUCCAAAUUAGGAGGAAAUGAUUGUGAGAGCCAAGUGACCUCCCUUGAACUUAAAGUUCUUUACUCAUUUUGGGAGUAUUUGGUUUGAAAGAAAAUUUUAUACAUGUUGAGUUGAAAAUAAUCUUUUGAAUGAGAAAAUUUCUUUCAAAAUGUAUUGAUUCAAUGUGAGUUUUAUCCUUACUAUAAUAUUUAUAAUAUUUGAGGUAAAACUCGAAAAUUUUCUGAUUUGGAUUUACAAAGUGGAAGAUCAAGUUUGGUGUGGAUUCCAAGUAUGUUCUAGAUAUAAAAAAAAAAAAAAGCUAGUAGUUGAAGUUUAAAGGUUCUAAACAAGUGGUAUGUGAGAUGAUUAAAGGCUUAGACUAGAUAAAUCUUUAUACUUGGUUAAUUUUCUUCACAAUAGAUGUUUUUGAUUGCCAAUAGACUCAUAGAUACCAAGACGAGAGUAACUCCAGAUUGAUACCAAGAUGGAUUUAACAGUUUAUCUUGCACAAAGGAAUGUCUGGAUGGAUUUCCGAAUAUGCCACUCCGAUGAUUAAAUCAAAGGAAGUUGACUUGAGCAAGAAAAUGUUGUUUUGGAAAGGUAGCAGCAUACCUUUCUGUGGACAUGGGUGGCUAUUUAUUUUUGAUCAUGUGUAACAUCUUUUUAGGCAUUUUAAUAACACCAUAAUUGCUUUUGAUUAUGCAUUAUUGUGGCAGUGAUUACCAACCCAUAAUGGUUAUUUUGCUUUGAUGAGCCUUAAAUAAUUGUGUCUUAUCCUUGUAACGGCUGCAUCAAUCAAGCUUGGAUGAAAAGAAUCCCUAGAUUCUGUCGUCUUUUCCAAGCCUUAUUUUAUUUUCUAUGGAUGUCUUUUGCUAGAUAAGAUAAGGAGGACCACUCUUCUACGCUCCUCUCCCACUUAUUGCGGCGGGCUCUACUCCUUAGCUUUCAAGCCCCUUGUAUAGUAAGGUUUGGAACCCUAUGGAAGAAAGUAUCAGCACGCACUAUGACUUCACUUUGGAAACUGGUAGUGGACGAUGAGGAGCGGAAGCCACUCUCCCUAAUCAAUAAGCAGGAGAGGAGCGAAGAGCUUUAUUGGAUACUUUACUUUAUAGCACGCCAUGUUUCACAGCCGCAUCGCCUCGGAUUUAGGGAUUUUUGUCGAAAUCCAGAAUGAAAACGGUCUUUCCAUUUGGAUUCUUAAUGCCUAAGUUCAGCAAGUAUAACGGAGUUGGUGAUCUUUUUAGGUGCAUCAUAAAAAGAGUCAGCGCUAUCUUUUCUCACCCACCAUGCGUAUCGGUACCCAUAGUAGUACAUUUUAGAGCAAUACUAGUUUCUAUCUUGAAAGAUCGAAGUUAUUUACCACUAAGAGUCCCGGUCUUUCUUAACAGUUGUAAGAGUAAUAUAAGUCUGGGUCUGACUAGGGGAACUAAUACUUUCUAGUCAAAAGUCUCAAUCUAUAUAGGCUAUAUAGCCUAUAUAGAAUUGGUAAUUUCUUGAUAUCUUUGGCAAGGGCUAUAUUUAGAAUACCAUAUAGCGGCGGGAUAAGGCAAGCGUUUUGAUCAAGCCCGUAUCAAGUUCCUUACGGAUUAGAGGUCAAACCCUGCUUUUUGUAUUAUUAUUAUUAGGCUCGUGUCUGGUGCACAAUUAAUGCUUGAAGGCGAUUUAAUGCUUUGAGGCAAGUCAAGCACCAUUCUCACUGUCCAAUCGUUUGGAAUAGUCUUUCUACUACCCUACACCUAGGUGAACUAUCCGUUCGGUUUUAUGUCCUCCUUUGAGACAGCGAUGGACAUAGACAAUUAUAGGGGACAAAAUGAGAAUGUGGACCCCACAAAUUUCCUUUCCAUUUCCUUGUUUGGCUACUUGGAAAAAGGUCGAAAAAACGUCUAGACUCUAGACCAUGGAUUGAUCCAAAACCAUUAAUUGGUUGCAUCUAGACCAUGAAUUGGUAUAUUUUUUCCAUCUGCCUUUCCUUGAAAACCCAUUUUUAUUUUUUAAUUAAUAAGAUUUAAUGAUGAAUAUCUUAGUUUUGUAAAAAUUAUAACAUUUGUUGAUAAGAAUUAUGUUUACGAGUAUUUUAAAAAUAUUUUUAUUAUAUAUAUAUAUAUAUAUAUAUAUAUAUAUAUAUAUAUAUAUAUAUAUAUAUAUAUAUAUUUCUUAGUUGUUUUAAAAUCCAAACAAAUCUUGAUUGCAAGUAUCAAAGUCAUAUUUGAAAGUUUUAUCAAAACAUUUUUAAAAAUUGCUUUUACUUUAAAAACUACUUUGAAUAGGUCAUAUAUGAAAAUUGUUGCUAAAUGUAACUUUCUACUCUAAAAAAUACAAAAAAAAAAUAAAAAAAAAAUGAAGUGUUUGGUAAACUUUAAAUAGAAAAUUGUAUUUUGAGAAUUUAUUUUAAAAAUAAAUUUGAGAUGUCUAUUUUUAGUAAUGUUAUUAACAGUUCAAAAAAUCAAUAAUACUUUGAAAUCUUUUUUAAUAUACGUAAGUGUUUGAUACUUUCAUCAAUAAGCCAAAAAAAACUGUUUUUCAUGUUUAAAAACAAUUGAAAGUUGUUUUUAAAUUCUUGUUUGGAUGGAUGUUUAAGAAACUAAGAAAUCUUUUUUAAGUUCAAUUAAGACCUGUAUGCCUCUUUGACUUAUUUUGUUGAAAGCGUUUAAAUUUAAAAAUAAAAAAUAAAAAAUAAAAAAUAAAAAAUAAAAAUUCGACUAAAUAUAUUUAACUCUAUAUGUUUGAAAUUUCAUUUAAUACAUCUUCUAUCCUUUUCAUUCCUUAUUUUCACUCACCCCCAUUUUCAUUCAAAAUAAGAGAGGUGUAUAAUAAAAUUUAAAUUUAUGGGGGUUAAAUGUAUUUAGUCAAAGCUUCAAGGAAGAUAAAUGAAAUUAACCCUAAAAAAAAAAGGCUUAAUAUAGAAGCCAAUAAAUAUUUCUUAUCAUAUUAAUUCUAUUUUAUUUUACAUAAGAAAUUUUUUCAAGUUUGAGCUAAAGUAAAGAAUAGUAAGUUAUUCCAAACAAGGUUUAUGAAUUAUUCAAAAAAAUAACAUAUUCAUAAUAAAUUUUAUAAGUCUACUCUUAUCAUUAUUUAUCUUAAAGAAUGGGAGUAGGAAUUAUCUAUUAUUAAUCUAUCAUUUUGCAAAACUUAUGUUCAAACUAACACCUUUAUUACCACAUAGGAACCAUAUCAUGCCCCAAAACCCACUCCAAGGGCAUGACAGUCAUUUCACACCUCAAGCCAAAAGGCUCAAAGUGGAAACAAUACAAACAUUCGUAUUGUAACUGAAAAUUUACCAAUUACCAAAUUCUUGUUCAAAGUAGUAGGACAUAAUUCUAAAUUCUCCAAGUAUCAACUUUAAAAAAUACUAAUACAUCAACCAAAGUGUUAUUGUCUAAAUAACUCCAAACUCAAAAUAAUUCAAACCAAAAUUAAGUUUUAACAUCUAAAAAAUGUCCAAAAUAAAGAGAGUUUAAACAAAUGUCCUAAUAAAGUCAAAUUUCCCUCUUAACGGUCAUUCGUCGCCCGAACUGAGGUUACUUGAAAGAUUAUGAAUAAAGGAAGAUGAGCUCAAAGCCUAAUAAGGAACAUUAAUAUAGUUUCAUGGAUUAAACAUUUUCAAUCAUGCUUGUAAAUAGGAGAUAUAACAUGUAUUUAUUUUCAUAAAAACUUUUGACUUCAAAAUACUAAUAUAUUCAAACUUUUCAACAAAACUUUCUCAUAUCCAUUUCAAAACAAUUUCUCAUCAAAAUCAAAUCGAAUACAUUCAAAAUAUAUUUAUUCUGGUUAUCGUAUGACAAAUGGUGCCCAAUUAGGUGGGACUUCAUAAUUGAGUAACUAGUUUCAAAUGUGUUCCAUUUAAGGUGAACAAAACCAAAUGUCAACAAUUAUAACCUGUUGACUAAGGCCAUAAGGUCAACUAUUAUAACUAGUUAACUAGGACCAUAUAACAUCAACUAUUAUAAUCGUUGAUUAGGACCAAAAAUGUCAACAAUUAUAACUCGUUGACUAGAGCCAUAUAAUCAAGAGUCAAACACUUCAUUUCAUUAAUUCAAAUUUACAAAACAAAACAUCAUAUCUUCUCAAUUUUUCAUUUUUCAUAAACAAAGAAAAGACUCAAAUAUACUUUCCAUACAAAACAUAUAUUUGAUCCAUGCGUAAAAAUAAAAAUAAUAUUUUUACACAUUUCAAAAUACAAAAUAAAAAAAAAUAUUUUCUUUUAUAAAAAUUUGCAUUAAUUUCCCUUACCUUGAAAAAAUGCUUAAAAACUUGAAGUAUUUACCUUGAUGAAUUUACUCCUCACCUAACAUAAUAUCAUACACAAUUAUCUAAAGGUAAAAAUUUGACAAUCCUAAAAAUAUCUUAUUUAGUAUUAGGGAUCCUAAUUAAUUUCCCAUGCUAAUAUUAUUACUACCCAAUAUUAUUUUCAACUUCUUAAACAAUAAUAAUAUAACUUAAUGAAUUUCCAAAUUUUUUAUAAACUCUGUUAGACAAAUUAGGCUAAUCCAACCUAUGGUAAUCACCCUAGAGGGGGGAGGGGUGAAUAGGGUGAUAGUCUCUUUUUUCAAAUUUAAACUAUGUGAAUGUAAGAGACAAUUAUAUGUAAGUAUAUAAUAAGCAAUAUAAAGACAAUUGCAUAUAAAUUAAAAGAAUAGGGAAGAGAGAAUGCAAACAUAAGAUUUUAUAGUGGUUCGGCGCAACCCGACCUACAUCCACUCUCCUCUAGCUUCAAUCCCAAGCUUGAGGUUCCACUAAUUCAAGGCCUCCAAACCAAGCCUUCAAGCAAUACAAUUGGAUUAUGGUUCCAAUUCACCCUCUUGGACUUUUGGCUCCAAGCACCCUUUAUACUUCUCAAGAGAUAUCCCACUCUUGAACAAUCCCUCAAGUGAUACCUCACACUUGAGAAAUUUUCUCUCAAAGAUUUACUGAUUCAUGCCCAAUUGGUGUCUCAGUUGAUUCGUGUCCAGCUGGUGCUCCUUGAUUGAGGGAGUAAUCAACAAAAUUUAUAACCUAUUACACCAUAUACUAGGGUAGCAAAGAAAAAGCUACUAUAGCAUAGUGGCUCUAGGAUCGUUCACUGGGAAGGGUUUCCAAAUUACAAAUGAUACCAAUUCAAAGUGAAUUGGUGCUUUUUCAUUUCAAGGUUAGCUUAAGAAAUAAAACACAAACUUUGGUUGAAAAAGAUUUAGAUUUAAGCUAACGGCAAAACAAGUAAUGGAAAUUACUUAUAAAGAAAAAACAUUCCUUGGAGAUUUAGGUUCACAGGGGAGGUUCCUCAUGCAAAAACAUAGCUCCGGUCAGUUGGUUCAUUUCCUCGCAUUAGAGAAUUAACAUAUAGUCAAUUCUCUAAUCAGUGCUGUAUAAAUGCAUUCCUUAAUUGGAUUUUAGCUCUAAUUCCCUCUCAUUGAUGCAACUUGCAAUGGUUCAUGCCUCUCACUAGCACUUACCAUUCAAGGUGAUCUUUAACCUUGGACUUCCCUUCAAAAGCUCGCAAGAGAUAACUAAUGGAUGUCUCCUUGGAGUCCAAAAGCUUACCAAGUGUUGGCACUUCUAGAAAAUCCUACCUUCAAGUCACCUCCCAGAGGCUCGCAAGGGGUAAACUAGUGCAUCUCCGUGGAUAGAGAUCACUUGCCUUACCAAGUGUUGGCCCAGGUGACUCCAAGGCGUUUUAAGUUAAUUAAAAACAUAUAGAAAUCACAAAAGGAUAACACUUACUCUUCAUUCAUGGCUGAAACCACAAAGCUACUAAUUCAUGCACUUGGAACCUUUCCCGACAACCUUAACUCCAAGGAACUAAAGGUUUAGUUACUCAUGCUAUGGGGAAACUCCCUCAGAGAAUUCAUAACUAGUAAAUAAAAAAUACAAUCAAAGUGAGAAGGUAAGACAAAGAUAAGCUCUGUAUUUUACUUCCUUACAAACUUUUACAAAAAGUUUCGUCUCUCUUGAGAACAAGCUCUCAAGAAGCUAUUUAUAUGAAAAAUUACAAUACUAAUUAUUACAUGGAUAUUUAGUCUUUUUCCUAACUUAAAAGCUAAGGAAACUUAUAAUUGGUGGCUUACAAGGAGAAUUUUGGGAUUUAGACAACAAAAAUCUGAUGAAAAAUAUCCCCAAGUGUCGGUCGUAAAUAUCGGGAAGCACUAAGGACCAUUUCGCAGGUGCAAACGAGGUCUGCGAGAUUUCGCAGAUGCACAAAAAGGGCUGCGAAAUCACUUUGUAGCAAACGGCUGAUUUCGCAACGCUGCGAAGUGGUCUUUCAGCUUGCGGUGUUCGGCUUCCAACGUGACGAGAAACUUCAGGGGGAAAUCCACAACACUGUACAAAAAGGCUGCGAAAUCAUUUCGCAACAAAAGGGUGAUUUCGCAGCGCUGUGCAAAAUUCUUCCUUCAGCUUGGAGUGAUCGGCUUGCAAUGGCUGUAACUUCUUCAUUUCAACUCCAAAUUGUGCACCGUUUAAAGCAUUGGAUUUUUAACUUCCUGAGCUUCAAAAUGACAUAUAGCAUGUAUAAAUUGGACUUCAGGAAGUGCUCCAAAAUUGGCUGACAUGACUGUCAUCAAGAAUACUUCAUGGCAGAUUUCUCUUUGCUUCCUCUCCUUGCAUUCUGUAUUUGCUUAUGGCAAAGGACUUCAAAGCUUUGGUUCUUCAUGUUUCUGAGCUUUCCAUUGCUUUGCCAUGGAUUCCAAAUAAUUAUCCUCAAUCUCGGAUUGCUUUGGUGAUCAAAAAGCUAUCAAAACACCAAAACUUAACACAAUUUGAUUAGAAUUGAUUGCAAAGGUCUUUAAUAUGUUAAUUGGGUUAAAAGGCAAUAACUACUACUCAAAAGUGUUUAAAAGAGUUAAUUACAAGCUAUGAAAUAGCACUUUUUGAGUAGUAAUCAUUUACAAAUAAACGAUCUCACAAAAUCCUAGUACAAAAACUUUAAGCUCAAAUGAUACAAGAAUACUAGGAUUGAAAGGUGCACUAAAGAUAUGCAAGUUUUAGAACAAUGGUGCACUAAAAAACACUCUUCCAAGACUCAAAUAUAUUCAAGAAAGGUUUGGGAAGGUUAAACUUUUUAAACAAUGAAGAUUAAAGCUUUUUUAUAAAAGAGAAAAGCCAAACUAGUCGUUUGGGGGUUCGACCGGUCGAGUUAGGGGUCGACCGGUUGACUAGCCGUUAGCAUUAAAUGUUUGGCAAGUGAUCGUUGGGCCUCAGCUGGACCUCUACCGAUCCUCGAUCGGACCUCAAUCAGGAAGAGAAUCACCUCAAUCGGGAAGAGAAGGCCACUGGGAGAGAGAGAGAGAAAAAGUUUUUGGCAUCCCUCGACCGGUCCUUGACUGGACAAGCACAACCAUUUGACUGGUUCCUCAACCAAUUCAACCGAUUGAGCCAUUUUUUGGCUCAACAAACAACGUUUUCAACUUAAAACCUUUUCAAACAAGUUUGAAAAACAUUUAACAUAAGGUUUUAGUUGAAAACAUGAAAUCAUCCAAUUCUUAAAAUAUUUAAAAAAAAAAAUAACUCUUGGAUGAUUUUGGUGCAUAAGUAAAGAAUGUAAUGCAUGAAAAUCCUAGUGCACCAACAACUUUACAAAGAAAUCUUAUGAAGCUUGGGUCUUGAAAAACACUUCUCUUUGAGGUGGUCUUCUUCUUCAUGAUUUUUCCUUGGCUUGAUUUGUCUUUGUGAUUGCCACUUUGGAAAUCGUCUUGCCUAAUCACACUUGAAAUAUAAUCAUUAGUUCUAAACCUUGUUUUGUUAUCAUCAAAAUCAAGAUUAACCAAACCUUGGUUUCACAAACUCAUUUCUUCCAAAUCUUAUUUUAACCAAUUAUUUCUUUUGUAUACUUAAACUAAAUUAAAACUUUUAUUAAAAACAAUUACUAUUGUUAUUACUAUAUUUUUAGAUACCCCGUAACAUCCAAAUAGCCCUACUGUACGUCACUCACAAGCAUCCAAAUCACACAAUUCUUACUAUUAUCAUUAUUCUUAUUAAUCCCAACUAUUAUUAUUAUUAUUAUUAUUAUUAUUAUUAAUCUUACGUCACCUACAAGCAUCCAAAUCACACAAUUCUUACUAUUAUCAUUAUUCUUAUUAAUCCCAACUAUUAUUAUUAUUAUUAUUCUUAUUAAUCUUACGUCACCUACAAGCAUCCAAAUUACACAAUUCUUACUAUUAUUAUUAUUAAUAUUAUUAUUAUUAUUAUCAUUAUUUUUAUUAAUCCCAAUGUCCUUUCUUACUUAACAAAAUACCCCAGGUACUUUUAACAACCCCACCAACUCUACUCAUUAUUAUUAUUUUAAUUUAUUCCACUACCACUCUUUGCCUCUCACGGUGACCUAUUAUUAUUAUUAUUAUUAUUAUUAUUAUUUUGUCACCCCAACACAGUGCCUCAAAUCCAAAAUCCAGAAUCAUACAAUUCUUCUUAUUAUUAUUUUUCAAUCCCUUAAGCCACAUAUAAUCAUAUAUUUAUUUACUCAUUUAAUUUUUAAAAUUUCAUUGUUUAAAUCUAUUGAUUACUACCAAAAAGUGCUAUUUUGUAGACCUAAUUAUAAUGGUUUUAAGCACCUUUGACUAGUAAUCAUAUUCAUUUAACCCAAUUAAUUCAUUAAGGUCCUUAGUAAUUGGUUUUAACCAUUUUGUGGCAAGUUUACAUGUUUUUAUCAGCUUAUGAAUCAAUUCAAGCAUGCCAAAUGAUGGAGGAGCUACUUGGACAAGUUAUGGCAAAGCUUUUAGAAGCUCAAAUUCAUGAAGAACCAAGCUUUGGAGCUCCAUAGCCCUUUUCCAAAGUCGUUCAAAGUAUGCAAGGAAAGAACAAUGGAGAAGAGGAAAACAAAGUGAAGAAAAGAGAGGACAGCAGCUGUAGUCUUCUUUCGCACUUUUGGAGCACUUCCCGAAGUCAAUUUUUUACAUACUAUAUACCAUUUCAAAGCUCUGGAAGUAAAAAAUCCAACACUUCAAACCGUGCAUGAUUUGGAGUUGAAAUGAGGAAGAUAUGGCCUUCGGAAGCCAACUGCUCCAGGUUAUGCGAAAAUUUCACAUAACACCUUCAAAAUUCGCAUAACCCAUGCGUGUUGCGAAUUUUCCUCUGUUUUUGCUGACUCCACUUUAGAUAUUUUCCUUUGUAUUUUGUGAUGUAAUUUCCUUUCUUAUCCUUGUAACUAACCAAUCACAAGCUUUUGCUUUUGUAAAGACUAUAUAAGGGGUGGAAAUCACCUCUUGGAAUAUAGAUAAUAUAUAUUACGUUUGACACUUAGAAUAUUUACAGAGCUCUCCCGUUUCUAUUUUCUUAGUAGCCAAACAGCCUCUAAGGGCUUUUCCUCAGAGGAUGAUUGGCUAAAACUUUUAGUUUCUCAAAGUAUGGAUGUUAUGUGAUGGCUUGGAUGCAAUCCCAUGGAAAUUUCUCACACCCGGAAGGUAAGGUAGUCGUUUUUCAUUAAAGGUUCAUUAAUGCAAAGUUUGGUUUUUAUUUCCUUUGGACAACUUCCAACGGCCAAUACUUGAUAAGCUUUUGGAUUUCUAUCCAUUAGUUAUCUCCUACGAGCUAUUGGAAGGUGAGGUUUUCAAUUCUAAGUUUUGUAUUAAUCCGUUAGANNNNNNNNNNNNNNNNNNNNNNNNNNNNNNNNNNNNNNNNNNNNNNNNNNNNNNNNNNNNNNNNNNNNNNNNNNNNNNNNNNNNNNNNNNNNNNNNNNNNCUCUGUUUUUGCUGACUCCACUUUAGAUAUUUUCCUUUGUAUUUUGUGAUGUAAUUUCCUUUCUUAUCCUUGUAACUAACCAAUCACAAGCUUUUGCUUUUGUAAAGACUAUAUAAGGGGUGGAAAUCACCUCUUGGAAUAUAGAUAAUAUAUAUUACGUUUGACACUUAGAAUAUUUACAGAGCUCUCCCGUUUCUAUUUUCUUAGUAGCCAAACAGCCUCUAAGGGCUUUUCCUCAGAGGAUGAUUGGCUAAAACUUUUAGUUUCUCAAAGUAUGGAUGUUAUGUGAUGGCUUGGAUGCAAUCCCAUGGAAAUUUCUCACACCCGGAAGGUAAGGUAGUCGUUUUUCAUUAAAGGUUCAUUAAUGCAAAGUUUGGUUUUUAUUUCCUUUGGACAACUUCCAACGGCCAAUACUUGAUAAGCUUUUGGAUUUCUAUCCAUUAGUUAUCUCCUACGAGCUAUUGGAAGGUGAGGUUUUCAAUUCUAAGUUUUGUAUUAAUCCGUUAGAACCAACUUCAAUGGCCAUUGAAAGGUGAGUUUAUCACCUAGAAUGACUUUAAGUUGCCAAUAUUUGGUAAGCUUUUGGCUUUAGACCAUUAGUUAUCUCUUACGAGCCAUUCAAAGGAAGUCUAAGGUGAAUAACCAUUGAUGAAAUUCACUACCAUCUGUUUUGUCAUUUUAAAGGAUUAAAACUUGAUUUGCUAAAUCCAUACCGGUUCGGGAAGCAAGCAUCACCAUAGUUGCAACCCCAACGCGAGGAGCCUAUCCUGAGAUUUCCAAUUUGCAUAAGAGCCAGAGCAUAGCUAUCCUAUCUUUGAGAAACUUGUUUUUACACCCUUUCAUUUUAGUCUUUAAUGUUAGCUUAGAUUAGUUUAAAUCUUUCUAAAACAUUUACAUCUUCUUUUAAAGCUAACAUCCAUAAGAAAAUCACCUAUUUUCCUAAUUUGAAUAUCACUAGUGUUUGCGAAAACCCUUCCCAGUGAACGAUCCUAGAACCACUAUGCUAUAGUAGCUUGACUACUUUAGUAAUAGUAUUCAAGGUAUAAAUUUUGUUGAUACGCCUUUAAAGCUAAGCUACCAUGAGUCGAAUCAUCUAUUCAUUUAAAAAAAAUUCGAAUUUCCUUAUUUUCAUCAAUGAAACAACCUAUAUUCAUAAUUUCAAAUUUUUGAUCUUAAAAUAAAUUAACUAAACUAACUCUAAUCUAAAUUAAAAUUUUCUAAAGAAUAUUUAAUGUAUUCAAAACUAACUAACAAAUAUAAUAUAUUAAUUUAGGGUUAGAAUCUUAUUUAGAAAAAAUUUCAACUUCAAACUUUAGACCUUCAAAUCUUUAACUCUAUGUUUUCCAAUUCUCUGAUUUUGUUUUUUUUGUUUUUUUUUUUUGUUAAUAGAGUUUUCUGAAUAAAGAAGGCAAGAUGAAAAAUCUAAUUUAUACUACGGGUUAUUAAUUGUAAAAUGACUCUUUUAUCUUUAAUGAGUUUAAUUAAUUAAUUAAUUAAUUUAUAAUUUACUAUUUUGCCCCUAAAAUUUAUUUUUGGGUGUUACAACCAUGUCAUAAAAAAUAUGUUAGAAAAUAAAAGCUAUGCUUAAAGGAGAAAAACACCCAAGAGGGGGGUGAAUUGGGUUUUUCAAAAAACUUUUUCAAUACAACAAAUUCAAGCACAAUAUAAACAAGAAAUAAAGAGAUAGAGUUAGAGAAUUCAAACUCAGAUUUUAUAGUGGUUCGACACUUCUUUGCCUACGUCCACUCUCCUCAAUCUCCUAACCAAGUGAGGGUUUCACUAGCUUGAAGCUUCAACCAAGCUUCCAAUCCUUUACAUUUGGAUUCUGACUCUAAUGGGCUUUUACACAAUAUCUUCAAGAUUCAAACCUCUUGAAGUCUUUAACACUCAAGUUUUACAAGAAAGAAUCCCUCAACCUAGCUCAAAUACAAAACAAAGCUAGGAUGACUCACAAUGGUGCACUAAAAAAUAUGCAAGUGAUGGUUUAAUGCACUAAGAAAUAAAUGAGAACUUUUAAUCCAAGAACAGGUAGGUAGACAAUUGAUUGUAGGUGUUCUCUAUGUCAUAAAUGAAGUGGAGCUCUCAAUUUAUAGGUUUCUAAACUCGAGAGCCAAAAACAGCAAAAGGCAGCCUCGACCGGUCGAGCUGGGGGUCGACUGGUUUACUAGCCGUUGAAGCAUUUAAUGCUUUGGUAGGUUACCGUUGCCUCGACCAAAGGUCGACCGGGAAUAAGUGAACCUCAAUCGGGAAGAAGAAGCUAUUGGAUGAGAGAGAGUAUUUUUGGCAUUCCUCGACCCGACCUCAAUCUGACAAGGGCAAUCGGUCGACCGGUUCCCUAACCGGUUGAGUCGGUUGGCCAGAGCCUCGACCAGUUCAGCCUUUUGGCCCUGAAAACCUAUCAUUUUCAAUCCCUUUCUUUUCUAACACUUAAGCAAGGUCUUUAGGUAAAUUAAUAAGCCAAUUUUAAAACAUUUUGCCUAAGAUACAUUUGAUAAAACUUGGGUUUUAAUGAAAUCGAAAUUUUAAAGAAUAAACCGAGUUUUCAAAUAUGCAUGAAAAGGUAUGAAAAACCUAAGUGCACCCAUGCAUUAAUCUUACAUUCGUUUCCUAUUAUCAAAAUUCUUCCAAUAGUCUCAAUCUUGUAUCCCUUUGGUCCUUUGAUGAAUUUCCGAAUUUAUACUUGAGAUUCUUUAUCAUUCAAACCAAUUAGUCACUUAACCAUGGUUUGUUAUCAUCAAAAUCCGAUUGGGGGAACCCUUGGGCUAACAAUCUCCCUCUUUUUUAUGAUGACAAAUCUUGGUUAUCUAGGAGAAAAAGAAAUCUCCCCAUCAAACUAAUCAUGGAUCAAUUAAUUCAAAAUUUAUGAAUUUAAAAUCGAGAUAAUCAGAACAUGCGAAUUUUCAAUAGGAAACAAUGUAAAUCAUGAAAAUAGCAUAUCAUAUAUAGUAAAGUCAAAUGUACACGAAACAUCCAAAUAGAUGAUAUGAUAAUGAUAUGCAUGUAUAGGUCUCCUAGAUCCUAAAUAUCUCUCCCCCUUUGGCAACAUCAAAAAAGAAAAGAAAUGGGUCUCGAUGAAAUCAAGGUUGAGGAGGUGGAAGUGGAAACACUGAGUGUAGAUAAGCCAUCAUCUCCUCAUGCUAACUCUCCUGGCAACUCUCAAUGCACUCAAUCCUCUACUGAAGAUGCUCAAAUGUAGCCUACUACUGAUCCAUACGAUCCUUUAUAUGCUCAAAUCCCUACUACAGAUGUUCAAACUGAGAUGAGAAGCCAGUUUGAUAGUGAUCAAUGCGAUCCUCUAUAGAAUAGAAUCCGGUAUCAAUGACUACUGCGAGCUCCUCCAUAUGAGUGCCAAGUAAACUGAUCUAAGCAGAUAAAUCCAUCAAAGGCGCAUGAUCAAGAGCGUGAGGUGUCUGAUGAGAUGGUAUCUCUGUGUAAGGAAGCUCAGUGAAAGAUGGCUAAGAGGAUGGUCCCGUUGUGUAAGUCGGCUCAAACAUCAUAGGCUCAAAGAAUGUGGCCUCAAAUUGAACACCCUCUGACUGGAGUGCAAGAAUGUCGAGAUCAGGUUCUCUCUGCUCAAAGCCUCUCUAAAGGUUUAACCCACCCUCCAUCUCACAAAUCUUGGCCUCCUCCUCUGCUCCGGGAUGCACCUAUCCCUGUCCUCGGACCUAUGUUGGUGGUCGGUCAGCUCUCCUAAUCCAGGAGCCAUCAGGGGCCUUCUCAAACUUCAUCCGCCCCAAGGACUACUCAUCAUAAGUGUCAUAAAUACUAGGGGCCUCGAAGUCUAUCUCUCUGCUAAAAUCAACCCCGACAUCCUUGAAUACUCUAGUAAGGAAGCGACCGUAGGGGAGUACUCGGGUCAUGCUCUCGCAGCAUGAUAUCAUGUGCAUCAUCAUCAGAUACCUCACAUGAAUUCGUCUCCCCGUUAGAAUGGAGUCCACAAGGAAUGCAUCAAGAUAGGAGACCUCAUCUUGGUGUCCACCUCGUGGCAAUAGGAUGGAGCAGAUCAUGUGAUGAAGGACUCGGCUGAUCAUGGUCAGGCUAUGUGUCGAUGGUUUGCCCAUCCCCUAGGUGUCUGCAAAGCCGCACAUCCUCUGAAUAGCCUUUCUAGGCUCGAAACCCAGCAUAGUGGUCCAAGCCUUGGACUCAUACACCCUAAGUCCAAUCGAAGGAAUGUCAAAAAUAUGGAAAAUGCUCUCCUGGUUCAGCUGGAUCUCAACACCUCUAAUAGUGGAAAUGAUCGGUCCUCCAAGUCCAUAGGUCACUCGUGAAUAGAAUGCACACACCAGAGUCAGGAAAAUUGGCUCAGAAAUAGUCACUACUGGAAGCCAUCCCAUCAAUCCGAAAAGUCCCUCAAACCCAAAAUACUGAAGUUGGGAGAAAUUGAUCCUUUUCCUGCCAUUUUCAGUUGAAAUCUGCAAUUUUUUACGUUCAAUGCCAAGGGAAUUUUGAUUUUUGGUCAAAAUUUGACCAUUUUCCUAAGUAUAUGUCUAUAUGCUGCAUAUAAUAUGAAAUUCAUGCAAUCAUAAGGUAUAUUCAUCAAGCAAUCAUUUGAUCAUAAAGAAAUCACCCCUAGUUGUCUUCUAAUAUCAACAAAUUGUUCUUCACUUAGAGGUUUCGUAAAUAUAUCGGCAAGUUGAUCUUUUGUGCUUACAAAUUCAAGUGUAAUGUCACCCUUUUGUACAUGGUCUCUAAGAAAAUGAUGUCUAAUUUCUAUAUGCUUAGUCCUAGAGUGUUGCAUGGGAUUUUUUGAAAUAUUUAUGGCACUUGUGUUAUCACAUUUAAUAGAAACAUGCUCAAAAGACAAAUUGAAAUCACUAAGUGUUUGUUUCAUCCAAAGAAUUUGUGCACAACAUAAACCGGCUACUAUGUAUUCUGCUUCCGUCGUUGACAAAGCUGCCGAAUUUUGCUUCUUACUAUGCCAUGAAACAAGUGAGUAUCCUAGGAAAUGACAAGUGCCACAAGUGUUUUUUCUUUCAACUUUACAACCGGAAAAAUCGGUAUCCGAGAAUCUAAUUAAUUCAAAGUUAUCACCCUUAGGAUACCAUAAGUCUAUGUCCAUCGUCCCUUUCAAAUAUCUAAGGAUUCGUUUUACGACACUUAAGUGAGAUUCUUUAGUACAAGAUUGAAAUCUAGCACACAAGCAUACACUAUACAUGAUGUUGGGUCUAUUAGUGGUCAAAUAUGGCAAAGAACCUAUCAUGCCUCUAUACAUAGUUGAUUCAAUGGAUUUACUUUUCUCAUCCUUAUCAAGCUUGAUGGAUGAGCUCAUUAGAGUCUUCAUUGUUUUGGCUUCUUCCAUGUUGAACCUUUUGAGAAGAUCUCUUAUAUAUUUUGCUUGAUUGAUGAAGGCUCCUUCCUUUUGUUGUUUGAUUGAAGUUCAAGGAAGAAGUUGAGUUUUCCCAUUAUGCUCAUUUCAAACUCACUAUGCAUGCACUUAGAAAAUUCUUCACAAAGAGAUACAUUAGUAGCUCCAAAAAUAAUAUCAUCAACAUAUAUUUGAACUAAGGGCAUGUCAUUUUCUUUGGUCUUUAUGAAAAUAGUUGUGUCAAUUUUUCCCAUUUUAAAACCCUUUUUCAAAAUAAAUUUAUUCAAUCUUUCAUACCAAGCUCUAGGUGCUUGUUUCAAAUCAUAAAGUGUCUUUUUAAAUUUUAAAAACAUGGUUAGGAAAGUUAAAACUUUGAAAACCAGGUGGUUGUUCAACAUAUACUUCUUCAUUUAUAAAGCCAUUUAAGAAAGCACUUUUUACAUCCAUUUGAUAUAAAACAAAGUCUUUAAAACAUGCAAAGGCAAGUAGCAUCCUAAUGGCUUCCAAUCUAGCUACAAGGGCAAAAGUUUCUUCAUAAUCUAUCCCUUCUUCUUGAUUAAAACCUUGGGCUACCAAUCUUGCUUUAUUUCUAACAAUUAUGCCAUUUUCAUCCAUUUUAUUUCUAAAGACCCAUCUAGUUCCAAUAACACUUUGAUUUGAAGGUCUUGGCACUAAUUCCCAUAUUUCACUUCUUUUAAAUUGAUUUAACUCUUCUUGCAUAGCAAUCAUCCAAUUUUCAUCAACUAGAGCAUCAUUUAUAUUUUUAGGUUCAAUUUGAGAGAUAAAAGCAAGAUUAUUGCAAAUAUUUCUAAGAAAUGAUCUAGAUCUAGUUCUUACCCCACUAGAUGGAUUACCUAUAAUUUGAUCUUGUGGGUGGUUGAUGACAAACUUCCAACCUUUAGGAAGGUCUUGGCUUGAUUCACCUUGCACUUGUUGAGGAGAGGGUAGUGCUAAUGGUGAUUCUUCUUUAUUGGGAUCCUUUCCAAUUUCUUCUUGUUGCCUUCUAUCUUCAAUUUGUAAUUUUCUCAUGAAAGUCUCCAAGUCUAAAUCAUCAUCAAAACUCUCUCUUUCUUGGAGAGAAUUGUUAUAUUCAUAAAAUAACAUGGAUGGACUCCUAUACAACCAUGGUUCUUUUGUUAAAAACUCUAAAGGUUUUACUUGAAGUUGAGUAACCAAGAAAAAUUCCAACAUCUAAUUUUGCAUCAAAAUUUCCAAGAUUGUCUUUGGUGUUUAAUAUAAAACAUUUUCACCCAAAGACUUUGAAAUAGCCAAUGUUGGGUUUCUUGUUUUUCCAAAGCUCAUAGGGAGUUUUCUUAAGAAUGGACCUCAAUAAUAUUCUAUUUAAAACAUAACAAGAAGUGUUAACCGCUUAGGCACAAAAAUAUUUUGGUAAAUUGUUUUCAUUUAGCAUGGUUCUAUCCAUUUCUUGAAGGGUUCCAUUUUUCCUUUCCACUACCCCAUUUUGUUGAGGAGUUCUAGGAGCCGAAAAAUUGUGGUUAAUACCAUGCUCAUUGCAAUAGUCUUCAAAAUUAAUAUUUUCAAUUUCUCUCCCAUAAUCACUUCUUAUACAAGUAAUUGUAAAACCUUUUUCAUUUUGAACCUUAUUGCAAAAUUUUGAAAACUCAUAAAAGGCUUCAUUCUUUUGACUUAAAAACAAGACCCAAGUGUAUCUAGAGAAUUCAUACACAAUAACAUAUGCGUAAGAUUUUCCUCCAAGGCUUGGUGUCCUAGAGGGACCAAAUAAGUCCAUAUGCAACAACUUGAGAGACCUAAUUGUUGAAAUGAAAAAAUUGUUUUUAAAAGAGUUUUUUAUUUGCUUUCUCAUUUGACAAGCUUCACAAACCUUGUCUUUUUGAAAAUUUAUUUUGGGAAGGCUUCUAACAAGUUCAUCUUUGUUGAGUUGGGAAAUGAGGUCCAUGUUAGCUGAUUGCGUGCCUAGCUAGUGUACCUUGAUUUUGGCCCUCAAACAGGAGUAAUCAACUAGUAUAACAUAGUGGCUCUAGGAUCGUUCACUAGGAAGAGUUUUCAACUUACUAUUGACAUUAAUUCAAAGUUGAAUUGAUGCUUUUUCAUUUCAAGGUUAGCUUCAAAAGAAAACAUAAACUUUGGUUUAAAAAGGAUUAGUUUUAAGCUAACUAAAAUAAGGUAAUGGGAAUUUACUUAUAAAGAAAAGCGUUUCUUGGAGUUUUAGGAUCAUUGGGGUCAAGCUCCUCAUGCAAAAAUAGAGUUCUGGUCACUUGAAUCUUUUCAUCGCAUUAGAGAAUUAACAUAUAGUUAUUUCUCUAACCGGUGUGGUACAGAUGCUCCCCUUUUAUGGAUUCAAACACUAAAUCUCUCUUACUGAUUCAUUUUGCAAUGACUCGUGCCUCUCACCUAGCAUUUGCCAUUCAAGGUGAUCAUUAACCUUGGAUUUCCCUUCUCAAGCUCAUAAGAGAUAACUAAUGGAUGUCUCCUUAGAGUCCAAAAGCUUACUAAGUGUUGGCAAUUCUAGAAAAUCCUACCUUCAAGUCACCUCCCAAAGGCUCGCAAGAGAUAAACUAGUGCAUCUCAAUGAACGGAGAUCACUUGCCUUACCAAGUGUUGGCCCAGGUAAUUUAAAGGCGUUUUAAGUUAACUAAAAACAUAGAAACCAUUAACGGGUCACACUUUCUCUUCAUUAAUAGCUGAAACAACAGAACUCUUAAUUCUUGCAUUCGGCACCUUACCCAGCUACCUUAGCUCCAAGAGACAAAAAGUCUAGCCACUCAUUCUCUGAGGAAACAUCCUCAGAGCUUGUUUGGCUAGUAAGAAAAAUACAAUCAAAGUGAGUAGGUAAGGCAGAGUAAAGCUCUAUAUAUUACUUUCUUCAAAACUAUACAAAAAGUUGUCUCUGAGAACAAGCUCUCAAGAGAUCCUUUGUGUAAUGAAAAUUAAAAACAAUAUAUAUGAGGUUAUUUACCCUUUGUCCUUACUUAUUAACUAAGGAAUCCAAUGAUUGGUGGAUUACAAUGAGAAAAUGGGGAUUUAAACAACAAAUAUCUGAAGAAAAAAAUCUAAAAGUGUCGGUCGCAAAUAUCUAGAAGCACUCAGGAGGAUUUCGCAGGCAUGCAAGAUGGCUGUGAAAUUUCGCAAGCUGAAGGUCUCCAUUUCGCAGCCAAGGGCCCAUUUCGCAGCGAUCACCUUGUGAUUUCACAGCUACGAAAUUGGCCUUCAGCUUGGUGUGAUUGGCUUCCAAUCACUAUAACUUCUUCAUUUCAACUCCGAUUCACGCACCGUUUAAAUCGUUGGAUUUUUGACUUCCAGAGCUUCGAAAUGACAUAUAGUAUGCAUGAAAUGGACUCCAAGAAUUGCUCCAAAAGUAUCCAACAGUUGCUGUCCUCUUGAAUUCUUCAUGUUAGAUUUCUCUCUUUGCUUUCCCUCCUUGCAUUCAUGAUUUGCUUAUGGCAAAGGACUAUAAAGCUUUAAAGCUUAGGUUAUUCAUGUUAAUGAGCUUCCAAAUUCUUUGCCAUUGAUUCCAUAGAACUCUCCUCAAUCUUGGAUUGCUUUGGUGAUCAAAAUACUAUCAAAAACACCAAAAAUUAACACAGUUUGAUUAGAAACGAUUGCAAAGGUCCUUAAUUUGCUAAUUGAGUUAAAAGGUAAUAAUUACUACUCAAAAGUGUUUAAAAGAGUUAAUUACAAGCUACAAAAUAACACUUUUUGAGUAGUAAUCACUCUCCCCAACCGACAUAUUGCUAGUCCCCUAGCAAAAGGAGAGAAAAAGGAAAAUAAAUAGUAAUAUACUUUACAAAAUCAUGUUGAUCACUUCAAAAAAUUUUAAGUGGCAUGAUGAUCAAACUCUGACAUGGAACAUUAAAGAUAUAAAACUCAAACUUCAACAAGAGUUAUCAAAUACUUUGCCUAAUCACAAUUCAUAAAGAAAAGACAUUAUGCAAAUUGAAGCUUUAAAAUCAUUUCCACUUCCAAAGGGUCAAACCUUACUCUUCCACAAAAAUCUAAGUGUUACUUGAUAGCUUCCGAAUAUUGUAUGCUGAACUAAUAUCUCCCCCCAACCUAGUUUUUUUUUUCAACACUUAGCAAACUGACAAAAUUUAAUAGGUUAAGAACGCACCCUUUUGUUUCACAAUUUUUUUCAUUGUAGGAGUACAAAGCUUAAAGGUAUUCUUUUCUAAAUUGUCCAUGUAACGAGGGUCCAUCGAUGACUCCCAAUCAAUUAAGGUUUAGGGCAUCAAGCUUUAAGGAUCUUUCAACCACUAACUCCUCGUAUUUUACCCCGGACUUUUGAGAAUGAAUUUUAAUACCCAAGCACCUACAGUAUGUUAAACUCCACCUAUUCACCCUUAUAACGAGCAUUGAGGUCGGUGACUCCCAACCAAUUAAGGCUUAGGGCACCAGGUUUUAAAGAUUUUCACCAUAUACCCCUCAAAUCUUGCUCGGGGGUUUCAAAGCAAGCAAACAUUUUUCUUUCUUUCUUUCUUUCUUUUUCAAAGGCUCAUUGGCCUUUUAUAAGGUGUCCCAACACUAUUAAAUUGAGUUCAAAGGUACCAAGUCUAAAUUUUCCUAAGUCAAGGGGGUGAAAUAGUUUUUCAUCUUAUAAUCAGAACCUAUUGUGCACAGUGUGUGAAUAGCUUAAAAUGGAAGAACUAAGGUUGAAUUAAAUAUAAGUUUCAACAAUUCAUCAACUUUAGUAGGCAUAAUACAAACUCUAAGUCAAGUAAAAAGACAAAAAUUCAAUUUCUCCCUUUUUAGUUUGAAAAUUUUUCCUUAAUAACCAUGGAGAGUAGAUAAAAACUUAAAAAAAUUUAAAAUUAAGCAAAAAGCAACUAAAUUACCAAAAUAACUUAGCAUUAAUAACAAAACUUCCUUCCUCAACUCUCCCCCCAGCUAAGCUGAACAUUGUCCUCAAUGUGGCAUGAGCGAUUGAAAAACAGGGAGGAAGUGGUGCCUCCUGAGUGAUAUGAAGUUCUAGUAGAAUAGGAGAAACCACAUGUUUCAAAAACAAUAAAAGAUAUGAGUAGAGGAAUUAAAAUAAAAUAAUGCCAAUAGUACUCAAAAAAUGAUAGAUUUGUAUUACUUCAUGAUAAUACACUAUAGAGUAAAACAAGUAAUACAACCAAUCCCAAUAUAAAAAACAUCAAAAGCAUGGGAUUACAAGUUCUACACUAGUAAAGAAAUACAGAAAGGAAACUAUGUAAAUGAUUAGAUAGUGGUAGGAGGAUCAUGUGGAGAUGAUGGCUUUAUCUCUCCUGUAGUCGGCUCCUUAAGGGGCAUAGUCUGCUCCGUGAGAUGAGGGACCUGUGAUGGAUCUGUAGGCUCUGAAGGGAUAGGAAUGGCGUGCUCAGGAGGCAAUGGAAUACCCAGAUGUUGUUGUAUCUGCCUAAGAAUGGCAAUAUGAUGGGUUUGGGUGGCUAUAAUCUGCUCCUGAUGGAUACGAAGAGUUGUCAUCUGUUGAGUGAGGAUGCUCUGAGAAGUGGUCAAUGUCUGCAAAGUGUGACAUAGGCCUCUAAACUUGGAAAUGGAUAUGGCGAUCCUAGACUCAGAUAGAGGAGAGGGCUCUGAUGUAGAUGGUAUAACAGGCGGAGUCCUUGGUGUGGUAGGAGGAGCAGAGGGUGCAACCUCAGGCAUAGGUCUUGGAGAGGGCACUGUAGGGGCAGGUGCUCUCAUGUCAACUGGUAUCUGAAUUGGCUAUGGCUCCUCUGGAUGCUCUGGAUGUGGAAUCUCUGGAUUCUUUAGUCUAGCUAGGGCUCCUGGCUCUGCAUCAUAGGUUGUCAUACUCGUCCAUUUGUCAAGAGUGAAUAUCUCUCAACAAAUGCAUCUGCGCUCAAGCUGAGGCUCAGAUGGAUAUCCCAAGUGCUCCAAAAUCUGACAUAGCAACCUUGGGAAUAGAAGUGGAAUAGCAUCCACUCUUAGCAUCUUCUUCCUAUGGACCUUCUCUUCAAAGUACAAAAGAGCGGCCAUAAUGAGAUGAUGAUGGCCAAAGAAGAAUCCCUCUAAUAUCCUGAACAAUGCCUCUAGCAAAGCUCCUCUCCUCUGCACCAUAUGUUGAAACUGAUAGAUGUUAUGGCACAGGAGUGCAUCUAUAAAGAACAUGCUGGGAGGGAACUUCUUCCUCAACAGAUAAGGUCGUGUGGAUGCCCCUCUGGACAGUAUAUGGACCAUGUCACUCUGGGAAGGAUGAGCCUAGACUCGAUAAUCCUCUGGACGUGCUGGCUCGUAGGGAAUGCAUAGGGCCUCUGCUAUAUGUCUGGCUCCCAGGAUACCAUGGUGUCCAUCAAUGGUGAAGUGGAUGACAGUAGGAUCCCGGACGUGAUGUGUAGUCAUAGACUAAUAAAAGUCUAAUGCUACACAGGGAUAGAAGAAAUCCCUGGGAGUCAUCAGGUGCUCCAUAUGGUAUCUCUGGAGCAGAUGGAAGGAAUCUUUGAGUUCUGGUUGAAACCUGAAGGUAGCUCUGUCAAAAUAAAGCUUUGAGUGGAAUGGCCUAGCCCGACAAUCCAAAUUACCCUCAAUGGGUGGCUGAGUGACCAUGGAAUGCCUGAUAACCACCUCAGGAGUCAUCCCAGAGGGAAUCUAAGACUCUAUGGCAGGUGGCUGAGGCGGCUGAGGCUUUGAUGGAGGCUCUGAUGGCUCAAGUGGAGCUAAUACCCUUGCUUUCUUCUUAAGGGGACGGCUACCUGACUUUUUUGCACGAGAAGAGCUUGCCCUGAGUGUGGUGGGUGGUCUCCUCGUCUCAUAUCGCCUCGAAUGAGGACUCAGGGGUGCGUCCUCAAUUGAAGGUGGGACAACUAGUGGCUAUGAAGGCUCAGUCAUGGAGCCUUGCACAGAGGUCUUCCUUGGAACUCUAAGACGGCUUGAAGGAGACGAGGACUUAGCUCCUUGAGUUUUUGCCAUGGUUGAUUCAGAGGAGGUGGUCGGAGAUGCGCGCGCGGCUUGGGCUCAGAUAGGGGUCCUCUGGAAGUGGUGCUCUAGCUUGGGUCUUAUUUCGCACCAAAGGGAAGUUCAAAUGACCGGUUUAAAAAUGAAAUUUGGAAAUUAAAAUGUUUAAAAUGGAGGCCAAGUGACGGUUAGAAUUUUCGCAGAGGAGGGGCGUUUUCGCAGCGGGGGCUAUUUCGCAGCCCAUUUCGCAGCUGCGAAAUGAGGGGGUGGGGCUACGAAAUGGCACUCGUGUGGCAAGGGGUGGUUUCGCAGUUGCGAAACCAGCUGCGAAAUGGGGCUUGGGCUGCGAAAUGGCACUCGUGUGCCAAUGGGUGGUUUCGCAACUACGAAAAUUUUCGCAGGGGGUGGCUAUGGGGCUGCGAAAUCAUUUUGUAGCGGAGGGCCAUUUUCGCAGCCAUCCCUUGAUUUCACAGUGGGCACCUUGUGGCUACAAAAUCAUUUCGCAACAAAUGGCCGUUUACGCAGGGGCCUAUUUUGGCCUGCGAAAUCUCGCAGACCUUUGAAUUUUUCUUGCUCCUGAGCUCUUUUUUGCUCCGUGAGACCUCCUUCAUUUCUUUUGCAAUUUCUCCUAAAUUAGAUCAAUCAAAAAGUCUAAGUUACAUAUUAAUAACACAAAUUAAAACCAAAAUUAAAGUCAAAAUAAUUAAUAAGCUCUUUUAACAAAAUUAAACAAAAAAUAUGGACUUUGGUGAAACCAAGUCCAUUUAACCCCUUUCUGAUUAGGCUUUCUGGGGCUCAAGGAGAUUGAUUUCCUCAUUUUCUUGCUUGAAUGGCUCAAUGAAUGGUUUGGGACAAUGACCAUUGACUUUAAAGGUGUCAGUGCUAUUGGAAUUCAGUAAUUCCACCACUUCAUUGAGAUGCACUUGGUGAAUAAUGAAAGGGCCUAUCCACCUUGACUUCAACUUCCCAGGAAAGAUAUGGAGCUUUGAGUCAUAGAGUAAGACUCUUUGUCCUUUCCGGAAUUCUUUGUUGGAGACUAAUUGAUCAUGCCACCUCUUCAUCCUCUGUUUUGCAACUUUGGAAUUGAUGUAAGCAUCAUUUCUUAAUUCCUCCAUCUCAUUAAGGUCUAAGCACCUCUUUGCCCCGGCUCUGAUCAAGUCCAUGUUUAACUUCUUGAUUGCCCACCAAGCCUUAUAUUCAACUUCCACAAGGAGAUGGCAUGCUUUGCCAUAGACUAGGCGAUAGGGAGACAUGCCAAGAAUAGUCUUGUAAGUUGUUCUAUAUGCCUAUAGUGAAUCAUGGAGCUUAAUAGACCAAUCUCUUAUGCUCGUGUUCACCACCUUCAUCAAUAUAUUCUUGAUUUCCCUGUUUGCUAACUCAACUUGCCCGGAAGUCUGAGGGUGAUAAGGUGUAGCUACCUUAUGCUUCACCCCAUACUUGGCUAAUAGGGUUUCAAAAGGUUUGUUGCAAAAAUGAGUACCUCCAUCACUGAUUAUGGCCUUGGGCACCUCAAAUCUUGAGAAGAUGUUCUCUUUGAGAAACUUAAGAACCACCCUGUGAUCAUUGUAUUUACAGGGGAUUGCCUCAACCCAUUUAGAAACAUAAUCCACCCCCAUCAAGAUAUAAGAGUUACCAAAAGACAUUGGGAAAGGUCUCAUGAAGUCAAUGCCCCAAACAUCAAAGAAAUCAACUAUUAGAAUGGGGUUCAUGGGCAUUUGAUUUCUUCUUGUUAGCUUCCUGAGCCUUUGGCAUCUAUCACAGCUGCUACACAUGGUGUGGGCAUCUUUGAAAAGUGAUGGGCAACUAAACCCUGAUUGCAACACCUUCAUGGCUGUUUUCUGAGAGGCAAAGUGGCCUCCAUAUGCACUCUCAUGGCCAUGGCUGAGGAUUCCUUGUUGCUCUUUUUCGGGGACACACUUCCUGAUUAUUUGAUCUGCACAAUACUUGAAAAGGAAAGGCUCUUCCCAAUAAUAAGCAUGAAUCUUUACAAAAAAGUGUUUCCUGUCUUGUGCUUUCCACUCACUUGGAACUUCACCAGUAACUAGAUAGUUAGCAAUAUGAGCAUACCAAGGAGUUUUUUCUAGCAACAUAAGUGAUUCCUCUGGAAAGUCAUCAUUAAUAGGUAAGACAUGGGAAUUGUGUGCUAUAGCCAACCUUGAAAGGUGGUCAGCUACCACAUUCUCCACUUCUUUCUUAUCUCUGAUUUGGAGAUCAAACUCUUGUAGUAAGAGAAUCCAUCUAAUCAACCUUGCUUUUGCAUCUUGCUUUGUCAAUAAAUACUUCAAGGUUGAAUGGUCAGUGAAAACAAUGAUGAAAGACCCUACUAGAUAAGCACGAAACUUGUCUAAGGCAAACACUACAACUAAUAAUUCUUUCUCUGUAGUUGUGUAGUUCCUUUGAGCUUCGUUCAAUGUCUUGCUUGCAUAGUAGAUCACAUAGGGCUUUCCAUCUUCUCUUUGGCCAAGCACAGCUCCUAUAGCAAAGUCACUAGCAUCACACAUCACUUCAAAAAGUAGUUGCCAGUUGGGAGCCCUCACUAUUGGAGCAGUUGUCAAGAAUUGCUUCAAUUGAUCAAAACUCUUUUGACAUCUCUCAUCUCAUACAAACUUGGCUUUCUUAGCCAAAAGUUCACAAAGAGGCUUUGAAAGCUUAGAGAAAUCUUUUAUAAACCUCCUGUAGAACCCUGCAUGGCCAAGGAAUUGCCUUACUCCUUUUACAGUUGUUGGGGAUGGCAAUUUGACAAUAAGUUCCACCUUUGCUUUAUCAACUUCAAUGCCUUUCUCAGAGAUGAUAUGGCCAAGGACAAUUGAUUACUACUCAAAAAGAGCAUAUUUUAGAUAAUAAUUCUCAUGAGUUUCACGUCUUUUGAAUAGUAAUUAUGCCUAAAACACUCAAUUAACAUGUUGUUGCCCUUGCAAGAGUUACUAACAAGUUUUAUGAAGUUUUUGAGUCAUUUCAAGGUAUGUUUUUGAUAAAUUGGUGACAAAAGAAAUGAAUCAAAUUGAAGAAAACAAAUAAAGUUGAUGAUGAUCCAAAUGCAUAAUGAAAGAAGCAAUGCAAUCGGUUUGGAUCGGGAUUUGGAGUUGAUUUAGAGAUAGUUGAAGUGGAAUCAAGAGAAAGAAAUGAGAGAAAUUGCAAAGAGGAGUCGAAAAAGCAUGUUUUUCAAUUUCGCAUGACCAUGCGAAAUGAAACAAAGUAGGCUUGGCUGCAGCAUAUAAGGAAAAUGUGAAAAGUGAUUUCGCACAGUCAUGCGAAACACUCCAGCUAGACGAAAAUAUAGCUAAUGGAUUUUCUACUUCGCAUCAUUAUGCGAAAUUGCUGAGGGCUCAUGCCAAAAUGUAUUUUCUCCAGAUUCCUUGAUGAAGAAGCCUUCGGAAGACCUCUUAGAUGAUGCCAACUGUCUACUUGACCUUGGCAUAUAAAUAGAAACGUGAUUGACUCAUUUAAAGACUUUGGAUACAUUUUCUAAUUGUAAAACUUUCAAGGUUUCUUCUCUCUAAAUAAUUCUCUACUUUCCUUCAUUUUCUCUCAUUUUCUCGGUAGCCAAACAUGUCUUGUGAGAUCAAAUCUCCAAGCAUGAGUGGCUAAAUCUCGUUUUUCUCGGAUAAGGGAGCAUCUAGAGGCAAGAUCUAUGGUGAAUUAGAUAAUUGAGCUUGAAUUGCAAAGGUAAUUUGAUCCAAUUGAUUGAUUAAUUGAAAUUUGAGGAUUUUUCCCUUCAAAUUGUCUUGGAUGAUUACUACAAUGCAAGCUAGGUAGAUUCAUCAAAUUCUUAAUGUUAGAUUUGAUGAGAUUGAAUAGUUGCAUUUGUGUGAAUCAUUGGAAGAUAAUUUAAGAUGAACCGAAUAUAUGAUUUGAAUUGAUCUCUUGGAUUAGAUUACCUAAUUUGAAGAGAAAUUAGAUCUAAAUCUAAAGCUAAAUCAAAAAUUGGUUUAGAUGAAAAUUUAGGUUUUCAAUCUAACUUGAUGAAAAUUAUAUCUCAAAAACACCUAUUCACUAUGAAAAUUGCCUUCUAGAAAAUCCUAACUCCAAGAAUCUCACCUCUUAUUAAUUUUCUUCUCUUUUACACUUCAUUUUUCUCUCAAUUUGAAUACAUUGUUAUUUUGAAAUUUUAUCAUGCAAUUUCAAGUCAAUUUCACUUUAUCACAAUCAUUUCUUAUCAUCUCAUUCAAGCCUUAAUUACCGAGAAUAAUCCAUUCUUGUGGACGAUACCUAAAUACCACUAUACUAUAGUAGUUUGUACUAAAACCACUUUUUGAUCGAGUACAAAUUGCUAUAGAAUAGUGAAUUAAGUUAUAAAUUUUGUUUUGAUCCAAUAAACGACAAAAUCCGAGUGAUCAACAAUUCCUUGUUGUACCAUAAAAUGGCAUUUCUCUCAGUUGAGCACCAAGUCCUUUUCAAUGCAUCUUUUAAGAAUCGCUUUCAAGUUGACUAAGCAUUCUUCAAAUGUACCUCCAUAUAUGGUGAUGUCAUCCAUGAAAACCUCCAUAAUUCUCUCCACCAUAUCACUGAAGAUACUUAGCAUACAUCGUUGGAAUGUUGCAAGUACAUUACAUAAACCAAAAGACAUUCUUCUAUAGGCAUAUGUUCCAAAUGGACAUGUGAAAGUGGUCUUCUCCUGAUCUUCAACAUCGAUUUCAAUUUGAAAAUACCUGGAGUAGCCGUCCAAGAAACAAUAGAAAAGAUGGCCAAAGACUCUCUCCAACACUUGAUCAAUAAAUGGCAGUGGAAAAUGAUCCUUCUUUGUCACAACAUUCAAUUUUCUAUAAUCAAUACACACCCUCCAACCUGAAGUGAGGCGUGUAGCAACUUCUUCUCCCUUUUCUUUUUGAACCACCAUAAUCCCUGACUUCUUUGGUACCACUUGAGUAGGACUCACCCAAGGGCUGUCAGAUAUGGGGUAUAUAAUACCUGUUUGAAGUAGCUUCAGAACCUCCGUUCGCACCACCUCUUGCAAAUGAGGAUUCAAUUUUCUUUGAGGUUGACAAAUUGGUUUAGUUUCUUCCUCCAUGUAUAUAUGAUGUGUACAAACCAAAGGACUGAUGUCUUUCAAGUCAGAUAAUUGCCAUCCUAUUGCUUUCUUACACCUCUUGAGAACUUCAAGUAGACACACCUCCUGAGGACUAGUAAGAGAUGAAGAUAUAACAACAGGGCAUUGUUUAUUCUCUUCUAGGUAUGUAUAUUUCAACUCCGUGGGCAGAGGCUGAUUGAGCUUUGGGGUCUCUUCUUUAGCAGCUUCAUGUGCCUCCUCUUUAUUGAACAAAAGUAGAAUUUCUUCUCUCCUCCUCCAACCUUGUAGGGUAGCAAGCACAUCUGAGGGUUCAGACAACCCUUCUUCAAGAUCCCCAAGACUUUCAUUCAACUUAUCUUGCAUUUUUUUAUUAUAGUGCUCCUCCAUUAGAGUGUCAAUUAUGCACACCUCUUCUAGACCCUCUUCUUCUUCCGGAGUUAUUAGCUUUUUGGACAUAUAGAAGAUAUUGAGCUCCAAUGUCAUGUUGCCAAAUGUGAGUUACAUGAGUCCAUUCCUACAAUUUAUGAUUGCAUUUGAUGUAGCAAGGAAUGACCUUCCAAGGAUGAUAGGAACAUAAUUCGUUUCCUUAACAAUGGGGUCCGUAUCAAGAACAACAAAAUCUAUUGGAUAGUAGAAGUUAUCAACUUGAACUAAGACAUCUUCAAUUAUCCCCCUUGGAAUUUUCACUGAUCUAUCUGCUAGAGAUAGAGUGAUUGAUGUUGGCUUCAAUUCACUAAGUCCCAAUUGCUUGUAGACAGAGUAUGGCAGCAAAUUCACACUUGCUCCCAAGUCUAACAAAGCUUUUUCCACUACUUUUCCCCCAAUCAUGACUGAAAUGGUAGGACAACCCGAAUCUUUGUACUUCAAAGGAGACUUGCAUUGUAUGAUAGCACUUACUUGCUCAAUCAAAAAGGCUUUCUUAUUCACAUUCAACCCUCUUUUGAUAGUACACAAGUCUUUUAGGAAUUUUGCAUAUGUUGGAACUUGUUUAAUCAUAUCCAGCAAUGGAAUAUUGACUUUCACUUGUCUCAAUACUUCAAGAAUUUCUGAUGCAUUUCUGAUCCCCUUUCUCCCAUGCAAAGCUUGAGGAAAAGGUGGAAGUGUGUGUUUCUUCAUCAUUUCUUCCUUGAUAAGUACUUUAUCUGGAUUUGCAUUCACUAUUGAAUCAUGGUCCUAUUUCCCUUCACUGGUAUCUUUCUUCUUUCCUUUGAUUUCCUCCCUCUUCUCUGUCUCUUCUUCUUCUUCAUCCUCUUCAACAUGUGGCUUGGGUGUUGGUAGCUCAACCUUUUUACCACUCCUUAGAGUGAUCAAGGCUUUAACAUCUCUCACCUGUGAGGACUCUCCCUCAUGAGUUUCCACUUCAUGGAUACCCUUGGGGUUUUGGUGAGGUUGAGAAGGAAAUCUACCCUUCUCUUGCAUUGUAUUCAGGUUAGUGAGCCUUGAGAUUGAGUAUUGGAGAUUAUCUAUCUUCUGAGAUAAGUCAUUUUGCAUCUCAUCCAUCCUUUUAUUCAAUGUAUUCUCUACACUGUCAAUUCUUUGACUAAGUUGAGCAUUGAUGGAUUUUUGGUCUCCAACAAAAUCUCCCACAACCUUGAUUAGAUUCACUGUUGCUUGUUCAAGAUUUGAAGCUUGUUGAGAUGGUUGAGCUGGUUGUGCAUACUGAGGUGCUCUUGGCUUCUAAGAAAAAUUUGGAUGGUUCCUCCAACUUGAGUUGUAAGUAUUUCCAUACGAAGCAUUGUUGUUGGGCUUGAAUUGUCCAAUGACAUUUGCUUGAUCUCCAAACAUUUCCCUAGCAGCUGGAAUUGUAAGGCACUCCUCCACCAAGUAUUCAUAAGAUUGACAAAUAGGACAUGGCUUGACUUGCACUAGUGUUUCAACAACAGCUUGUACUUCACGUAUCUUUUUCAGUUCUAGCUCCUCUAAUCUUCUUGUCAUAGCUGCAAACUUUGCUUUCAUAUCAACAUCUUCAUUCAAGGUGUACAUCCCAGCCUUAGCAUUAAAGGCAUUCGGUUGAGACUUCAUCUUCCCCACUUCUCCUUUGUUCGUUUCAUCCCAUCCCCUUGAUAUUUCAGCCACAUAACUUAAGAAAUCCAUAGCUUCCUCCGGAUUCUUACUCAUGAAAUCUCCUCCACACAUUGUCUCAAGGAGUUGCUUCAUUGAGGAAGACAUCCCAUCAUAGAAAUAACUCACCAAUAGUCAUGUAUCAAAACCAUGGUGAGGACAAACAUUGAUGGCUUUCAUGUAUCUUUCCCAACACUCAUAGAAUUUCUCAUUCUCUUUAGCUGAGAAGUUUGAAAUUUUCCUUUUCAAGCCAUUUGUUCUGUGAGUAGGGAAAAUUUUCUUAAGGAAUUCAGCUUGAAAAUCAGUCCAAGUCUGGAUACUCCUUGGCCUUAAAGAAUUAAGCCAAAUCUUGGCCUUAUCCUUUAAAGUAAAAGGAAAUAUCUUAAGCUUCAUCAAGUCGAUUGAAGCUCCUCCUUCUUGGAAUGUAUUACAAACAUCUUCAAAUUCCUUGAUAUGUACAUAGGGAUUCUCACUUUCCAUCCCAUGGAAAGUUGGUAGAAGUGGAACAAUAUGCGGUCUAAUCACUAGCUGCUUUGUAGGGGGCACUAUACAUGAUGGUGCACUCAUACGAGGUGGAUGCAUGCGGUCCCUCAUUGAUCUGAAUGCGUUGGGAUUGUCCUGGUGACCAUGGUGACUAUGCUGCUCUUCAUAUGUAGCUUCCAUGAUGUUUAAGCUCAAUUCCAAUUCCUUGUUAUGAGGUAUUUCAAGUUUCACAAGCCUUUCUCCACUAUCUCGUAUCCAAUUUGGCAUACACAACUAGUAUCAACUGUAACAAACACAAAAACAAAAGAAAACAAGACUACAAAAAGACUAAGAUUAACUAAAACUAAUUUAAAGGAUAUGUUAGAAUAUGAACAAGUAAAAGAAACAAUUAAAAGAGUUAGUAAAAUGAAAGAAAAAUCACCAAACUUGUGAUGAAAAUCACAAGUACUCUGAAAUAAUAUCAUUGUGAAGUUGGCACACCUUCCCCGGCAACGGCGCCAUUUGAUUGCGUGCCUAGCUGGUGUACCUUGAUUUUGGCCCUCAGACAGGAGUAAUCAACAAAAUUUAUAACCUAUAUCACUAUGUGCUAGGAUAGCCUCAGCUAGUAUAGCAUAAUGGCUCUAGGAUCGUUCACUGGGAAGGGUUUUCAACUUACUAUUAACAUUAAUUCAAAGUUGAAUUGAUGCUUUUUCAUUUCAAGGUUAGCUUCAAAAGAAAACAUAAACUUUGGUUUAAAAAGGAUUAGUUUUAAGCUAACUAAAAUAAGGUAAUGGGAAUUACUUAUAAAGAAAAGCGUUUUUGGGAGUUUUAGGAUCACUAGGGUCAGGCUCCUCAUGCAAAAACAGAGUUCCGGUCACUUGAAUCUUUUCCUCGCAUUAGAGAAUUAACAUAUAGUUAUUUCUCUAACCGGUGUGGUACAGAUGCUUCCCUUUUAUGGAUUCAAACACUAAAUCCCUCUCACUGAUUCAUCUUGCAAUGGCUCGUGCCUCUCACCUAGCAUUUGCCAUUCAAGGUGAUCAUUAACCUUGGAUUUCCCUUUUCAAGCUCGCAAGAGAUAACUAAUGGAUGUCUCCUUAGAGUCCAAAAGUUUACCAAGUGUUGGCAAUUCUAGAAAAUCCUACCUUCAAGUCACCUCCCAAAGGCUCGCAAGAGAUAAACUAGUGCAUCUCAAUGAACGGAGAUCACUUGUCUUACCAAGUGUUGGCCUAGGUGAUUUAAAGGCGUUUUAAGUUAACUAAAAACAUAGAAACCAUUAACGGGUCACACUUUCUCUUCAUUAAUAGUUGAAACAACAAAACUCUCAAUUCUUGCAUUCGGCACCUUACCCAGCUACCUUAGCUCCAAGAGACAAAAAGUCUAGCCACUCAUUCUAUAAGGAAACAUCUUCAGAACUUAUUUGGCUAGUAAGAAAAAUACAAUCAAAGUGAGUAAGUAAGGCAGAGCAAAGCUCUGUAUAUUACUUUCUUCAAAACUAUACAAAAAGUUGUCUUUGAGAACAAGCUCCCGAGAGAUCCUUUGUGUAAUGAAAAUUACAAACAAUAUAUAUGAGGUUAUUCACCCUUUGUUCUUACUUAUUAACUAAGGAAUCCUAUGAUUGGUGGAUUGCAAGGAGAAAAUGGGGAUUUAAACAACAAAUAUCUGAAGAAAAAAAUAUAAAAGUGUCGGUCGCAAAUAUCUGGAAGCACUUAGGAGGAUUUCGUAGGCAUGCAAGAUGGUUGCGAAAUUUCACAAGCUGAAGGUCUCCAUUUCGCAGCCAAGGGCCCAUUUCGCAACGAUCACCUUGUGAUUUCGCAACUGCGAAAUUGGCCUUCAGCUUGGUGUAAUUGGCUUCCAAUGGCUAUAACUUCUUCAUUUCAACUCCGAUUCAUGCACCGUUUGAAGCGUUGGAUUUCUGACUUCCUGAGCUUUGAAACGACAUAUAGUAUACAUGAAAUGGACUCCAGAAAGUGCUCCAAAAGUAUCCAACAAUUUCUGUCCUCUUGAAUUCUUCAUGUUAGAUUUCUCUCUUUGCUUUCCCUCCUUGCAUUCAUGAUUUGCUUAUGGCAAAGGACUAUAAAGCUUUAAAGCUUAGGUUCUUCAUGUUAUAUAUGACACUUCAAACCCAAAGGUCAAGGGUACUACCAUCAUUUCACAUGUCAAAGUUGUCCAACCCAAGAGCCUAACACAUAAAUGACCUUGACUAACAAAUCCAUCAUGUAGCUAGUUGAUAAUUAAUUACCUCCAAUUGACAAUCACAACAUAAUUCAAAAGUUUAUGAAUCUUUGAUCCAAAAUUAAUUAAAAUAUCCAAACAAUAAAUUUGAUGUGUAAGCGUUUUGUGUGUUAGCAAUUCUAGGACAAGAUUCUCAUUGUGUUUCUCCUAACUGAAUCUCUGAAAUAAAAUUUUGUGGGUGUUGAGCUGAAAAUCAUCAUUUGAAUGAAAAAAAUUCUUUCAAAAUGGGUUGAUUUGGUAUAAGUUUUAUCCCUACUUUAAUAUUCAUCAUACUUAAGGUAUUACCCAAAUUUUUUCUUUGUGAAUUCAAGAAGAGACCAAGAUCAGGUUUGAUGUGGACUCAAAAUAUUCUCCAAGAAAAGAAAGUAGAUAAGUUAAGUUUGAAGGUUUCUUAAUUGGAGAGUAUUGACUCAUUUACAUGUAAAUUGUAUUGAUUAUCUUAUUCUGAGAGUGUUGGUACAUUCAUUAUUGUUUGUAUUUUGUUUGUUUCGAUGAGAUUGAAAGAAAAUAUGAGUUCUUAAUAUUUGUGAGGUAUCAUCUCAAAAUGAUUCUAAAAAAUACCUAUUCACCCCUCCUAAACUCAGAAUGAUUCUAAAAAAUACCUAUUCAGCCCUCAUAAACACUAGCACAAUAUUAAGAGAUAGUCAAAUACAAAUAUAUAUAUAUAUACCUACCUUUAUUUAUUUAUUUAUAUAUUAUUUUUUAGAAACUCUAAAUUAACUUGAACAAUUCAAGUCCAAAACUCAAAUUAAAACCUUAUUAUAUUUAGUUAGUCCAAGAUUUUAUUUUUUAAAAAUAAUUAAAUUAUACAUUUACCCAAACUUAAUGUUGGAGUGUUACGAUAUACGUAAUAAACUUUUUUUAAUUAAAUUAGAUGUGUAUUUAAUCAUGACAAUAAACUUUUUUUAAAAUAUGUUUGAUUGUGAUUAUAGGAAGUAUUUUUAGCAUUUUUAAUAUUUAAAAGAUAAAAAAUUUCAAUGUUAAAAAAAGUAAUAACAUUUCCUAACACGUCAAACGCACCCUUAAUUAACUAGGUGUGUUUUUAAUCAUGUCCACCCAGAGCAAUAAUAUCUGGAAAUGAAAAUUUGGGUGGGGGUUCACGGAAAACGAUGACAAUUUUCCCUAUACAAAAUAGCAGAGUAGCCCAUUUACCAAUUCUAGUGGCCUCCAAGUAAUGCAACCCAAAAGAAUUGUUAAAGAAUCGUUAAGAGAUCUGGCACAUGCCCACUGAAUUAAUUACAGAUCCGGCAUAUGCCCACCAUCCACCUCUCUGUAGUUCAUCGAUGGGGGAUUUCACUCAUGUAAAAUAGGUCAGGUUCCAUCUACGAUUCUACAGCCAUCUGCGGUACCGUUCUUUUCACGGUAGUAUAAAAAAGGUGUUGGUCACUUGGUCCUAGUCAAUAGGCAAACUCGACCAAUACCCCAAAACAAGCAAACAACAAAUAAAAAUAGAAGAUGUUACUUAUCAGGUUGAUUGGCUAAUAUCACGCAUUAAAGGUUUCUGGCACCAGCUACCCGAAAUACCAUUAGCCCCUUAGACUCCCCUCACCUCUCCACAAGCCUAUAAGAUUAAAAGUUUCUCUUUUUAUUGAAAAAACAAGCUUAAAUACUUUAAAACACAUACUCUAUAAGCUCUUCUUACAAAUUGCACCAUUAAUUAGAUGAUACCAUAUAUAUAUACCUAUCAUGUCUCAUUAUUUAUAAUCUAAUAUGAUUUGCUUAUAAUUUUAUAUUUUAAUUCUAUUUAUUUAUAUUAUUAUUCAGCGGUUUAAGUCUAAUUAUACAAAUUCAACGGUCCAUAUUUAAAUUUUGAUGGAUAUCAUUAUGGUACCUUAACAAUUUUCAAUACAUAAAUAUAUUUCUUUUGAACUCUAACUUCCUUGGUAUUGAUUAAGAGCACAUAGACACAAAAUGAAUCUAAUUUGAGUUCGGCAUUGCAAGGAAUAAAACAUUGAAACGAAAAUUGAAGAGUAAUGUAAUGGUCAAUGUCCACAAAAAUUAUGAUAUCUCAUAUCAAUUAGAGAAAGAAAUUCUUGCUUUUAAUACAUGAGCAUUGUUUUGCGAAAAACAGAAAAGGUCAACGUAAAUGAUAUCAGAAUUAAUCUUUCAUUGAAAAUACUUGAUCGUGUUUUUAUUCAAAUUGAAAUGAAAAAUGGAUGAAAUAUUUCCCAUGAUUUUCAUGAGGGUGUUGAUUCAAAUUGGUUCGGUCCCCCUCUAGCUUUUGUCCUUUUUGCUCUUAUUCUCUUAAAAGGCCAAUGGUCAAGGUCUAGAAUUAUAUAAAAAAAAAAUGGGUUGAAUCAUGGACCCAUUAAAUUAAAUUAAAUAAUUUGUUUCCUUCAAUGCAAGGGUCAUCCAAAGAUUUCAGUUUUAUAUCUGAAUUUCAUAGGAGUUUUGAUGAGAAAAUGUUAGGUCCGAAGCAUAUGGCCAAAGUCUCCAUCUAAAGUCAAAGUUCUUUUCAAGCACUCUACAGUGAAUGGGUCUGACCUCGUCAAUUUCCUUUCCAUUUCCUUGUUUGGUUACCAAGAAAAAAGCCCAAAAAGCGUCUAGACCAUGAUUAGAUCCAGAACCGUUGAUUGGUUGCGUUUAGACCAUGAAUUGGUAUAUUCUGUCUUUUUUUUAUUAAUUAAUAAGAUUUAAUGAUGAAUACCUUUAGUUUUGUAAAAAUUAUAAGAUAUAUAAAAUAUUUUUAUUAAAAUAAAAAUAACAUGUGCAUGAUAAAUUUUAUAAGAGUGUAUAAGACAAUGACUUUAAAAAACGUUAUUAAUAUUAAAAAAAUUAAAUAUUAAAAAUAUUUUUUAAAAUCAUUAUGAUUCCAAAUUUAUGUUAAUUAUUAUUUCACUUAAAAAUAGGAGUAUAAAUUAUCUAAUAUUAAUCCAUUAUUUUGUAAAUCGAACAUAGUUGUUUUUCUUUUUUUGGCCAAACAAGUUUUAACAUUUAAAGAGUUGUCUUAAAUUAUUUUUAUGUAAGAAAAAAUCCUCUUGAAAGUGAUAUAUGUAUUUUAAAAAAAAAAAUUGUUUGAUUAAAACUUUGGGACCAUGAGAAAUAUUAAGAAUCCAAUGGGUGUUGCACGAGGGUACAAGUGGUAUUUUAUCAUGCUAGGUGGUUCAUCCCCAACCAAUGGUUAUAGACAAAUCUCACCUAUGGGUGACCCAAUCAAUUUGAAAAAUUAGGACAAUGGAUUAUUACCACCAAGGAUGAAAAUAUCGGUAAUCACGAAUAUAUCGAUAUUUCGAUUUUACGGAUAUAUCGAAGAUAUAUCGGCAGAUAUUUUGGAAAAAAAUAUCGAUACGCUUAAAAUUGUUAAAAACUCAUAGAAAUACAAGGAAAACUUCAUAAUAAUAUAAUUAAAAGUAUAAUAGACAUUUUAAAGUUGUUUUAUUGAAAAAUUUGAUAUACAUAUGAUAUAAUUUGUGAUAUUAGAUGUAAUUAUAUCAUAUCGAUCUAUAAGAAAUGUUAAUUAUGUAAUUGUUCUCAUUAUAAAGUUACAUAAAAUACUUCAUUUCAUUAAAUAUCAAUAAUUUGUACACAUUACAUUGCAAUGUCCCUGUAGUACCAAAAUGAGGAUCGAUGUGGUUCAAUGGGAUUGAUAGAUAAAAGAACCUCGUCUUCCUAUUAGAGACAAUAUUAACAAAAAUUGGAGUAAUGAGAGAGCAAAUGAAGAAUGAAAGCAAAAAUGGAUGAAAUGGAUGAAAUUUGGGUCAAAAUAACCAUUGGAACAUUAUUUUAUCGUUAAAAAUCAAUUUUGGCUGUUGGAUCAAAAUCUAGGAGCAAUCUGGCCAUUGGAUCGUUAUAUUACCAUUGGAAUCACAUCUGGGCUGUCGGAUCAACAUGGGCGUGAUCUAGGCCUUCAGAUCACGCUGCAUGAAGAAAGGGAAAAAUCGCUAAAAAAUUGGCAAUUUAUCUUCGAUUAGUCGCCGAUAUCUCGGUGAUUUAUUGCCACCAGAAGCGAUUUUUUCACAAAAUCGCCAAUUUAUCUCCCCGAGCCGAUAUAUCACUGAUAUAUCGGCGAUUUUUGCAGAAAUAUCUCUCAUUCAAUUUUUCUUCACGAAAUAUUGUAUCGACCCUUCCCGAUACACGAUAUAUCGCCGAUAUAUCCCGACAUUUUCCUCCUUGAUUACCACAAGCAAUAAGGGACAAUAGAUGAGUGAAACGCAACGUUUUGACAUGGCACGAGCCCCAAGCAAUGAAAACUCUCUACGUGGCACACGUCCAGUGCCAAAAUAUCAUCGAGCACCAAAAGUACCAGACAACUGAAUCUCUUCAAUUGUCUAUGACGCUCACACAUCGUCCACCGUACUCCCUCAUUUCUCCUUCAAGCUCUCCGAUUCAGUUCUACCAUUGAAGGUUCGCUACUGAAUCUUUCUUCAUUCUACUAAGUGGUUUUUCUGUUUGGUUUUCGAGAAUAUUAAGGAAGUUUUGGUUUUUUUUUUUUUAAAAUGUGUUUUUCGAGUGGUUGGUUCUGGGAAAGUAUACAAGUCAACGUAGUUAAGCUGGCGUUUGAACCAAAACCAAAACAUGGGAAAAUGUCAGCUUUGAAUGUUUUUUUUUUUUUCUCUCUCCUUUUCCUCGAGCUUCAUGGUCGGGAAAGGCAACUUAAAGCUUCAAUUGGAAAUUGGUUUCUUAAGUAAAUAUUUGCUAGUUUGAUUUAAGUAGAUUGAGCUUCAUGGAUGACCCCCUUAUAAUUUUAUUAUUAUUAAAGUAUAUAUUUUUAAUUUCAAUGAUAAUUUAUAAUUUAAUAUUUUUUAAUUAAAUUAGAAAAUGAAAAAAUAACUAAAUCUUUCAUUAGUAAUUAAGGUUUCAGAUCAAAAAUCAAAUCUCAAUUGGGAAUUAAGGUUUCAACUUAAAAUUUUAUUAAAAAAAUAUAUUUUUUUUAAUGAGAUGGCUCCCAGCAACAAUAAUAGUACUAGUUUAACGUGACUCUAAGGGUUGGUUGCACGUCAUUUCAAAGAUGUGAAAAGAGCUAAAACAAACUAUUUUCCAAAUUAGUUGUAAAAAUGAACAAUCCAACUUUUUCAAGAAAGGCAUGGAUGCCUCUCUUCUUAUUAUUUCAGGAUUUGUUUGCUAUAGCCACAAAUCAGCCAAUUCAUUUUUCAUCUACCAUUACCUUUGUUCUAAAGGCAUUUUCAACACUGGAAGGUGUUCUCUCUCUCUCUUUCUAUCAUGCAUAUAGGAAGAGUGUAAAUAAUUUUUAUUUUCAUUUUAUUCUAUUAGUCUUAUAUUUUUUGGAAAAAUCCUAUUGGGAAUUAUUUUUAUUUUAUUUUAUUUUCUUAGUCUUAUAUUUUUGGGAAGAGUCCUAUUAGGAUUGUGCUAAUGGAGUCCCAUUCCUUUUAUAAGUAGAAUCAUCUUCCACUUUGAGUCAUGCUCUGAUUACAAGUAGAGUCUCAUUGAGACUGUUUUAGUGGCCUAUAAAAGUAUGUCACCCCUCACUCUAUAAAUACGAAUACCAAUUUUUCAGAGAAUUUUUUAGAGAGUUUUUUAGAGAGUCAUUUCAUAUAUCUAUCUAGAGGAAUUUUUUUCAAUGUACACAUCUCGCUUAUAGAGUGUACCCAAGGUGAGAUCUGGUUGUUGAAUCCUAGAGGUAGACCACUGGUACCCUAGUGCACCGAGUUCAUCUUCGAGGAAGGUGGAUCUAUUUCAAGGACAGUAUUUAUCACGCCUCAACCGAUAAGUUUUUCUUUUUAUUGAUUUUAUUCUUUGUUUAUAUCUUUUGGGCUAGUCAUUUGUUUUCAUACCCUUAAAUCCAACAAUCUUAAAAUAUAUCCAAAUGGAAGCUUAUCUAGUUCACACCCGUCCUGACACCUCUAAAAUUGAUCCCUUCAAUGGGACAUUCUUUAAGAGAUGGCAGGAAAGGGUUUUCUCUGCUAUUAAUGUAGUGAACUUAAGACACAUUUUAACUGACCCAAAACUAGAAGAUGGUUCUCCUUUGUUACCAACCUGGGAAACUAGAAAUAAACAAAUUAGGCAUGUUAUUCUGAGUACCCUUUCUAAUGAACUUUUUGAUAUUUAUUGUCAAUUUAAAGUUGUAAAAGAAAUUUGGGAUGCAAUGAAUAAAAAAAUAUAUUUUGGAAGCUACAGGAACUCGGAAAUAUGCCAUAGGGAAUUUUAAAAUUUUCCAAAUGACCGAUGAUAGAGAUGUAUCAUCUCAAAUCCAUGACUACCACUUAUUGAUUAAUGACUUAGCUAUUGAAGACAUUAAAUUACCCGAACCUUUUGUGACUGGUUAUUUAGUAAAGACUCUUCCAAAGUCUUGGAAAGACUAUAAAAAUAACAUGAAACAUAAAAGGAAACAAAUGUCCCUAGAGGAUGUCAUAAUCCAUAUUAGGAUUAAGAAACAAAAUCGAAAUAGGGACAAUGUUGAGAAAGCUAAGGAAUUGUCUUCUAAGGCUAAUGAAGUAGAAGAAAAACCUAAACCCAAAACAAUAGGUCCAGGAAACAAAACUCUAGGACCAAGCCCAAUGCAUCAAACAAGGUCCAGAACUCAAUUAUGAAAAAACGGGGUAAUUGUUUUGUCUGUGGCAAGUUUGGACACCAUGCAGCUCAAUGUCGCCACAGGAAAAGAACUAAGAAAUCCAAUUUAAAGGAAAAUCUGGUAGAGUCAGAGGUGAUCACAACAGUAAUUUCCUCUGAAGUGAGCAUGGUCACCAAUAUGAAGGAUUGGGUGGUAGACUCUAGGGCUACCAGGCACAUCUGUGGGAAUAGAAGUGCAUUUACUUCCUAUACCAUUGUAAAGGAAUGAGAGGAACAAGUGUUCAUGGGUGAUUCUAGAUCUACUCCAGUGAUUGGAAAAGAGACAAGCUAACCUCUAGAAAAGCGCUUUCCCUUAGUGACGUUCUUCAUGUGCCAGAUAUCCGCUUGAACUUGGUGUCAAUAUCUCUACUUGGAAAAAUAGGAGUGAGAAUCUUGUUUGACUCUAAUAAAAUAGUUUUAACCAAGAAUGAUGCAUUUGUGGAAGGACUAUUGUAAUCAUGGUUUAUUUGUUUAUGAUAUUAUCAAUAAUAAUGCAUCUUCUUCUUCUGCUUACAUAGUUGAUUCUUGUGAUAUUUGGCAUGGUAGACUAGGACAUGUGAACUUUUCAUAUAUGAAGAAAAUGUUUGAAUUAAGUUUAAUCCCUAAACCGUCCUUAGAAAACCAUAGAAAAUGUGAAUCUUGUGUAGAAUCUAAAACCAUAAAGAAAUCUUGCAAAUCAGUCGAAAGAGGAUCAGAUUUACUAAGUUUAAUACAUAGUGACUUAGGAGACCUAAAAAAAUACAAUGACUAGAGGUGGUAAACGAUUCUAUAUAACUUUCAUAGAUGACUACUCAAGGUAUACAAGGGUAUAUUUUUUUAGAAACAAAGAUGAAGCAAGAGUUGUUUUCAUCAAGUACAAAAAUGAAGUGGAAAAUCAAUUAAGUAAGAAAAUUAAAAGGCUUAGAAAUGAUAGGGAAGGAGAGUAUGAGUCCAACCCCUUUAAUUCAUUUUGUGAAGAUCAUGGGAUCAUUCACGAAACUACUCCUCCUUAUUCCCCUGAGUCUAAUGGAGUAGCAGAAAGGAAAAAUAGGACAUUAAAAGAAAUGAUGAAUGCAAUGUUGGUAAGUUCAGGAGCACCCUUGAACUUGUGGGAGGGGGGGGGUGAGUUAUCCUAUUUGCUUGUCAUAUUCAAAAUAGAAUACCUUAUAAGAAAACUAGUAAAACUCCUUAUGAGUUGUGGAAGGGUUAUGCACCUAAGAUAGCAUACCUGAAAGUGUGGGGGUGUUUAGCUAAAGUUCUUAUCCCUUAACCUAAAAAAAUGAAAACUAGGUCCUAAAACCUUUGAUGCAAUGUUCAUUGGCUAUGUUGAGAAUAGUACGGCAUAUAGGUUUCUUGUUACUAAGUUAGAAAACAGUCUUGUAGUUGUCAAUACUAUAAUAGAAACAAAGAAUGCAGAUUUCUUUGAAAACAUCUUUCCUAUGAAACUAAAUGGUGAACAACAAGUUCAAAAAACAAGUAGAGACAAGUCUAUUGAACCUUAAUAAGUAAAAGAGAUAGGAAAGAAACAAACCUUGGAGAUGGUUUCUACACCUUCCUAAUAGAUGAGGACCCUAGAUCCUACAAAGAAGUUAUAACUUCUCUUGAUGUACCAUUCUGGAAGGAGGUCAUUAACGUGAAAUCGAAUUAAUCAUGUAUAACCAUACAUAGAAGUUAGUAGAUUUACCUCCUAGUGUAAAGACUAUUGGUUGUAAAUAGAUCUUUAAAAGAAAGUUAAAACAAGAUGGGUCCAUAGAGAAGUAUAUAGCUCGUUUAGUUACCAAAGGCUUUAAACAAAGGAAUGAUGCAGAUUACUUUGACACCUUUGCCCCUAUGACUAGAAUAGCAUCAAUUAGAGUAUUGAUCGUUCUAGCUUCCAUUCAUAAUUUGGUGAUACACCAAAUGGAUGUCAAGACUGCAUUCUUGAAUGGGGAUUUGGAAAAGGAAAUUUAUAUGGAUUAACCUGAGAGUUGUGUAGUUCCAAGAAAGGAGAAAAAGGUGUGUAAGUUGGUUAAAUCACUAUAUGGGUUAAAAUAAGCUCCCAAACAGUGGCACAACAAGUUUGAUCACAUGUUAGUAACUAAUGGAUAUUCCAUUAAUGAUGUUGAUAAGUGCAUCUACAGCAAGUAUGAGGAUAACAUAUGUGUAGUUAUCUGCCUUUAUGUUGAUGACAUGCUGAUAUUUGGAACUAGCCUAGAGGUUCUAUGUGAGACCAAGAAAUUCCUAGGUUCUAAGUUUGAUAUGAAAGACCUAGGAGAGGCAGAGGUGAUUCUAGGAAUUAAAAUAACUAGAACACCUAAUGGGCUUAAACUCUCUCAAGAGCACUAUGUUGAAAAGAUCCUAAGGAACUUUGAACACUUUGAUUAUAAAUGAGUGUCAACUCCUUAUGAUCCCAGCUCACAGCUAAAGAAAAAUUGAGAACAUAGUGUUGCCCAAAUAGAGUAUGCUCAGAUCAUAUGGAACCUAAUGUACUUAAUGAACUGUACCAGACCUGACAUUGCUUAUGCAGUAGGUAGAUUGAGUCGGUACACCCAAAGUCCUAAUCAGGACCAUUUGAUUGUUGUUUGUAGAGUCCUUAAGUAUUUGAGAGGCACCAUUAACUAUGGUUUGUGCUUUAGUGGAUUUCCAAGUGUUCUUGAAGGAUUUAGUGAUGCAAAUUGGAUCUUGAAUUCAGAUGAGAUGAAAUCCACUAGUGGAUAUGUUUUCAUCCUUGGUAGAAGUGUAGUUUCUUGGAAGUCUGCCAAGCAAACUUAUAUUACUCGAUCUACUAUAUAGGCUGAGUUUAUUGCUUCAAAAAAGGCAAGUUCUGAGGCUAAGUGGCUUAUAAACUUCUUUGCAGAUAUCCCUUUUAUGAACUAGACCAACCCCGUUUGUGUCUAUGCAUUGUGAUAGUCAAGCUGCAAUUGCUAAGGCUAAGAGUAAGAACAAACUUGAUGGAUUCACCUAUAUGAGAGUGGAGGUGGGGCCGCUUCCUUGAGAACUUAGGCAUAUUCUCUUGAGCUCUUAUGAAUAUCUAGGCAGAGCACAUGGCCUAUUUGUACCACCCCGUUUUGUGCAACUCAUAGUGAAGUUGAGAAAACCAAUGUGGAUAAAAGUCCCUUGAGUUACAUCAAGAAACACUGGUUCUAGAAAUUUAUUUUCACCGUGUUUUGUGAUUCAAUACUUAUUUGUCCUAAAACUAGUUCAUAACCUUUGGGCACUAGCACUGAUGCAUUGGGUUCUUUUUUCCUCCAAAAAAAAUCGUGUUUACACUCUAUGGGGGACUAUAAGAAGAGUGUAAAUAAUUUUUAUUUUAUUUUAUUAUAUUAGUCUUAUAUUUUUGGGAAGAAUCCAAAUGGGAAUUGUUUUUAUUUUAUUUUAUUUUAUUCUAUUAAUCUUAUAUUUUUGAGAAGAGUCCUAUUAUGAUUGUACUAGUGGAGUCUCAUUCCUUUUAUAAGUAGAAUCCCCUUCCACUUUGAGUCAUAUUAUGAUUACAAGUACAGUCCCAUUGAGAUCGAUUGUUUUAGUGGCCUACAAAAGCAAGUCACCCUGCACUCUCUAAAUACGAAUACCAAUUUUUAAGAGAAUUUUUAAGAGAGUUUUUUAGAGUCUUUUCAUACAUCUAUGUAGAGGAAUUUUUUUCAAUUUACACAUCUCGCUUACAAAAUCUACUCGAUGCGAAAUCUGGCUGUUGAAUCCUGGAGGUAGACCACUGGUACCUUAGUGCACCGAGUUCAUCUUCGAGGAAGAUGGAUCUAUUUCAAGGACAGUGUUUAUCACGCCUUAGCCGAUAAGUUUCUUUUCUUAUUAAUUUUGUUCUUUUUUUAUCUUUUGGGCUUGUCAUUUGUUUCCAUACUCUUAAAUCCACUAAUGCACACAUACAAAUACAUGAUCCCAUAGCUUCAUUUCCAAAUUGAAAGUCACCAAAUACCACUUCUCCUCAUAAUAGAUUUUGAUGCUACCUGUUCAGAAACUCCACUAUCAUCUUGAAGUUUCUCCAAGUACGUUUAUAUAAGUGUGUGUAUAUAUGUGUGCAUAUGUUUAUGUUCUGUGAGUAGAUGAGCACACUCAUCCUGAUUGAAUUGCCCACUUCUGAAUGUGACUUUUCUUGUAGGAAUUGGAUACUCACUUGAUCCAGAUUUUUCCUUUGAGAAGAUUGUUGCACCUUAUGCACAGGUUCCAUUCAUUUCCCUAAUAAUUUUAUGCAUCUUUUUUCCUCACAUGCCUCUUUAAUGCUUUUAGUUUAGCUUUAAUGAUUCACACCGUAUAAAGGAGUUUUUAUAUAUACAACAGGAACGGCGAACUGGACCACAACUUGUGCAUGAGAUAAUGAAACAAGUAGAUGAUGUAUUCUACUCUCUUCCCUUCUCACUUUAGUUCCUUCUGAAAAUUGAUGUUUCUUCCUUUCACAUUCUGCAACACUACUAUGAUACACACUAUCAAAAGACUAAAAUUCCCCUAUGAACAUGUUCAAGCCAGAACCUACACCAUGUCAUUGCCUUAUAGUGUCUAGAGGAUAGAAGAAUUUGUGAAACAACUUGAAUCAGGAGACUUGAAACUUCGAGUUCGAGUACUUGAGGUAGCUCAUCCACUAAAUAUUUUAGAAGAAAUAAUUACCCUUUUUUUAGACUUUGUGGGAAGUUCUCAAGAGUGACUGCUCUUGAGAGCUCAAACCCUCAUGAGAUGAACUCGACAUUAUUUUGGUUUGGGAUUGAAAACAGUCUGAAAGAGCAGCUCGGAAGGCAACCAUACUACAGAUGGCUACCAUGUACACAGUUUUUGGAGGUAUCCUGCUAAACCUUGGCGUCACAUUAGCCAAUCAAGGCAGUCAAGUUAUUGCAAAUGGAUCGUAUGUUGGUGCAGGUAAACUGUAUUUAACCCCAAAAACUUUCACACUCGAAUAUUUCUUCUUCUUGCCUCUAGACAUUUUCAAGUUUGCCUUCAUCAACUUCCCUGUGGCUAAAAUAUCCUGUUUUGUUAAAAUGCAGGCGUUUCUUGAUAUUGUUUAUUAGGUCCAUGCAAAGGGUGAAAAAGCUAGAUAAAUUUGAGAAGAUGAUAUGACUUUCAAUCCUAGAACUCAUGGACAGUCUCUUAGUUGUAAAAUAAUUUAACCUCCGAUUCUUGGUAAUAUAAUUGUCCCAAAAUUUUCAAACUUGCAUACAAGAGCUCUAUACACUACACGUAGGAAAUGAUUCAAGAUGAAAAAAAUCUAUGCAACUGAAAUCCAGAUCUGUAUGAUUCUAUACAAUGUAUAUCAUAAUCAGAACUUGAGAUCAAUGGAAUUAAUGAGCAACUUUGUUUUCUUUUUUCAUUAUUAUUGUAUUUUUAUUUUUUUUUAAGGUUUUGGACAAGGCAAUUAACAACCCAGAUUCAAGACAAAUAGUUUCAGAGAAAACUUAAAAGGUGUUGUUGGAAACUUGUGUCAUGGUCAAGAACAGCCCAGAGAUCUAUACAUGAUGUUCAAAGGAAUGGAUGACUAUUUUUUGAGUUUGUGUCAUGACCAAGGGGAGCCUAGAGAUCUAUAUAUGACAAACAAAGCAGUGUAUCUGACCUAAUUUGUUAGUUUCUCAAAGGAUUUCUCUGAAUAUAACAGCAAAGCCUUCUGCUACCUUCCAUGAGUCAAAAGCUUGAAUUGGCCUCAAAAUGGCCAGGAGGAUUCUUGUCUUUUGGGUGCCAGCAACUGGGGAGUUAAUUGGUCCAUUCAAACCUGUAAAAUAUAAUUAUAUCGGUUUUAAGCUAAUGGUUUGCACAUGCAACAAUUAUCAAAAGAAAAUUUUUAUGGGAAAAUAGGAAUUGGUCAUCUUUCCUUUCCAACCCUUCAAUUUGUCAUUCCUCGGUUAUAAGCAUCCACCAUUGUCGGAGCAGAUGAGGAUCCAAUACAACUCAACUAAUAUUGACCAUAUCAGUUCAAUUUUCAAUCAUUACAAAGCUCGGUUCUAUUUGAGGAUUAUAAAAACCAACCUAAUUGAUUCAAUUUUCACUUCCUUCGUCUACUAACUAAUAAAAACUAAACCAAACCAAUAUUUUAGUUUUAUAUCAUUGGGUAUGUGAAAGCCCUCUUGAUACCACUUGUUAAGCCAAUAAAAGCUAGCAUUGAAAUCAAUGGUUGAGUCAACGAAAAGCUCUAUGUAUGCAAAUAUUUUAAUGAAAGAGCAUGAAAUCCCAACUAUUAUUAUUAUUAUUCUUAUUAAUCUUACGUCACCUACAAGCAUCUAAAUCACACAAUUCUUACUAUUAUUAUUAUUAUUAUUAUCAUUAUUAAUAUCAUUAUUAUCAUGAUCCUUAUUAAUCCUAGUGUCCUCUUUUACCUAACAAAAUACCCCCAUGUAUUUUAACAACUCCAACAACCCCACCAACUCUACUCAUUAUUAUUAUUUUAAUUUAUUCCACUACCACUCUUUGCCUCUCAUAGUUACAAAUUACUAUUAUUAUUAUUAUUUGUCACCCAACACAGUACCUCAAAUCCAAAAUCCAGAAACAUGCAAUUCUUCUUCUUAUUAUUUUUUAAUCCCUUAAGCCACAUAUAUAUCAUAUAUUUAUUUACUCAUUUAAUUUUUAAAAUUUCAUUGUUUAGAUCUAUUCAUCUAAAAAAAAUUCAAAUUUCCCUAUUUUCAUCAAUGAAACAACCUAUAUUCAUAAUUUCAAUUUUUUGAUCUUAAAAUAAAUUAACUAAAUUAACCCUAAUCUAAAUUAAAAUUUUCUAAAAAAUAUUUAAUUUGUUCAAAACUAACUAACGAAUAUAAUAUAUUAAUCUAGCGUUAGAAUCUUACCUAGAAAAAAUCUGAACUUCUAACUUUAGACCUUCAAACCUUUAGCCCUAUGUUCUCUAAUUCUCUGAAUUUUGGUUAAUAAAGUUUUUUGAAUACAGAAGGCAAGAGAAAAAAAUUUAAUUUAUACCAGGGAUUAUUAAUUGUAAAAGGACCAUUUUACCUUUAGUGAGUUUAAUUAAUUAAUUUAUAAUUUACUAUUUUGCCCCUAAAGUUUAAUUUGGGGUUGUUAUAGUCAUGUCAUAAAAAAUAUGUUUUUUGCAAAAUUUAAAUUAAAACCUCAAUUAUCAAUCGAGACUUCAUUUUUUAAUUAAAACCACAAUUAGCAACUAAAACUUUUAAACUGAAGUCGCAAUUAACAAUUGAGACUUCAUUUUUUGAUCGAAACCUCAAUUGCCAAUUAAGAUUUCAAUUAAUUAUUUUUUACUUUAAAAUUUAAUUAAAAAUAUUAAAUUGCAAAUUAUUGUUGAAAUUAAAAAUAUAUACUUUAAUAAUAAAAAAUUUAUAUAUUUAAACUUAAAGAUCUAGUAUUACUUCAAUAAAGAUAAAUUGAUAAUCUUAAAACAAUAAAGUUAUAUCACAUAUAAAUAAGAUAUAAAAUUAUAUAAUUUAUUAAUUUAAGAUAUUUAAUUUAUUAUAUUUUUAAGAAAUUAAUUUAUUUAUAUUUUGAUAAAUUUAUUUUUAUUGAAAUAAUAGUAUACUAGAUCGUUAAGUUUAAACAUAUAAUUUUUUUAUUAUUAAGAUAUAUAUUUUUAAUUUCAACCGUUAUUUGUAAUUUAAUAUUUUUUAAUUAAAUUUUAAAAUAAAAAAACUAAAUCUUUAAUUGGUAAAGCAGGUUGGAGUUCAAAAAUCAAAUCUCAAUUAAGAAUUAAGGUUUUUUUUUUUAAGGGAGAAUUACCCAAAAGGGUAGGCUAGGCAGAAUAAUUACUAAAAAGGGUGGUAUCUUUUAAUAAUUCUUGGGGAGGACUUUAAUAAGCUUAAUAUACCAAAACUGCCCUUUAACUAAAACUUUUAAAAUUCAAAGCAUUUAAAGCACUUCACUUGAUUUGUCAAUACAUUUAUGGUACAUGGGUCCCACAUUUAUUGUAAUUAUUGAUAUUUAUAUUUUAAAUCAAAAUUUUGGGUUUAACCCUUACAAUUAUAUAUAAUUUGUUAUUUAAAUUUACAAUUUAAAAAAAAUACUUUUAAAAAAUAUUUUCAAAAUAUCAUUUAUUGUUUUUUUUUCCUUUUUUUAUUUUUAUUCUAAUUUUAAAUUUUAUGAAGAAAAAAAUAAGUUUUAUUAUUAUAUAAUAAAAAUGAUAAUUUUUUUAUAUAUAUUUUAAAUUGAUAAAUUAUGUUUUUGUAUUAAAUUUAAGGAAGAUAAAAUGUUUAAUUUUUCAUUCAGAUUCUCUAAAAAGAAUAAGAAAAUGAUAGAGAAUGUUUAAUCAUUCUUUUAUUUUUAUAAUAAAAUAAUUUAAAAAUAUAUAUGAUUUUUUUUCCUUUGCAUAGUGUUUUUUUUUUUUAAUUUUCAUAUAAUUUUUUUUUUCAAUGCAUCGGGUGAAUGAUGUUAAUAUAUUUGAUAUGUUGAAUAUUAAUAAGGUAUAAAAGGUAAUCCUCAAUAUUAUUACUUUUAUUAUAAAAUACAAGCACAACAAAAAUAUGUUAUAAUUACAAUAUAAAUACACUUACAUUACAAUACAUUACAAUAAAACCUAAUUAAGAAAUUUAUGAAUUUUUUUAUAAAAAUGGUAAUUUAUAUGAUCAUACCAUAUUUCACAACAUACCUAUAUCAUAAAUAAUUUCUAAAAUAAAAUGAAAUACUAAUUUGAAUUCACGUAGUUUAUAUAUAUAUAUAUAUAUAUAUAUACAAAAAUUAUUAAAUAAUUUCAAAACACUAAAUAAAUGUUGUUAAUAUAUUAAUACGAUGUGUUAAUACCAAUAGGGUAUGAAUAAACAUUUUUAGAAUUAUUACUUUUAUAAUGAAAUAUAGGUACAACAUAAAUACAUUAUACUUACAAUAUAAAUACACUAUCAUUACAAUAUAUUACAACAUAAUUUAAUUUAUUUUUAUUUAAUUUUUUCACGUGCUAUAUUACCCCAUGAAUAAUUGUGAGUUAUUCCAUUUAAUAGGUGUGUUGUGUUAGUCAAUUGAAUAUUUAUAUAUUAUUCAAUUGAUGAGUGUUCGUAAAAAAUAAUUAUUUAUUAUAUUAUGAUAACAAAGUUUUUAAUUGUAUGUUUUAUAUAUAAAACGAUAUAAUAACUUUAGAAUAUGGUUUUUAUUUAUGAGAUAUUUUUUUUUUUUUUACAAGGUUCUUUAAAAAAUCUCAAGUUUUUUUUUUAAAAAAAAAUAGCAAAUUUUUAAACAGUUAAUUAUUCAAAAUUGACAAUAAUUUUUUCAAAUUGAGAAAUGUAUCGUUAAUUGCCUAUCAACCGGUACUUAUCAUCAUAUAUGGGUCCUACAACAUUUAUCAAUCUGUACUUAUCAUCAUGUAUGGGCCCUACAUAAUUGACAAUCUCAAUUUAUUUAUAAAUAAUAUAAAAAACAUAUUUAAAAGUAAAAUUAUCUUUUAUAACAGUGAGUCCUCGUAGUCAUUAUUUUUUCUAGUAAUCCUCCCUUUUUUUUUUUUUUAAUGAGAUGGCUCUAAGCGUUGGUUGUCAUGUCAAAUCUCUGUUUAAAAGUGACUCUAAGAGUUGGUUGCUUGUCAUUUCAAAGAUGUGAAUAGAGCUAAAACCAACCAUUUUCCAAAUUACUUGUAAAAAUAAACAAUCCAACAUUUUCAAGAAAGGCAUGGAUGCCAGUCACUGUCAUACUUCCAUUGACACGAAAAUCUCAAUUACCAGUGUCAUGAAGAAGAAAGAGUGACCCAAUGCCAUGCAUGGGAUUAAAUCAUACAUUUUUUUUUCUAUAAAAACGCUGUUUUCCCACCAAACUCCGAAAUAUCAGCAAGCAACACAAGUACCAGACAACUGAAUCUCUUCAAUCGUCUGUGACGCUAGUGCAUCGUCCACCGUACUCCCUCCUUUCUCCUUCAACCUCUGCGAUUCAGUUCUACUAUUGGAGGUCCGCUACUGAAUCUUUCUUCGUUCCACUCAGUGGUUUUUCUGUUUGGUUUCCGAGAAUAUUGAGGAAGUUUUGGUUUUUUUUUUAAAAAAAAGGAACUUGGAAGCCUUGCAUUUUAUUGUUUUCUUUCUGGUGUUUGGUUCCUCGGAAAGUCUACAAGUCAACGUAGUUAAGCUGGCGUUUGAACCAAAACAGGGGAAAAUGUGAGCACUGAAUAGUUUUUUUUCCUCUUUCCUUCUCCUCGAGUUUCAUGAUCGGGAAGCGCAGCUUAAAGCUUCGAUUGGAAAUUGGUUUCUUAAGUAAAUAUUUGCUAGUUUGAUUUAAGCGGAUUGAAAUUUUGUUUCUUAGGAUUUAAACCGAGAACUCUUCCAGCGAUUGAUUAUUAUUUGUAUAUUGCAUUCGGUUGAAGAUUCAGAACUAUUGAAGAACUAUGGUUCCAUAGCCAUUGAGUGUUGGUUGAUUUGACACUUGAUAUUUGUUUUUGAACUUGAAUCGUAUGUGUUCUUUUAAUGAUUUAGUUUUGCUUUUGAUAAUUCUUUUUUGAUGAAUUUUAAUUUGUCAUUUCUGCUUAUAGCUUAUGUUAGUGUUCAAUCAUGGCCAGGUCUACAGGUGUUCUUUUAUUAGAUGGCGGCAAUACUGGCUUCACACAGCUGCUAUUGCCGCAAUGUGGAGUUGAUGAAUCAAGGAAGAGCAGUAGAGAAUCUCGGUUUCUCAAGCUCAAUUUCUUCUCAGAAUUUCUCAAAGUUUGAGAGGCCCACAUGUCAUCUGCCUAUGGCUGAUAAAUCCUUUAGAUUUCAAGUAGAGAUGCGAAAGAGUGAAUCUCCCGUGAGCUUAGGUACAAAUGGACGAGCUACUAAAAUGGUUCCCACGAGUGAGAUAGCGAAAAACAGAACCCCGCCCACCAAAAAAGUAGAAAUAGUGAAUGGCUCAAGCCGGGUUGUUAAUGGAGCAAGCAUAGUGAAGAGAGAUACUGCAACUGCCCUGGUUAAGGCACAAAAAAGUAAAGAAUCUAGAGAUCUCCCACCAAUGGAGGAGCUAAAGGUUCUGCCCUCUGAUGAAGGUUUCAGCUGGGCCAAUGAAAAUUAUAAUUCCUGGCAGAGGUCUAUAGAUGUUUGGUCCUUUGUUAUUUCUCUACGUCUUCGCAUUCUGUUGGACAAUGCAAAAUGGGCAUAUUUAGGAGGUUUUACAGAAGAUAAGCAGGUGAGUUUUGUUAAUCCAUUAUGGCUGUGAUCUUUUGCAGCUUGUUAAAUUCCUAACCAUGGUUGGAUAAUAGAGAUCUAUUUCACUUGCUGCUUAAUUAUGUCUACUAUGCCCAUUCUUCCAUUUAUUUCUGGGUUAUGUUGAUUCAUAAUAUUUAGUUUACUUUUUUCACUCAUAAAAUUCUUUCUCAUUCAGAAAAACAGAAGCCGUAAAACUGCCUCAUGGUUGCGGGAACGCGUUCUGCAACUUGGUCCAACUUUUAUCAAAUUUGGGCAGUUAUCCUCAACAAGGUCAGAUCUGUUUCCAAGAGAGUUUGUGGAUGAGCUUGCCAAGUUGCAGGUAUCCCUUUGUUGUGGGCUCUGUUUUCUUGCAUUCAUCUACUUCUGGAUGUGGAUUCCCUAGCGUAUAUGUAAUUUUGUCCUUCACAAUAAGCAUGUUGGCUUAUAAUUUUAUGAACGUCUCAGGAUAGGGUACCUGCUUUUUCAUCAAAAAAAGCAAGAGACUUAAUUGAGAGUGAACUGGGAGCUUCAAUUGAAAUAUUGUUCAAGGAGUUUGAAGACCAGCCAAUUGCUGCAGCUAGUCUUGGUCAGGUGUUUGCUCUGUGUUUGUUUAUAUUCCAUUCUGUUUUGGUCCAACCUUGGAGAAUUAUGAAAUGUUUGUUCAUUCUAUCUUGACCUUAUGAAGCUUAAAGGAUAUUAUUUUGCCAUGUGGUAUGAUAUCAAGAACAACCUCAGAGAGAAACUUUUUCAUACAACAAAAGGAAAAAAUUAUUCAAGUUGUAAAUGAAAAAGAAAAAACUAAUACUAAUAGAGGGUAGAAAGUUGUAAACUCCAUGGCUAGAGCAAUGAAGGAGAACAUCUACAAGCUGAUGGUUGCAUAUAAGUGCUGAAUGAUGAAGUUAGACUCUUGAUAAUUUGAACUGACCGAUAAUCUUGGAUAUUACUAUUUCCUUCUUGCAAUUUUUUGUCCCUUCUGCCGAUUUGAAUUUUGAAGAGUCCUUUUAGGUGCAUCGGGCUGUCCUACAUAAUGGAGAGAAAGUUGUUGUGAAAGUUCAGAGGCCUGGUCUCAAGAAACUUUUUGACAUCGACCUACGUAAGUGAUGCACACUUUUAUCAUUCUCCUAUCGUUAUCUUGUGGCUGUUUUUGAUAAUGAAAUAUUCAAAUAGUCUAUUUCUCACUGCAUUGGAAGCUCACCAUCAUUUGGCUAGUAUAGUUUUGUUUCAUAUGGACAUGCAGUUGACUCCAAUUCCAUCUCUCCCAUUCAUUUGCUUUCCUCAAAUAGUUGGACUUGGUUCAUGGCAUCAUGGAUAAUUAGUCAAAAGCCUAUUACCAUUUAACUGAUGAUCGUUUUUAGAUGUUGAGAAAGCAUAAAACUGACUAGAUGACCUGCUAUUAUAUUUUCUGCCAGAUGGAACUUUGAGGUUCCUAAAUUGCAAUUCAAUAAUUUUGGUUAGUUUACUCAAAAUUGAUCCUUCCUUCCAGGAAAUUUAAAGCUAAUUGCAGAGUAUUUUCAGAGAAGUGAAACCUUUAGUGGAGCAACAAGAGAUUGGAUUGGUAUAUAUGAAGAAUGUGCUACGUAAGUACAAAGCAUCUAUCAGUCAUUUUGUGUGUUUCUUUGGUAAGAAUAGUUUUACAUGCUGCAAAUGUGUAGUUCUGCUGGUAACAUUUUAUCAUGAAAAUGUUGCCCUCUAUCCAUAGAGUGUGUUCAAAGUUUUAUGAGCUGCAAGGUUAUGGUUGCUGCUGCUCACUCUUGUAUUUAUUUGGCUUCAGGCUUUUGUAUCAAGAAAUUGAUUAUAUGAAUGAAGGGAAGAAUGCUGAUAGAUUCCGCAGGGAUUUUCGAAAUGUAAAGUGGGUUCGAGUACCUGUAUGUUUCCAUCUACAAAACCUCAUGAUUGUUGAUGCUCAUUUUCUUUCAUUUCUUUCUCGGAUUUUUUAUUAUUAUUAUAAUCUUGUUAUCGUGUAAUUGAGUUGUGUACAGAGCAAUUAUUCUGUUCUUUUAAGUCUUUCUGAUCCUUAUUUUGAACCUUUUCUUUCCUCUUUGUAGCUGGUGUUUUGGGAUUAUACUGCCACAAAGGUAUUGACCUUGGAGUAUGUUCCAGGUUUCAGUCUUAACUCAUGAUUUUAAGGGCUACAGAAUUGAUUUAUUGUAGUAGUAGUUGAUUUGAUGUUUCUUUUUUUAACAGGCAUUAAGAUAAAUCGGCGGGAUAUGCUAGAUGCACAGGGUUUUAAUCGUUCUCGUAUUUCAUCACACGCUAUUGAAGCAUACUUAAUUCAGGUUAAGGGCCAUCUCCUGUCUGAUUUUGAUCAAACCUGAACCUUGUUACUAGUUCCUCGUGAUAUACCUUGUGUAGAUUAUAUGCACAAAGAAAAGUAUGAGUUCCCUAAUGACCCUCAUGCAUUUAAGCUAUUGUUUGAUGAAUAUUUCACUUACACUUUCUCUAUGACUGAAUAAUUCUCUCCGGAUUUGCUCAUAUAUUAGAUACUAAAAAUGGGUUUCUUUCAUGCUGAUCCUCAUCCUGGAAACCUUGCCAUUGAUGUGGAUGAAACGAUUAUCUACUAUGACUUUGGUAUGAUGGGAGAAAUCAAAUCUUUCACACAGGAGAGAUUGCUUGAACUUUUCUAUGCAAUUUAUGAAAAAGAUGCAAAAAAGGUUUGCUUUUACUUUCUCAAUAUUGAUUUUUUUUUUUUCAUUUUUUGAUUAUAUUAACAUGAUAAUCAGUGCUCUAAGUUGAUUGGAAUUGCAUCCCUCCAUUCACUCAUUAUGAUAUCCCUUGUUUGAUCCUGUCUCUUUCUCUUCUCUUCUUCAUUAUCCCAUCCUUAAAAUACUGUCAGCCUGGAUGAAUUGGGCUUAAACUGGCAAGCUGAUAUGUGCAGGUUAUGCAAAGUCUUACAGAUCUUGAAGCACUGCAACCCACAGGAGACUUGUCAUCAGUAUGUCAUCUUCAUACUGUAUAUACCUAUAAAUGUCAGGAUGAGAGUCCAGCGCUCAAUUUCAUCAUCUUCUAGUGAUAAAUAGGUUUUCUAGGCAUUCAUUCGCCCAUCUCUGAAAGUUUUUUCUAUUCUGUUCCUAGGUGAGGAGAUCAGUGCAAUUUUUCUUGGACAAUUUGUUAAGUCAGACGCCAGAUCAGCCGCAGACUUUAGCUGCAAUUGGUGAGGUAUGCAAAUAUUUGUCUAAAAACUGAAUAAUCAUGUGAGCUCCUAUUUGAAACAAUUAAUUUUUUCGUAGUGCACAGGCAAAGACAUGUGAUCAUUCAAACUUCUCAUGCUUCCAUAACUGGUAAAAUGCCAUUAGGCAUAAAGGGGUCUCUGCUGGAUCAUUCAUCAUUGAAAACCACGAGAAGAAUUUGCAAUAUAAGAUAUAGUUGGAUUGACCAAAAAUUGAUUAUGAUAAUUCUUAUCAGAAGGUCAUCAGACUCUUGCAUUGGAGGAAAGUGCAUUAUCAAUUAUUGUCUCUUAGGUAUCAAGUGGUAGAAUAAAAAAGAAUGAGGGCAGAAGACAAUAUCCUAGUAGCUUUUUGUGCUUUCAAGUAAUGGAUGUUAGGUCCUUUAACUAUUCUUUGUAUUCUUAUUACUACUUCAGGAUUUGUUUGCUAUAGCCACAGAUCAGCCAAUCCGUUUUCCAUCUACCAUCACCUUUGUUCUAAAGGCAUUUUCAACACUGGAAGGUGCUCUCUCUCUCUCUCUCUCUCUCUCUCUCUCUCUCUCCUGCACACAUACAAAUACAUGCUCCCAUAGCUUCAUUUCCAAAUAGAAAGUCACCAAAUACCACUUCUCCUCAUAAUAGAUUUCGAUGCCACCUGUUCAGAAACUCCACUGUCAUCUUUAAGUUUCUCUAAGUACGCUUACAUAAGUGUGUAGAUAUGUGCGCAUGCGCAUAUGUUUAUGUUCUAUGAGUAGAUGAGCACACUGAUCCUGAUUGAAUUUCUCACUUCUGAAUGUGACUUUUCUUGUAGGAAUUGGCUACUCACUUGAUCCAGAUUUUUCCUUUGUGAAGAUUGCUGCACCUUAUGCACAGGUUCCAUUCAUUUCCCUAAUAAUUUUAUGCAUCUUUUUUCCUUACGUGCUUCUCUAAUGCUUUUAGUUUAGCUCUAAUGAUUCACACCGUAUACAGGAGCUUUUAGAUAUACGACAGCAGCAGCGAACUGGACCACAAUUUGUGCAGGAGAUAAGGAAACAAGCAGACGAUGUAUUCUACUCUCUUCCCUUCCCACUUCAGUUCCUUCUGAAAAUUGAUGUUUCUUCCUUCCACAUUCUGCGACACAAUAUGAUACACAUUAUCAAAAGACUAAAAUUCCCCCUAUGAACAUGUUCAGGCCAGAACCUACACCAUGUCCAUGCCAUACAGUGUCCAGAGGAUAGAAGAAUUUGUGAAACAACUUGAAUCAGGAGACCUGAAACUUCGAGUUCGAGUACUUGAGGUAGUCAUCCACUAAAUAUUUUAGAAGAAAUAAUUACCCUUUUUUGAGACUUUGUGGGAAGUUCUCAAGAGUGACUGUUCUUGAGAGCUCAAACCCUUAUGAGAUGAACUCAACAUUAUUUUGGUUUGGGAUUGAAAACAGUCUGAAAGAGCAGCUCGGAAGGCAACCAUACUACAGAUGGCUACCAUGUACACAGUUUUAGGAGGUACCCUGCUAAGCCUUGGCGUCACAUUAAGCAAUCAAGGCAGUCAAGUUAUCGCAAAUGGUUCGUAUGUUGGUGCAGGUAAACUGGUUUUAACCCCAAAAACUCACACUCAAAUAUUUCUUCCUCUUGCCUCUAGACAUUUUCAAGUUUGCCUUCACAACUUCCCUGUGGCUGAAAUAUCUGGUUUUGUUGAAAUGCAGGUGUUUUCUUGGUAUUGUUUAUUAGGUCCAUGCAAAGGGUGAAAAGGCUAGAUAAAUUUGAGAAGAUGAUAUGAUUUUCAAUCCUGGAACUCAUGGACAGUCUGUCUUAGUUGUUAAAUAAUUUAAUGUCCAAUUCUUGGACAUAUAAUUGUCCCAAAAUUUUCAGAUUUGCAUACAGGAGCUGUAUACACUACAUGUAGGAAAUGAUUCAAGAUGAAAAAA
rnacentral:lncRNA from 1 species